AAUCCAUCAUGCCCCUUAAGAACACUUGGGGCACUUACACAUACACAUAUAAGUGUAUAUAUAGAUCCAACCAUGCAUUAUAUAGUUUUAGUGACCGGGUUGAGUCUGAACAGCUUCUCCGGCAUAAGAACAACACCUUGAGCAGCCACGGUAACCUCUGUAGCAGCAACCGUGACGGCAAUAACCUCCUCCACGGCCUCCUCCGUUGUAUCCUCCUCCGCGGUGUCCUCCUCCGUUGUAACCUCCUCCUCCGUUGUAUCCUCCUCCGUUGUGUCCUCCUCCAUUGUAUCCUCCUCCUCCGUGGUGUCCUCCUCCGUUGUAACCUCCUCCUCCGUUGUAGCCACCACCAUAUCCAUCGGGUUUCACAUUUUCCUCACUUUCUGACUUCGCUGUAGCUGUCAAAAAUAAUACAUUUCAAAGAUAUUAUUAGCACGUUCAAAUUUGCAUUCCUCACCCAGAAUUUAGAACUAUUUUUCUAUUUGCAAAAAAUAUUAAGAGAUAUAAGUUUGCAUCUCUAGCUAGUUUGUUUCAAAACAUUUACAACAUAAGAUAUACGUUCUAAACAUUUUUGCUCUAAAUGUUUGAGAUGAUCCCGAUACAUAUAAUAAGAAUUCAACAUCAUACUUAAGUGUAUUUUGAUUUUCGUAAGUCUCCAGCCUUAUAACAAACUAAAUAGUUGAAUGAAUCUAUCACCCAAUGGAAGAAGUAGACAGAAACAUAAAAAAUAAUGUUACAUACCCGACUGCCUUUCGGAUGCCGCUGCCCUUUCUGAGACGACGAAAAGAAGUGCAAAGAGACCCAACAGAAUUAAAGCCCUCGAAGCCAUUUUCUUCAACUGUUCAACUCUUUGUUUUAGAACGUGUGAUGAAUAAAAAUGUCACCAUGUAUGCCUCUAUUUAAAGAAAACGAGGAGGAGGGAAUGAGAAGAGUAAAAAAAAACCUAAUCCCUAGUCCAAUAAAAAUAACUCAAAAGAAAAGUUAAGAAAUUUAAUAAUUUAUGACAAUAAAAAUAGUAAGAAGAAGAUAAGUAUCGAUUGCAUAGGGCCCAUUUAUGGUUGGUUGUUGGAAUCAUUGUAAAUAAUUUUGAAACUCCUUAAAUGGCAACUCUCCACUAGUCUUUUAGAUGUUUCUAUAAAACGUCUCAAACACAGCGCAUUCACACGUAUAUAGUCAUAGACAUAUUAAAAAAUAUUAUUGGAUUAUUUCGAGAAUAAUAUUCAUUAUUGGAGAGUUGGAGACUUGGACUAUUGUUUAUGAAUCGUCCUUUACAAUCUCAACCGACAGAUUUUACGCAGAAGGAUAUAGACAAAUCAUAUGGACUUAAAAUCAGUAAGUCAUAUAGGAGCGAUACGUAGUAGUUAAUAAGGACAGACGCAAAAUAUUAAGUCAUAUAGGAGCGUACGUAGUAGUUAAUAAGGGCAGACGCAAAAUAUUGCACGGCUAUAUUGUUGGGAUAUCAAUCCAAGUUUCACAUCUAAAAUUUAAACUAAUGUACUCAAAUAUAUAAGUAAAAUGUUUAAUAGUUUAGUAUAAAAUUUUUUGGAAGAAAUUUAAAAACAAAUCCGUGCAUGCUUUGUCAUUUGAAUCCAAAGUGGACAAUAUCAUACUAAUAGAGAAUUGGACAUGGAUUUGAAAAGUUCAACAAUUGGUAUCAGAACCAGGUUCUGGAAAAAAUGGAUCUGGACAAAUGGGUGUGGACUGUGUGUUCGGUGUGGGAGGGAGAGCCCUCAAAGUAACCUUGCGAUUAGGGUGCUGGUGCUUUGUAUCAAAAGUCUUCCGAUUGGGCUUUUCAAGCUCAUGUCCAACUCCCUAUUAGUAUGAUAUUGUCUGCUUUGGGCCCAAAUGACAAAGCCCGCACAGAUUUAUUUUUGGAUUCGGGUUUGAGUGGUCCUUAGCUAGAGGAGAGGAUUGUUGGGAUAUCAAUCCAAGUCCCACAUCCAAAGUUUAGACCAAUAUGGUCUAGUAUAUAAGCAAGAUGUCCAAUAGUUUAGUAUGAGACCUUUUGAGAAGGAAUCCAAAAACAAAUUCGUGCGGGCUUUGCCAUUUAGGCCAAAACGGACAAUAUCAUACUAAUAAGGAGUUGGACUGGGCUUGAAAAACCCAAUAUGAAGACUUUCGAUACAAGGCACCAGCACCCCAAUCGCAAGGUUACCUUGAGGGCUCUCCCUCCCACACCGAACACACAGUCCACACCCACUUCUCUAGUCUACCUUUUCCAGAACCUGACUCUGAUACCAAUUGUUAGAUUUUCAAGUCCUUGUCCAACUCUCUAUUAGUAUGAUAUUGUCUGCUUUGAGUCCAAGUAGAAAAGCCCGCACGUAUUUGUUUUUGAAUUCCUUUCCAAAAGGCCUCAUACUAAACUAUUGGAUAUCUUUAUGUACUAGACCAUGUUGGUCUUUACUUCGGAUGUGAGACUUGGAUUGAUAUCCCAACACUUUUUAACAGUUGCGAAAAGGUUAGGAGAAGAGUUUCGUUGGUGCGUACGGUGAUACAAGAUGGGUGCCAAGUUUCGCAGGAGGUUGGGAGGCCACGGGUUUGUGUGAUCCUUGGCUUAAGGGGAGAAUUAUUGGGAUAUCAAUCCAAACCUCAUAUCUGAAAUUUAGAGCAAUAUGGUCUAGAAUAUAAGCAAGAUGUCCAAUAGUUUAGUAUAGGGCAUUGUGGAUAAGAAUCCAAAACAAAUCCAUGCGGGGUUAGCCAUUUAGACUCAAAGCAGAUAAUAUCAUACUAAUAGAAAGUUAGACAUGGGCUUGAAAAGCCCAACAUAUAUUAAUCACAGCUAUUCUAAUGGAAAAUUUUUUUAAUGAAAUUAUCUAUUCAAGUCAUUUAAGCGUAAGGCUUGAUAUUCAGUAAAUGAGUUGAGAAUUAGUUAAUAAUAUUAAUAAAGGUCAUUGAGUGUGGACAUGUUAGUUACUUUCCUGCUACUUGCAUUUGACUUAAGAGUGAAAUUCAUAAGAUUGUACAAACAAAUUGUCUAACACAUGAGACUUGUGAUACCAAGAACAAUACAUGCACACAAUAAGCCAUGGUAGCUCAAUUAUUCGUUUGGAAUGUAAAACAUCACAUACAUGUCUAAUUCAAGUUUUACUUGAUAUAAAAAUUAAACGGAUGAUAUAAAGGAUCUAAGAACACCUCCAUUAGUGAGAUACAUCAAUAUAAUAUUAAUACUGCAUUUAAAAUAUACUUUAACUUUGCAAUUUUAAGUUUUCUAAAAAACAUUCAUGAAAAGAUAUAUGUUACAUUAGUCUCUCAUAUGGUUUACAAAUGAUAAUCCAUUCUCAUUCCCCAUUCUUUCUUUAAUAUGAGAAAUCCAGUGAAAUAUUCUCAAUAGAGAUGUUUUAAAGCCUCUAAUUAAUUAGCAUGAAUAUUUUACUUAUUAAAAAUGUAUAAUUUCAAGCUUGUGACUCAUCAAGGAGAACAUCCAAAACGACUUAAUCAUAAGUACGAGUUGGGAUUAAGCAAGAAUUGGGAACUGGACAGAGAGCAAAAAAUUAGAAAAUACGGAACACAAAUAGUAAUAGUUAAUGGUAAUAGUUAAAGGUAUCAACUUAAUCAUAAGGACGAGGGUGAUCUUUGUCUUACACAUAAUUCUUUUCCCCCUUAUUUCCUCUUAGUUUGGUUGUAAGGAUUAUCUAGAGGGUUGUAGCCUGUAGGAUAUAUGAUCUAGAGAUUGUGAAAGAUCUCUCGAAAAUUCUCAAGAAUUAGUCUACAAAAUAAAUUCCUAAGAAUCCUUCCCCAAUCCAAAGGAUCACGCUAGCAAUCCCCAAACCUCCGCUUUUGUCACUUAUCUUACCCUAGAUGGAUCUUCAAUACAGAUCGUUUUAUCCAUUUGAUCAAUACCAUACAAUUUAGGUGUCUUUGUAUAACAAGGCGUAGUAUAUCCCUUAUUUGGUAUUCACGCAACACAAUGAAACACAUGACUAUAUCUUUGUGUUUUUCCACUCAUUUUCGAAUUCUUUCUCUUUGUGUUAGAUUUAUUUUUGAGAGGCUGUCUCUUUUUUUUGGACAAAAGAAUAGAUACCUACAACUGUUUUAUAACAUAAACAAUAUCUUGCAGUCCGCCGCGUUGAAUGUAUGAAAUAGAGAAAGCUAAAACCUUCCUUACACAUGUUGAAUUCCUCCAUGCGGUAUAAACAUCAUCGUCACCAACUCGAAAUAGUCUGUAACAAAAGAUGUUGUCUUCUGAUAUUCGAUUAUACAGUGCAUGAUCCAAAUGAAUGCUUCUACUUCAACGUGCAAAGGAAAGAUUUUCUUGUAGACUUUUGCUCCCAUUAAUAUCAUUCAAUAUAUUCUUGGAAGCAAUGCCAUCCUAGUCUGGAAAAAUUGUCGGUUUAGUUUUCUUGUAAGAGCAGUCUAUGUAGCAUCAAAUAAUUUAACCAAAUUUCCUUGGGUCAACGAUCUAUUUUUUUAUGGGAAUUAUCUAUAGCAUGAGAUGUCUCCCGACCUAUAUAUGCCUUCUUUCUAUAUCUCCACGAAAUCGGGUUAAGACCUAUUUGAGAGAUUAAUAUUUUUAAGUUUGUUUUUGUGGGGAUAUACACAGAGAAAAUAAUUUAAUGUACGUUAACAUCUGAUGAUGGCUGAUGCUACAGUAAAAAUUCUAUAUAUUAAUAAUGUUGGAACUUUAAAAUUUUAUUAAUUUAGCAAAUUAUUAAUUUAUAAAGAAAUUAAUUUAACCAAAAUUUAAAUUUAAAACCAAAUAAUUAAUUGAGUUUAUUAAUUUAUCAAAUAUUAAUUUAUAGAAUUUCUGUUGUAUAUAUAUGAUAGUUCUCGUGAUUCUUUCUAUCCUUUCUAAGAAAGAGAAGUUAUCAAAUACAUUUAAUGGUGGAUACGUGGAGUCUCGGUCAGGAUUGUUGAUCACCACACGUGAUAGUGAAAUUGUAAUUUGGUAAUAAUAAGGGGAAAUGUUCAGCUAAAAAAAUUAAAUGAAACUCAGACCAUGCAAGUGUUGGAACCUUACUCAAUGAAUUGAUUGCUUGUUUCGAUCCAAAAUUCAAAAAGCAAUAACUAUAGCUGAUGCUGACUAUUGAGAAGAAAGUUCUAAAUUGGCAACUCAAACUAACCACAUGAUAGUAUGAUACAUAAUGACAUUCUUUCAAUUUUAUAGCCUUUUCUAUCAAAUUGAAAAUAUGGAAAACCAAAUUAUAUUUUUAAUAUUUAAAACAAGAUACUAGCUAUUCUAUAACUUUAGUAUACCCAGGUAAAGAAAAUAAGAUUUAGAUUCUAUAUUGAAUAAGAAUCAGUCUAAUUAUGACUCAUAUAGUUAGAUUUCAAUUAAAACUCUUAUUAGUUAUUCAGAAAUUAUGUUUUAUAAUUUGUAAGUAAGAAAAUUUAAAAUUAAUCUAUAUUAAUCAUAAAUAACCCUCUUAAAUAAAUAAGAGGUUAUAAGACAAUAAUUUACAUUUUUCAAUUUGUAGUUUCUAUUUAUUUCUGUAUUUUACUUUUUAUUUUAUUUUAUUAGUUUCUUUUUUUGAACCAAAAAUUAUUUUGUUUUAUAUUUAAUUUUUUAAUAUUUAAAUAUAAAUAACUAAAAUUUAAAAACUUAAAUUAUUAUAUUAACAUAUGUUACAAUCUAAACUAAUAAUGACACAUAUAAUAUCUGUAAAAAGUUAUAAUUAUUCUAUGUGUCAUGCUAACGUAGAUCUUACCAAGUAGGAUUGUAACACUAGAUAGAUUCAACUCUGCAUAAUACGUAAAAAAUAAUAAAAUAUUUAGAUGAUCUGGUCAUCGAUCUAGCAAACCACCACAAGGUGAUCUCAAUGCCCAUAGACGAUCCAACCGAGCCAUCCGAAGCUGAUUGGAGCCUUGUUGAAGCUGUAUCGGUGAAACCAAAUACCAAAUCAACUGAGGGAAGGCAUUUUUACCAACCAACCAACCCCAGUGAAGACUGAUCAAGCAAAAACACUUUUGACUCAAACCAGAACUGAAGAUAACCGAGACAUUCCACCUAAUAGCCAAGGAGCGGUUAUACCAUCACCAUCUUUGACCAAACCGGUGAUUCAUGAUCCAAGAACCAAUAUUCAUCGACCAACCGACCAUAAGGAGUAUUCUGUACGAGAUAUUUCAUGUCUUAACCAAGCUAGAAGUAAAGAUAACCGGAGCCUCACCAACCGGCUUGAUUACAAACCAGAUUUUACCCGAGAAGAGACUUGGGCUGAUUUCUUAGAGAUCAAACUCAAUCACCAAGAACUAAUAUCAAACCUGAUUUGCUCUGUGUUCUUGACCCAUUAAGGAAUCACGGUGAAUUGGAAUCAGUCCAACUUACCCGAUUGGAAAUAUGCACCUUAAUUGAAGCAUUCCGACCAAGCCGGGAGGAAUUAAGCUGCGAAAUGACUUGUUCUGGAAUCUGGGUUCAUCAAGGAAUCCGGGAUAGUUGGAAUCACACCAAGUCCGGUUUUCAUUUGGGAGAUACUCCAUUUCUAAACCGACCGAUGGUUUCCCAGCUUGCCUUAUUUGAAACCCUAUGGGUUUAGGAGACACUAGACGUAUCAGUGGCAUCCAGGAGACUGUGCUAUUUCCAGAAGUUCCCUAAAAUACUCUAGAGUGCACCCGUACGCCUUGGAUCAGGCGGAUCCAUCUGUACCUUCAAUUGAACUAACUAGGGCCGAUUAUAGAAACUACGAAGACCGACCAGUUCAAUUAUGAGCAAACCAAGAUAUCACGACCAGAAGAGAUUCUUAGACAAUUAAGGAGCUUAAAAACACCUUCCCAUGCACCAGAAACCACAGGAUCAGACGGAUCUUCUUGCAAGUCCACUUUCCUUAUGUAGCUGCGUUCACAUUAGGAGCCAUAACUUUCCAACGGCUCUUUGUCUUUAAGUGCUACGAUAUGGACAACUUUUUUGGAGAUAAGAAUGUUCCAGAAAUUCUCACUAAUCCUCUUAAACCUUACGGAUACAAAGGCGUCAUCACAAUUGCCUUAGUUGCCGAGACCCUCCAUUAAGAGCCAACAGCUAGUUUUUGAUAUAUUUUUGAUUUGUUCCUUUACUCUAGAUUUUUAGACCGUUUGUAAUUAAGCUUGUAGGAGCUCUAUACAAGCUCAGCUCAGGUAAUUUUUACAAUUCACCUUUAAAUCCAGAUUAAUACAAAGUAUUCCUUUUUCUUUCAAAGUUGUGUCUUUGCAAAGACUUGUUCUUUUCUUUAGAAUUAAGUGUGAGAUUCACUUAGCUCUAUAGAAGCUGCGAAAUUAGUUUGUUUAUGAGAUUCAAACAAACUAUUUCGUCGACAUAUUGAGAGAGUCAAUCAACCCCCAUCGAUUGAGAGUCAAUCACCCUAUCAUCAUCUUUAUCUCGACUUCAUUCCACCUUCCGCAGAAUAAGUUUGGAAUAUCUUCAUCAUUAAGUGAUCAUAAGUUGGAGUGAUUUCAAUCUUGUAUCAAUUAAUAAUGACACAUGUAAUGAUAUAGAAAGUUAUAAUUAUCCUACGUGUCAUGCUAGCGUAGAUCUUACCAAGUAGGGUUGUAACACUAGAUAGAUUCGGCUCUGCAUAAUAUGCAGAAAAAUAAUAAAAUAUUUAGGUUUUCAAUUUUUAUAAUCUGCAUAAUUAUGACUUGUACAGUUUGAUAUAUACUAUUAUUUGCGAGGUCAAAAAUCUGAUGUGUCAUCAUCACAGUGAUUGUCUUAUGUGUCAUUAAUAAAAAACAAUUAUGUGUUGUUUUAAUUUGUUUUGAUAGGUCAAUCAUUAGUCCUACGUGUACAUAUCCAUGACAUGGUUUUUUUUCUUAAUUAUGGGCCAAAGAUUUUGCUAAUGGGCCACCGAUCUUAAAGUUUGUCCUAGCCACCGAUGUAAAAGUCGGUACUAACCUAAACCCUAGCGUAUCCAUCGUGCUAGAUAUACCCAUUUCGGUUUUCAUAUUUUCUUACAUAUAAUAUCUGUCUACUAAAAAAAAAAUUGUUCACCUCUUUUUUUAAAAAAAAACUAUCAUAGCAUUUAAAAAAAACGUCCACCUCUUUUUUAAAAAAAGGAUCAUAUCAUUUUUUAUAUACUCCAUCUCUUUUUUUUAAACAAUCUCUAUGAUUAUUUAUGCGUAUUUCUAAUGAAAAUAACCUACUAUUUUUUGUAUAAUUGAUAUUUUGAUGGUUCUAUAGUUCAUCUCUCGCCUUACAAUGGAAUCGUCAGGUAAAUAUACAUUUUUGAUUUUAUCUUAGUUCGUGCUUUUAAUGUUUUUUCAGAUUCUAGAAGUUUUUCUUUUGUAAAUCCACGGCGUAAUAGUUAUUUGCUUCAAAACUUUUAUGAAUUUUCUGUAGCGAUUAGCAAUCGUCCCUUUCAUGAUCCUCAGAUUUUCUAUAUCAUCUGCCGCCAUCUCAAAUCGUUUUUCCACGAGAUGAAGAUUCUUCUGCCAGUGUUAACAAUGAUAAAUUUAUCGGUUGGUCGAAGUGUAAUCAGGACUAUCCAGAAUCCAGAUCGUUAUGUAUUCUGAAUUUCUGACACGUUGGAUUUGAGAUUGUUAAAAACAUCAUGGCAUCCCCGUCUCUGCGGAAUCUCCACACCGAGUAUUAUAUCCAAUUGUAACCCCAACACUGGUACUGCUUAAGGGUUUUAUUGCAUGUCGUUUGCAGUCCAUGUUCUUAUAUUGAUAUAAGAACAAAUAAAUGGUGUUGUCCACCCUACUUUCAAAGAUGCAUGUUAUGUUUUAGGUUAAAUUCACGAUGAUACUGAGAAUGUUUAAGCUUUCUAUAAGGCAAGUCAAUGAGGUUCCCGCUUCUCUCUCUUCAAAUGAGGUUCACUACUUUGUUACAUCCAGGUUCUAUGAUGAAUCACUUUUGUGUAUGGAGAUCCAUUCAAUGUUUUUUAGUAUAAGUUUUGUCAAUUUUUUGCAUUGUCUUUGAUUUUCUUUUCUUUCAUUAUAUUAUUUUAACAAUUUCUUAGAUUUUUUAUUCUGUUCUGCCCGGUUUCGGUUGAGAGGUUUACUAUUUGAGAUUUUUGUUGGACGUUGUUAGGUAUUUUUAUUGGACGUUGUUAGGUAUUUUUAUUGGAAGUUGUUAGUCUUGGUGCUCAUGCUUUAUAUAUAGAUGAUAUCCAGUAGCUAAAGAUUUGUGUACUUAGUGGUUCGUUUGUUCGGUUGGUAAUUUUUUGUUUGGGUUUUUGAAUUUGGUUUUGUAUUAUUUUUUCAGUCGGUUAGAUUGAUAUUUGGUGCGUGUUGGUUAUAUAUUUUGUGGUUUAAUGAUUACACUAUUAUAUAUAUAUAUACAUAUAUAUAUAGUUGUAGUGUGGUUUUUAGACAAAAUUCUCUUUUUUCAAUUUUUGCGAUAGUUUAUUUUUCAAGAAUGUCACAUAUUUAUUCAUUGAGCUUUUGUGGUGUUUAUGAUUUCUAAUAUGUCUACGGUUUUGUCAGAUAUGAUUGUAAUUAUUUACCUAAGCUCUUAAAAUUAUUAUUUAUUAUAUAAUCUAUACAUAUAUUGUGAUCAAAGUAAAGAAUGUAUAUCCUAGGGUUAUUUAACUAUGAUCUGAAAUUUAGUAUUUAUUAUAUAUAAUCUAAUAAGGAGAUGAAGACGACCAAUGAAGUCGGAAGGUGAAGAUGAUAAAAAUAUAGAAGACAAAGUAAAAUAAAAAAAUGAAAAAAAAGAAGUAGAAGAAGAGGAGAAAAAAAGAUAAAUCAAAAUAUAAAGAAGAAGCUGUAGUUGAUGAUAAAAACUAAAGAAAAAUAUGAACAUAAAUUUGAAUAAAACCAUAGAGAAAAAGAAGAAGAUGAGAACACAGAAUAGUGAAGAAGAAUAUUGAUAAGAAAAAAGAAAUUUGGCUUUGAAUAAGAAAACCAGAAGAAAUAAAUGAAAGAUGUAGAAACAAAGUAAAGACGAGGAAAUGGGAAAAUGAGUAGGUGUAGAUGAAAAAAAAAAGAUGAAAACACUAGAAGAAGAUAAAUUUGACAAAGACCAAAGAGGAAUAAGAAGUAAAGAAUAAAGAAGGCUAAUAAAAAUCAAAAAAGAAAGAAGAACAAGAAGAAAAAGAAGAAAAAGAAGAGCUGAGAAAUAUAACGAUGAUGAAGAAGAAGUCAAAACGAUGAUGAAGAUGAAAGAAAAUUAUGAAAAAUAAGAAAAUCGAAAGAUAUAUAAGACGAAGAAGAAAGUACAAGUCAAAGAUGAUGAAUAAGAAGGAAAAUAUGAAGAAGAAGAAGACUUUGGGACAGAAAAAAAAAACAAUGUCUUUAAAUUAUAUAUUAGAGAAUGAAGAAGAAAGACAUAUAAAAACCAAAAAAAUAAAAGAAUAAGGAAAAUACAAAGAAAAAAAAAACCAAAAGAUAAAAAGUAGAAAAAAGAGUAGAACAAAAUAGAAGAGCAAGAAGAAGGAGACAAGUCUGAAGUGGGAAUUGAAAUAGAAGUUGAAGACGAUGAAGAAGAGGAAAGAAAACAUAAGAAAUAAGAAAAUUGAAGUCAAUGAUAAAGAAGAAGUAAAAGACGAAGAAGAAGACUGAAAAAAAGAAAAAUAAAAAUCAUAAUAAGAAAAAUUAUGACAAGACGAAAUGUUGACAACUAAAAAUGGGAAGAGGAUGACGAAUUUAGAGAGAGAGAGAGAGAGAGAGAGAGAGAGAGAGAGAGAGAGAGAGAGAGAAAUUGUGGUAAUGCUUUCAGGGACAUGUAGAUGGAGAGAGAGAGACAGUGAGUGAGAGAAAUAGAGAGAGAGAGAGAGUAAGAGAAAUGAGAAAGAGAGAGUUAAACAUUUCAAGUACAUGACAUUAAAUCUAUGUUAGUUCGUCUUUUCUGUGUUUCUAUUUUUUUUUAUAUCUGAGACACUUCUUACUUUAAAUGUAGUUGUCUAAAUCGUAGAUAUAUACAACUUAAGACGAGGGAAGAAGAGAGAGAGAGUGAGAGAGAAAUACUGAAACAGAGGGAGGGUAAGAGAGAGAAUGAUAGGGAGGGACGCAUGGAGGGGGAGAGAAAGUUAAAGUUUUCAGGUAUAUGUAUUUGAUUAAUAUAAAAGACGAAGAAAAACAAGAAGAAUAUGAAGUCAGAGAGAUCAAAGAAGACGAAGGUGAUGAUGAAGAAGAAGAAUUCGAAGUAGAAGAGGAAGAAGUUGCGAAUAAGAUGUGGAAAACAUGAAGAAGAAGAAGACGUGAUUAAAAAAAAAAAACUAAAGAAUAAGAAGUAAGAAAAGACAUAUAGAAUGAAGAAGAAAUAAAAGAAAAUGAAAAGAAAGUAAGAAUAUGCGAGAGUAGAAUGAGAGAUAAAGGUGGAAAACUAUGAAUAAAGAUAAGGAAAAGACAAUAAAGAAGAAAAAUCAAAAGAUAAAUAAGAGGAAAAAAAUGAUGAAAAGCGAUUAUGUGGAGUGAUAACUAUGAGUUUUCAAGACUCUUUGUAGAGGUUAUCAAUCCCUUGUCUUGUAGUACAAGGGGUUUAUCAAUCCAAGAAUGUGGUGAUAGACACUAAGCUAUGUAAUCAGGUUCUUAAUUCAAGCAAACAAGAGUGGUUUGGUUAACUAGAGACAACUACAAACUUAAACAGGAUUAAAGACUAAUGAAAUGAUUAAACAAGAACUAAACAAUGAGAAAUGAUGAGAAUGUAUGAAUGAUGAUGAGAAAAGUCUUAGACAUGAUAGUGGAUUAGGGUGCCUUCAGUGAUAAACUAAUGAGCUAAUGAAUCAUAUGAUCAAGCAAACCAUUCAACAUAAACAUCUUUAAUUAAGUUAAUCCUCUCAUGAAGGUAUUAACUCCUAUGCUAAAACAGUUUCUAACCCAAUCAUCAUCAGUGAAACAUGAGUUAACAAGCAUUAAGAAUCAGUUUAAUCUGUCAUUUAAGCAUAUAGACAAUCAUUCCCAUGAUGAAUAACACUUAAACCUAUAACAACCUUGGUUCAAACAUUUCAUCAAACACUUUUGAUGCAUGAAAUGCCCAGAAUCUAGACCACAUAUGAUUUGUAUGGAUCUAGCAUAGAGAACAAGUUGUAGAGAAUGGAAUAUGCAUGAUCUAACCCCUAAGCUCACUAAUCUACCACUUAAACACCCUAAUCUACAUAUCUAAGACCUUAAUAUGGAGAUUACUCACUAAUCAUGAUCAACACACUAGAUCCUUUGCAAGAUGUGUUGUUAAUCAUGAUUAGAAGUGUAUAGAUGGAGAGAUAGAUGAUAGAUUUUAGAAGAAAGCAGCUUUAAACACAAAGAUCUCUUAAACUCUCUUGAUUAAACACUCAAUAAUCAAUAUUUCUCUUCUUAAUGGAGUCUUUUCACAAAAGAGGCAAGAGACAAAAGGAAUAAAGCUUAGUCUUCUAAAAACCCUACAAAGUAUUUAUAUCUCUCUAAAAAACGAACCGGGUCAGCCCGGAACAAACCGGAUCCUGACCCGGCUUUAAUGGAUAAAGUGGAAAUUCUGCGGGUUGGUCCAGUGUCUCCCAGGUAGCAUGCCCAAGUCGCAGUAGAUGAAGAACUUGUCUUGUGAGACUUAAAUCGCCUUGUCUUAGUCGCACGCCCAAGUAGGAGUGUUUUGCGAGUCUUGCUGCGGCUUAAUCUUCUUCUUCUUCAACUCGCAGGACCAAGGCGGUUUCUGGGGAAUGUACAAACCGUGCGGGUUGGUCUCCAUUACACUCAGGUCGCAGGCUCAAGUCGGAGUAGAUUGAGAGUGAUCGUGCGGCUUGGUUCCAGGCGCGGCCAACUCGCAUGCCUAAGUCGCACGAUUGUGGACUUAGCAAUUUUCUUGCUCGGGAGCCUCAGACCUCAUCCAUUGAUAGCUUACCCGCACUUCUCAACUCGCAGCAUCAAUUUCCAGGCAUUCGUCUUCAGGCCUGCGAGUUAACCAAGUCGCAAGGCUUUCUCGCAGCAUUCAGAGCAGCUUGGACCACUUCGCAUUCCGGAGAGUUUAACUUCUAAGAUACUUGUCCGAAUUGAGUGAUUCCGGUUGAAGAGGACAGAGGACUCAUAUAUCUCCAACUUUGGUGAAGGAAGCUUCGGUGCUUGGGAAGUGGAAGGCUUCCUGGAGAGCUCAUCUUUGCAGUGCAUUUACACGAUCAGAGAGAGGCGUCUAGACAUGUGUCAAUUCCGGAGACCGUAUCUUCCUGCUCAUAGCUCCGAAUUGAAUGAUCUUGGACGUUAUGGAUAGAGGACUCAAAUGUCUCUGAUUCGCAUGAAGGCUCAGGAAACUGAAUCGGCCUGAAAGUGCACUGUCCGUCGCAUUCUUCAGAGCUCAUCGGCUUGGUCCAGAACAGCAGCGAGACAGGGGUUCCUUCCGACGAGCUUAACUUUCUGCUCACGCGUCCGAAUUCCAUGAUUUCACUUGCUAUGGAACCAUGAUCCAAUCGUCUCCAACUUCGAUGAAGCACCCGACAACUGAAUCGGACCGGAAGGUUCCCCGGACAGGCGAUUUCGGAAACGUGUCUGCACCCGGAGAUUUUGGCCGAAAGAUUCAAUAGCCGGUACGCGUUUUGGCCGAUAAAGUCUACCCGCGGUACGCGUUUUGGCCGAGAAAAACCUUUCUGGUGCGCGAGAAUGGCCGAUAACCUCCAAAGACCCAAUUUCACCAUUUUUCAAGCCUUGAUCAUCAUUCCACCUCCUGGAUUCAUCUUUUCAGCUCCAAAUACACCUGAUAAGCACUCAAAACAUGCAAAGACUCAUUGGGACCUAAUGCAUCUCCUAAGUUCUAAAACAAACCCUAAGGACCUAAAAUGCAUGGAAUAAAACAUGAUUUGAAAUGAAUUAUGCAACCUAAAUGAUGCAAAUUAUGAACAUAUCAACUCCCCACACUUGUCCUUUGCUUGUCCUCAAGCAAACAAGAACAAAUGAGAGAGAGAGGUUGAAUGCAUGGGAGUUCACAUUUUCUUUUUGAGAGAAGUGAUCACAAUGAGAAUUCAAAUUCAUGCUCAAUUAUGCAAUGCAAAGCCAUACUCAGAUAUAUAUCAACUCAGCAAGGAAUUUCCACAAGUUCUUCUCUCUCUCAACUCUUACAUUCAUUAAGCUUUUAUCAGGUGAAUCUCAUGAUGCAAUGUUUAAACAAGCUGGCUUGGCUAGGGAGAGGCUAUGAGAUUAAAAUGAUCUCAUUAGUGUUCAAGUGGGUUUAAUGCAGCAAAGGGAUCUCUCUAUGAAUGAUCAAACUUUGGCAGAAUACUAAAGGUAAAAAGCAACCUAUGCAUACAAGGGCAAAGACUCAUCACACCCCACCCUCUACUCAAAGCUUUCUCACUUGCUCACUCUCUCAAGGACCUCACUUUUCACACUUAUUUUCCUCUCACUAGGGGACUUACUUUUCACUUUCACUCUCAAGUCUUGGAGUUCAAACUUUACACAGCUCUUUUUCUUUUGCAACCUCUAGCCUCCUUUUCUUCUUUCUUUUCAAAACAUUUGAGCUCUUUGGCUUCUUUUCUUUUCCUUUUACUUAGAGGCUAGACUCUUUCUUUUCAACACACCAGAGCUCACUUUCUUUAACUCAAAACUCCAAGACUGAUUUCUUUUUCUUUCAUUCCCCUAGCUAUUUCCACUUCCUCUUUUCCACUCAUCUCACCUUUUUCCACUCACCAACAAGUCUUUUCCCCCACACUUAUUCCUCGCCAAAACUCUCAGUUCCUUGAUGUUGGAACACAGCACUCAAUGAGACCUGCCCUUGUCGCUCUAAACCUAACACUUUCUGCUAAGUUUGAUCCAAGGUGGCCUUUCAAUUCACACACAAACAUUGGCUUGAAAGAAAGAUGGGUUCAAGGUGAGGGAACUGAUCCAUGAUGCGGAUUCAGCUACUUGAGCUAAGCAAAAAAGGGGGGGGGGUAAAAACAAUGGUUCUAGCUCAAGUAUGUAUAUCGGUAUCCACAAGCUUUUUCAAACAAUGCAUCACAAGAUAUUUUCAAGUCAAGUUCAAGGUUCCCACUUAAUUAGAGUUGAGUUCAAUUCAAACUUGCUUCUCAGAUUCAGAUCAUUUCAGACUUUGCAAGCACAGAAAAAGAUUCACAAGCAUAUUCAGUUCAAGUUCUCAAAGUGAUGUACUCUCUAGAAAAUCUAUCAUUACUCCCUGCAAGAUGCAACCUACAUGAACAUGCAAUCUAGACUCAAUCCUAAAAAUGAGAAUGCAACUACAUGAUCAUUUUUUUUGUGAAAAUUUUUCAGAUUUUUCAUUUUUUUUGGGUUUUUAUAUGCACUUAGAUGAGACUACAUGAAUAUGCAACUAGAAUGUGACUCAAGACUCAAAGUAUAAAAUAAGAACAGAGAAAACAUGGUUAGUAAAAGAUGAAACUCCUCCCCCACACUUAAAUAACACAGUCCCUUGUGUUAUAAAAGCAUGAGAAAGGAGUGAAAGCAAAGCAAACAAGUAAAAAUGCAAAGAAAAAGAAAAUCUACAUGCAUAUUUACAAGGUUUAGAGUGUUACCUAAGAGCUGUUGAAGUCAGACCCCAAUGAGUAAGAGGGGUUUGAAGUGUGACCGGAUGGUGUCUCCCAAGAAUGAUGGCUUGCUUCAUCAGACCCGUCGUCGAGAUCCACCCAAGUUGUGCCAUAUGUGACCAGGGCUAUGCAGUUCAUGGAACUCUCUCCAACUUCCUCUCUGUUCCUUGGUGAAACUGGUGCUGGAGACCCACCUUUGCAAGGGUUUUCAAGCUUAUUAAUCCUCUUCUUCAUCUCCUUGAUGCACUUGGCCAUCUUGUGGAUGGUUUUGUCUUGGUACUUGCACCAUUGUUGGAGAAUACCAAUCUUUUGUUGAGCUAUGAACCCUGAAGUGCCUGGUUCCUCCCAGUUGUAAUCAUCAAAAUGGUAUCUAUUUCCAACAAAACGUUUUUGAGGUGGAGGCAGAUCAGCAUCUUGAGCACCAGUAGCACUUGUGGUAGCAUCUUCAGCGGUUGCUCUCUUUCCCUUGGAGGCUUCUUCUCUGCAAGCUUGCUUGUAUGUGAGGAUUGGUGGAUCAGUUUGGACAUUGUACAGCUCUUCCUUCAGCAAGAAGAAGUGAAUGUUCCUCUUAACUUGGACUGUGGUGAUGGAGGGAUUGGGCAGGAGAGUUUGUGCUGGCUCACUGAUGAGAGUCUUGAAGUUGUAUACUACCUUGGUACCCACUCUUCCUUGGAGGAAGCCAAUCUUACACAAAUGUGCUUCAUUAAUUAGAUCAAACUUUGCCUUGUUCUCCUUGAAUCUGUACCCCUUGGCUUUCAAAAUCUUUGUUACCACCCAUCCAUGGGCCAGCUUUGCAUCUUGCUUUGUAGAACCCCAAAUGCACUUUUUUUAGAACAUCAAAGACCUUGCUAAUUGAGAGGCAAGGCAAAGUGGGUAUUCAUACUGUUCAUAGGGUUCCCCAUCUUCAUGAGUUGGCAUCAGCUGUUUCAGCCCCACACCAAGAAGCAUCAGAUCGCCUUUGUGAACUCUUCCAUCAUCGAUUUUGAAGUAGAAGCUGUGAGAGAGAAUCUUGUGAACAUAUCUCAGCACUGGAUUCCUUAUCCAAGAGGACUUAGCUGUUCCAGCUAUGUACUUCCCAGAAGCAAUUGAUCUCCAUAGAAGUUGGACCUCAUCUUUUCUGAGAUUGACCUGGUUGGAGAGAAGUUCAUUUCUAGGUGUUAACAACCCAAAAAUCUCAUUCAAUUCUCUGAAUGACACUGAAUAAUCCUUCCCUUUCAUAGUAAACUCCAAAUGUCCAAGCCCAUCUCCUUGAAUAAUUCUUGAAUCCCUUGGGUAGUAAAUGAAAGCUUCAAAAGAAGCCAAGAACUCCUGAGAUUCCUCUUCAUAAGCGAUCUCUCUCAUCUCCAAAAGUGACUCAACACCCAUGUUCCCAAGCAAGGUUUUGACAUCUUCAUAGAUGCCAAUAUUCUUCAAAAAGUCCACAUCAGGGAACCUCCCUUGCUGGAUCUCUAUCUGUUGAAACUUCGCCAGAUAAUCAAGUGUUUCUGGUUCAGUUUUCUUGAACCUUUUUGAUCCCUCUUCAAUGGUGCCUUGUGAACCACCAGCUGAGCUGCUUGAGUCACUUUCAGUCUGUUCACUCUCAGAUACGACAGCCAACUGUUUCCCCUUCUUCUUGGAACCAGAAGCAACCACCAAAGAUUUUCCUUCAUGCCUUGUCCUUUUUGGCGCUGGAUCACACUUCCCUUGCUUUGUGGUAUUCUUUGCUCCUUGACCUUUUUCUCUUGGCUGUGAAGACCCUGAGACCAAACCUUUGCCCUUUGAUGCAGUGCUCUUCUUCUUGGCCAGAGAGUUGGUUCUUUCAGUCAUCUGCCAAGACAUUCUCAAAAACAAUGUUAGUACAAGAACAAGCUUCACAAAAUUCUCCAAAAUUUUGAAAAAAAAAAAUUGUUGCAAGAAUCGAUUUUAAAACCACAUGAACAGGUUUCUCAAGCCAAGCAUCAAUCCAAUAAGUUCAUAGCAAUGCAAAAACAAGAGUGCAAAGCAAGGACUCAGCAAUGAAAAUAGAUCUUUUUAAAAAAAAAAAAAAAAUCGAUUUUUCUCAUGAAUUUCUUACAACAAUUUUCAAAACUCAAGAACAAGGAAUCACCAACAGCUGUUUUCUAAGACUAUCUAGCACCCUAGCAUUUAUAAAAAUAAUCCCAAGGUCUAAAACAAUCUAUCAAAAUCGAUUCCACACCUUGAAGUUCAAAAAUCACCAUUGAAGAACAUGGAAAAAGGUGAAUUUUAACUGAAUGAAAUACCUUGGGAUUAAGAUGCAACGAGCUCGAAAUGCAAUCAAGAUGAUGUUAAAAACUCAAAAACGAGUUCAGAGCACUUUGAAUCAACAAAUUUGGUGGAGAAAUGAGAGAGAUAUGAUGAAAACAAUGGAGAGAAAUGAGAGAAAGAGUUGCAAACUCGGGUUUUUGGUGAGGAAGAGAGAGUGUGGGACAGGUUAAAGACUUUGGACUGGUGGUCAAUAGAUCUAUUUUGACCAGUCAAGGCUUUGACCUGUCCUUUUCUCGUUGACCAGCCUCCUUUCUCUCCUUUGUGCGACCGGGAACCGUCGGGAUCGGGCCGCAUGACGGUCUCGGUGUAGAACCGGAAAUGUUUUUGUGCUACCUGGGAUCUUCUGUGCCUCCCCCGCAUGACCAAGUCGCAGUAAAAGUCCUUCAGCUCGGUUUUAUCUUUCCUCAUUGCUGCUGCCUGGAACCCUUGCUUUCCAGCUAGCACGCCCAACUCGGAGUAAUUUGCGAACAUGUGUGCGGGUUAGACUCCUUUGUUCCCAGGUAGCAUGACUAUCUCGCAGGGUUUGGGACUUAAAAACCUCGGGGUUCCUCUUCUGGUGCGGCCUGGCCUCCAUACUUCCCAGGUAGCACGCCCAACUCGGAGUAAUUUGCGAGUCUUCAUGCGGGUUAGCUUCUUUGUUCCCAGGUAGCAUGACUAGGUCACAGGUUUUUGGACUUAAACAAUUUGGCCUUUCUUUUCCUGCUGCGACCUGGUCUUCAUGCUUCCCAGCUAGCACGCCCAACUUGGAGUAAAAUGCGAUCAUACGUGCGGCCUAGCUUCUUUGUUCCCAGGUAGCAUGACUAGGUCGCAGGUAUUUGGACUUAAGAUGUCUCGGCCAUUCCUCUUUUGCUGCGACCUAGUCUCCUUGCUCCCAGCCAGCACGCCCACCUCGCACACCUUCACACUUAGGCGUUUGGCUCUUCUUGAUUUCGUGCAGCCUGGUCUCUAUGAUUCCCAGCUAGCACGCCCAACCCGGAGUGAUUUGCGAAUGGAUGUGCGGUUUAACUUCUCUUGUUUCCAGGCCGCAGCAACUACUCGCAGGUUUUUGCACUUAAACACCUCGGCCAUCCUUCUUUUGCUGCAACUUGGUCUUCAUUCUUCCCAGGUAGCACACCCAAUUCGGAGUAAAUUGCGAUCAUGUGUGCUACCUAACUCCUUUGUUCCCAGGCCACAGCUCCUACAUCGCAGAUCUUUGGACUAAAGAUACCUUGGACCUUUUCUUUUUGGUGCGGCCUGGUUUCUCUUUUCCCAGCCAGCACGCCUAACCCGGAGUGAUUUGCGAAUGGAUGUGCGGCCUAGCUUCCUCUCUUCUUACCCGCAGCACCAGCUAGCACAACCUCGGACUUAGACGUUUUGGACUUCUUCUUUUUGGUGCGGCCUGGUUUCUCUUUUCCCAGGUAGCACGCCCAGGCCGGAGUAAAUUGCGAGUCCUGCUGCGACCUGGGCUCUUCUUGCACCAAGCCGCACACCUAGGUAGCACUGAGGCGUUCUCCAAGUUUUUCAGGCCCUAAAUACUUCUCUCAGCCCUCUCACAUGCUCCAUUCCAUUCAUCACUGAGCUAUGUUCUCCAAAAAUCACCUAGAACCUGAGACCAACUCACAAAACCCAUCAAAAAGUUCUAAAACAUAAAAGAAAAGAGAAGAAAUCAAAAGAACUAUGUACAAAGAUAAGCUUGGGGUGUCUCCCAAGAGCACUUUGUUUAAAGUCUCUAAGUUUGACUAUGGAAACCUGUUUAGCAGGCUGGAGGUGGGUCAAGAAGGGGAACUGAUGUAGCUUCCUCCUUCCCUUGUGAAACUAAGUAAUGCUUGAUUCUUUGUCCGUUUACCACAAAUUCUUGACCAUUCUUCCCUUCUAAGACAAUAGCACCAUAUGGUCUCACUUCAAGAACUUUAAAAGGUCCAGACCAUCUAGACUUAAGUUUUCCUAGAAACAACUUAAGUCUAGAGUUGAACAGCAACACCAAAUCACCAUCCUUGAACUCCCUUUUCAGAAUCUUUUGGUCAUGCAGAACCUUGGUCUUCUCCUUAUAGAUCUUUGAGCUCUCAAAAGCCCCAAGCCUUAUCUCUUCAAGUUCAUGGAGUUGAAUGACCCUUUUCUCUUGAGCUGUCUUGAUAUCAAAGAUCAGCAACUUCACAGCCCACAAAGCCUUGUACUCUAACUCAACAGGAAGGUGGCAGCUCUUCCCAUAUAGCAGAUUGAAAGGUGAUGUCCCAAUAGGAGUUUUAAAGGCAGUCCUAUAAGCCCACAAUGCAUCAUCUAGCCUUUUGCUCCAAUCUUUUCUGCUUGAGCUCACAGUCCUCUCAAGAAUGGCCUUGAUCUGUCUAUUAGAUACUUCAACCUGGCCACUAGUUUGAGGAUGAUAAGGAGUAGCUACCUUGUGUUUCACUCCAUGCUUUCUCAGUAAACCCUCCAAAGUCUUGUUCACAAAAUGAGAUCCUCCAUCAGAGAUAACAACCCUUGGAACUCCAAAUCUUGGGAAGAUAAUGCUCUUGAACAGCUUCACUACAACCUUGGAAUCAUUGGUAGGGGAAGCAAUGGCCUCAACCCAUUUGGACACAUAGUCCACAUCAACAAGUAUAUACUGAUUCCCAUAGGAUGAAAUGAAAGGCCCCAUAAAGUCAAUCCCCCAGCAAUCAAAGAUCUCAACUUCUAGAAUUGGGUUUUAAGGCAUCUCACUCCUCUUUGAUAUGCUCCCAUGCCUCUGACAAGCAUCACAUGCUGAACCACUAACUGAGCAUCUUUGAACAUUGUGGGCCACCAAAACCCACUCUGAAGAACCUUUGCCACAGUCUUGAAUGCUCCCAUGUGACCCCCAAAAGCUGAACUAUGACACUCUUGCAACACAGGCUGCAUCUCCUCCUCAGCAAGACACCUUCUAUACAGCUGAUCUUUGUUCAGGACAUAGAGGUAGGGCUCAUCCCAAUGGUAUCUUUGAACUUCUCUGAAGAAUUUCUUCCUGUGGUAAGCAUCUAAUUCAGGUGGUUCCACUCCACAAGCAAGAUAGUUCACAAUGUCUGCAAACCAAGGCAUCCUCCUCUCUUGAAUGCUGUCCACUUCUUCAAACUCCAAAUAAGAAUGGAGCACCAUCAGUGAUUCCUCAGGAAGACUGUCAUUAAGAGGCAAUUCAGAGUCUAUUCUCAACCUAGAGAGAUGGUCUGCAGCUCCAUUCUCUAUACCCUUUUUGUCAUGUACUUCCAUAUCAAAAUCCUGAAGUAGAAGAACCCAUCUCAAUAGUCUUGGCUUAGCAUCUUUCUUGGUCAUCAGAUACCUGAGGGCUGCAUGAUCAGUAUAUACAAUUACUUUUGAUCCCACCAGGUAACUUCUGAAUUUAUCGAAGGCAAAGACUAUUGCCAACAUUUCCUUCUCAGUAGUAGCAUACUUCUCUUGUGCAGGGCCAAGUGUUCUACUAGCAUAGUAAAUGACAUGAAGCUUCUUAUCUUUCUUCUGGCCAAAUACAGCUCCAACUGCAAAAUCAGAUGCAUCAGUCAUAACCUCAAAAGGUAGGGACCAGUCUGGGGCUUGGACAAUUGGUGCACUGACUAAUGCAUCCUUGAUCAUCUUGAAGGCCUCUUCACAUUCAGCAUCAAAGAUGAAAUCCACUUCUUUACAAAACAGCCUUGUCAAGGGCCUGGCAAUUCUUGAGAAGUCUUUGAUAAAUCUUCUGUAAAACCCUGCAUGCCCAAGGAAACUCCUUAUCCCUUUAACUGAAGUGGGAGUUUGCAGAUUCACCAUCACUUCCACCUUUGCUCUGUCAACCUCAAUACCCUUCUCAGAUAUCUUGUGCCCAAGAACUAUUCCUUCCCGCACCAUGAAGUAGUAUUUCUCCCAGUUUAACACCAAGUUAUCCUGCUCAAAUCUCUCCAAGACCUGUUACAAAUUAGAGAGAAAAUCCGAGAAGGAGGAGCCAUAGACACUAAAGUCAUCCAUGCACACCUCCACCUUCUCUUCAAUAAUGUCAGAGAAUAUAUGCAUCAUGCAACGUUGAAAUGUGGCAGGGGCAUUACAGAGACCAAAAGGCAUUCGCCUGUAUGCAAAGGUGCCAUAAGGGCAUGUGAAUGUUGUUUUCUCUUGAUCUCGGGGAUCUAUGGGAAUUUGGAAGAACCCCGAGUACCCAUCGAGAAAACAAAAGAAGGGGUGUUUUGCAACGCCUCUCUAACAUCUGAUCAAUGAAAUGUAAGAAACUAUCCUUCCUNNNNNNNNNNNNNNNNNNNNNNNNNNNNNNNNNNNNNNNNNNNNNNNNNNNNNNNNNNNNNNNNNNNNNNNNNNNNNNNNNNNNNNNNNNNNNNNNNNNNNNNNNNNNNNNNNNNNNNNNNNNNNNNNNNNNNNNNNNNNNNNNNNNNNNNNNNNNNNNNNNNNNNNNNNNNNNNNNNNNNNNNNNNNNNNNNNNNNNNNNNNNNNNNNNNNNNUCGUAGUAGUUAAGUGUAUCCUAUGGCUCUCCUGAACUUUCUUAUCUCACUAAGCAAUGCACUCUCUUGAUCCUCUAAUAGGCUAUCAUUGAUGAUUACUGGAUAUGUUGAGUUUAAGCCCAAGAAGGCAUACAUGAGCCCUGUUGGUAGAGGCUUGAGCUCAACAGGGGGUGCAUCAGCCUCAUUCCAAUCCUGGUCCAAGCUGCUUUGGCUGGUGUCUGAUCCUUUGAUAGCAAAAACCUCAGAGCCACUUUGUUCCAGCUCCAAAAACCUUGUCUCAGGACCCAGCUCUCUAGCAUUGUCCAAAUACAACUUGUACCCUUCACUUGCUUCAGCUAAGAGCCCAUUGUCUCCUUGUUCUUGAGUUAGAGCAGCUUGAAGAGGAUCCUCAGUGUUCAGCUCCUCUAGCAACUCAUCAGCCAACUGAUCCAUUGUCUCCACAUAGAAACAUUGACCUUCAAUGGUGGGUUUCUUCAUCAUCUCAUUCACGUCAAACUUGAGCUUUUCAGACCCAAGUUGAAGCUCUAUUAUCCCACCUCUCACAUCAAUUUUGGCUCCUGCAGUUGCUAAGAAUGGCCUGCCCAAGAUAAGAGGAUCUACUGGUUCUUCAUCCAUCUCCAGCACAACAAAAUCAGUUGGAACCUCAAAACCACCUAUCUUGACAGGUAGAUCUUCCAACAUACCAACAGGCAAUCUAACUGAUCUAUCUGCAAGGAUAAGAGAAAUCCUUGCAGGCUUGAAGACUCUAAAGCCCAGCUUCUUUGCUAUGGAGAAUGGCAUCAAGCUGACUGAUGCUCCUAGAUCACAAAGACAUCCAGAGAAUAGAAGAGGUCCAAUGGCACAAGGGAGUGUGAAACUCCCUGGAUCAGUUAACUUUCUUGGUAUGGACUUCUUCUGAAUGAUAGCACUGCAUUCAUGACUUAGUACCACCAUGCCUUGAAGUUUUUUUGUCUUGUUCAGAAUGGCAUCCUUCAGGAACUUGCCCAUCUAUGGCAUCAUUAAGAAUGCAUCAAUAAGAGGCAUAGUGAGUGGUGUCUCAUUGAGUGCCUUCUCAAAUACAGCUUUUGCCUUGUCCACAAGCUGCUUCUUAAAUCUCCCUGGAAAUGGGAGCUUGGGUUGGUAUGGAGGUGGUGGCACAUAUACCUUUUCUGGUUCAGGUUCCUUUGCUACCUUUUUACUCUUUUGGACAGGUUUCUCAGCAACCUGAUCAUCUUUUAAGGCUGCCUCCCCCUCAGUUUGAUCAUUGUCCUCAAUGAUCACAUUGUUGUUCUCAAUACCAGGUAACUCCUUUCCACUCCUCAGUGUAAUGGCCUUAGCAUAUUCCUUGGGGUUGGGUUCUCCGGUCUGAUUCAGUUGUCGGGUGCUUCAUCGCAGUUGGAGAAGAUUGGAUCACGGUUCCAUAGCAAGUUGAAUCAUGGAAUUCCGACGCAUGAGCAGAAAGUUAAGCUCGUCGGAAGGAACCCCUGUCUCGCUGCUGUUCUGGACCAAGCCGAUGAGCUCUGAAGAAUGCGAAGUACGGUGCACUUUCAGGCCGAUUCAGUUUCCGGGGCCUUCAUGAGAAUCAGAGACAUUUGAGUCCGCUUUCCAGAACGUCCAAGAUCAUUCAAUUCGGAGCUAUGAGCAGGAAGAUACGGUCUCCGGAAUGGACACAUGUCUAGACGCCUCUCUCUGAUCGUGUAAAUGCACUGCAAAGAUGAGCCCUCCAGGAAGCCUUCCACUUCCCAAGCACCAAAGCUUCCUUCACCAAAGUUGGAGAUAUAUGAGUCCUCUGUCCUCUGCCCUCUGCUACCGGAAUCACUCAAUUCAGACAAGUAUCUUAGAAGUUACACUCUCCGGAAUGCGAAGUGGUCCAAGCUGCUCUGAAUGCUGCGAGAAAGCCUUGCGACUUGGUUAACUCGCAGGCCUGAAGACGAAUGCCUGGAAAUUGAUGCUCCAAGUUGAGAAGAGCGGGUAAGCUAUCAAUGGAUGAGGUCUGAGGCUCCCGAGAAAGAAAAUUGCUAAGUCCACAAUCGUGCGACUUAGGCAUGCUAGUUGGCCGCGCCUGGAACCAAGCCGCACGAUCACUCGCAAUCUACUCCGACUUGAGCCUGCGACCUGAGUGUAGUGGAGACCAACCCGCACGGUUUGUACAUUCCCCAGAAACCGCCUUGGUCCUGCGAGUUGAAGAAGAAGAAGAUUAAGCCGCAGCAAGACUCGCAAAUGGUGGUUGAAACUGUUGUUGAACAGGCGCUUGCUGUUGGAACUGUGGAGGACCAAACCCUGGUGGUGCCUUUUGCUGCUGUGUACUGAAACUAGGACCUUGAAAAGGUUGUUGUUGCUGACCAAAACCUUGAUUCUGAGCAAACUGAUUCUUUGGUUGAAAAGAUCCUUGAAAGUUGUUCUUGGGAACAAAGUUCUGUGGAGCUUGAGAAUUGGGAUACACCUGGUCUUGUGGGUUAGCUACAUUGGUGUUCCUGUAAGAAAGGUUUGGAUUGGCAUUACCAUACUGAUAUCUCUGGAACCUCUGAUUCCCAAUGUAGUUUAGCUCCUCCUGGGUAAGACCUUCUUCACUUAUGUUCUCAAAGAUUUGAGAAGGUUCCUCAUACUCUCCAACAAAAUGCAUUGGCUUCUGAGUGGUGGAAAGGGUGGGGUUGGUGGUGCACCUGUUGUCUUUGCUGUACAUUGGCCUGAUGCCUCUGUUGAUGAGCUUGAGCUUGUCCCUGGUGGACAUAAGCUUGUUGGUGCACCUGUUCCUGAUGAACAUUACCCUGAUUUAACCCUUGACCAGCUCCAUUACCAGCUCCAUUACCCUGAGCCUGUUGCUCCUGAACCGGUUGUUCUAUAUCCACUACGUGCUCUCUUUGUUCUUCCAUAUCAGCCUGAUCAAUCUGUCUUCCACGUCUGUCCCUUCUCCUCCUUGGUACCAAAAGAUUGAUGUUGUCGUUGAGAGGGAAAGGUGGACCACAGCUUCUUGAUCUAGACCUGGUGUUCAUACCCGGACAGGCGAUUUCAGAAACGUGUCUGCACCCGGAGAUUUUGGCUGAGGGAUUCAAUAGCCGGUACGCGUUUUGGCCGAUAAAGUCUACCCGCGGUACGCGUUUUGGCCGAGAAAAACCUUCCUGGUGCGCGAGAAUGGCCGAUAACCUCCAAAGAACCAAUUUCACCAUUUUUCAAGCCUUGAUCAUCAUUCCACCUCCUGGAUUCAUCUUUUCAGCUCCAAAUACACCUGAUAAGUACUCAAAACAUGCAAAGACUCAUUGGGACCUAAUGAAUCUUCUAAAUUCUAAAACAAACCCUAAGGACCUAAAAUGCAUGGAAUAAAACAUGAUUUGGAAUGAAUUAUGCAACCUAAAUGAUGCAAAUUAUGAACAUGGAGACGAAGAACUCGCUUUUUUCUUAGUUCAAUUGGUUUUGUGAAUUUCAUAAACUUAUUUGGUAAGCAUAUACGUCUUUAAUUUUGGAUAGUAUUUAUUUUUUCGAUUUUAUUUUAUUUUAUUAUGUAUGUCUUAAAUAGUUGUUUUAAGUAAAAAUUACUCAAACUAACCUUUAAGGUGACCUAAAUGACAAACCUAACCUAACAUAUUUUGAGUCUUACUAGAUUAACCUUACAAAGUUGGUCUAAUACCAUUUUAUCCAGAUGUUGAAUAUUAUUACGAAAAUGCCAUAUUGAUUUUUUUUUUUUUAAAAAAUUCGAUUUGUUUUUUAUUUUAUUUUUCUGAAAAAAAUAUUAAAAAAGUAGAUACAAAAAACAAAAAAACAAACCUAAUAUUAAAAAAAAUUAUCUCUCUCAUCUUCUCUCUCAUCUUCUCUCUCGCUUCUCUCUCGUUUCUCUCUAACCUAGAUCUUUUUUUUUCUGCUGCAUUUCUUGAUUCCGGCAGUUAGCGGCGGUGGACCACUCCUUUCUUGCCUCCGUCGAUCACAAGAAUCGUCCGAUGGCACCAGUGCACCUCUCACUUCCCUUUAGAUGGCAAUUUUGUCCUUAUCUUUGAGCAUUGUGCUUCCCUUGAGUCUCUAGAUCCUUCCGCCUUCUACCACUAGACCGAAGACCUUCCUCUAGUUCUCCUCCAUUACUAUGAAGUCGCAGCAAGGCUCAAUCGCUUGGAUCCCUUGACAGUGUCCUUCACCAAGGGUUACAAAUCGAGUGACGACACAGCUGUGAGACCACAACUCUUAAGCGGCAUUCUCGCCGCAUCGCACACAACCGCAGUGGAUAGACGUUGUUUCAGUGGAAUGGUGGUUUUGAGGAGGUUGUCGGCGGCGUAAUUUUUUUUGUAAAACCCGUAACCCUAAUUUUUGUUUUGUUUCAGGUAAGUUUGAUAAAUAUAUUUGAAAAAACGAUAUUGUAUUUUUUAGUUGUAAAGUUCAUAACGUGUGAUGGUAGAUUUAUUUGAAAAACGGUAUGUAGUUUGGUAGAUUAUUAGUUAUUUGAUGGUAGAUAUAUUUACAAAACGAUAUGUAGUUUGGUAUAUCUAUUAGUUAUUUGAUGGUAAAUUUAUUUAAAAAACAAUGUGGUUUGGUAUAUUUAUUAGUCAUCUGACGGUAGACUUAUUUGAAAAACAAUGUGAUUUGGUAGAUUUAUUAGUCAUUUGAUGGUAACUUAUUUGAAAAACGAUAUGUGGUUUGGUAGUUUUAUCAGUUAUUUGAUGGUAGAUUUAUCAGUUAUAUAUAUUUGAAUUUUAUAUUUGAAUGAUGGCAUUUGUUUGUUCUUCUCUGACAGGUUAUGGGAUUUGUGAUGGCGAACGAGUCUCUGAUGGGUUAUGUUCUACUAUGAAUAUUAGAUUUGCAUUUGGUAGAUUUGUUUUGAAAUGAUGGUAGAUUUAUUAUUGAAUUGAUGGUAUAUCUAUAUUUGAAUUUGUACAAAUGAUAAUUAGAUUUUAGAUGAUGAUAUCUUUGUUUUCAAAUUAUAUUUGGCGCAAAAGAUUGACUCAAACAUUUCAUCUUUUUACCACUUUUCUUUACUUUCACUAUGGUUUAUAUCCUAAGUUAAUGAAAUUUUAAACAAAACACAUGAUUAAAGUCAUUUCACAUUGUGAUGUUCAAAAGUUUAUGUAAAUAUAAUUAAAUAUAACAAAAUAUUCACAAAUAAAAAUUAAAAGAUCAUAAGUUAAGAGAUAGUCAUUACAGACAAAAACGAUAAGGACAUAAGAUAAAUGUUUAAGUGAACUAGUAGGACAUAUAUGUUCAAGGUUAAUAUGUGAUAACACCGUAUUUUGACCACUUUUAUGGAUCGUUUUGAAAUACUUUUUCUAUGUUUUUAAUUGCUUUUAAGUACUUUUAUCACGUUUUUCUAGUAUUUUUAGUUCCAAGACUCUUUUCAGGUAACUUAGGGAAAAACUUAACAAAAUGGAUAGAAAACCAGAUUUCAGCUCAAAGUCAAACCGUCAGAAGUUCACCCCUGAUUGAAGGCCUUCUCACCGUCUGUUCCAGCUCAAAUUUGGAGACCUUAAAGAUGGAAGUAUCAACUUUCCAGCACACUUUACAGCUUGACAAUCCAACGGUUCAAUCAAAAGAUACGCGAAGAGCAAGAUGUCCCGUAAACCAGCCAGCAAGCAACUCCACCCGUGGCCAAUAAGCCAUUUCCCGCGGUCAGAAGCAUCCCGACCGCGGCAAACCACUCAUUCCCCGCGGUCACAGCACUCCCAACCGCAGCAAGCCAACUCCGAGCCCAAAAGCCCAUUUUUGAAGCCCACAAUGAUUCCCUCAUUUGGAGAAACCCUAAGUGACGUCCAGAGCACUAUAAAUACAUGUUUUAGGAACCCUAAUCGAAAAAAAAAGAGACCACCGAAUUUUUACUUCAUAGUUUUAUUGUUUUUGCUUUAGCUUUUAGGGAGAGAGAGAUUUGUUCUCUUGAACCCUUGUUCUUUCUUUUUUAAUUUCGGUUUCUAUUCUACUUAUUAAUACUAUGUUUUUGAUUUCGUUCAUUAUGUCUGAGUAGUUUUAUUGUUGGGAUUAAGGGAUUUUAGAUGGGGAUUUAUAUGUUCGAUGAGGAUUCCAUGAGCUUUUGAGCCGAAUCUUAGAACUUAUUCUUCUGAAUUCGUUUUUACUGCAUGAGAGUAGCGUCAUGAACUACAAUCUGAUCCAGAUGCUUUGUGACACGAAAGUGUUCAUCAGGUAUCAGAUCUAGUUUGGGAGAGCAAAACAAACAUAGGAGUGGAAACCUACCUAUGGGCGAUUUGUCAAUGCUGACGAGUCUUAAACAUAAUGCAUCUCUUCUUUUCCAGGGCCAUAGUGGAAACCUACUGGUCAGGGUUGAGAGAGAUAGUUGUCUAUGAUCACGACAGUGGCGUAUUCAUAUGUCCGUGACUCCAGUUCGAAAAGUUUAAGCUAAGAUCUUAGCAAUUUUACUCUCUAGCAAUGUUUUGAAUCGUUCGUACCCCUGAGAAAACUUCCCUGAACCCCAACGCCUUCUUUCCUAUUGAUUUACACCGUUUUUAUUUCAAGCUUUAGUUCAAUAUUGUCUUUCCUUUUUAGUAGAUUUUCAUUUAAGCAAUUAGAAUAUCCGUUUUUCUCAUUUUUAUUCAUUUUCGUUAAGUUUAGUUAUUAGGUCAUUUAAUUCCCGUAUUUUCUUUUAAGAUUUCGUUUUUACAUUUUAAACACACCACCAAACCCCCACAAAACCGUUUUGGUUCUAGACUUCCUUACUUUAUACUUAUUUCAAAGGCUUUUUGCAGGAAAAGAUCCUCUUUCCCCGUGGAUUCGAUCCCAAAGUACUACAAUCGAUCAGCUGUGCACUUGCGGCUAUUGAUUUCAUUUAGGUUAAAACUUGACAACCCUCACGACAACACCACAUCAAGUUUUUGGCGCUGUUGCCGGGGAAAGCACGCGUUUUCUUUUCUGCAACCCCGAGAAAGGUUGGUAAAUCGACUCUAAAACCCCUUUUUCUGCAAUUUUCCAUUUUUCGGUUUUUUUGUUUCCAUUUCAGAAGAUAUGGAUCCUAUAAAUCGAAAUAUACACUAUGAGGAAGGUUUAUAUAACACUCCUCAAGCCACCAGACACAGAACGUUCCAGAAGGAGCCCUGCGCAUCUCCAAUGGCCAACCCUGAACAACCCGCUCGUCGUUUGCCUCACCAAGAUGAAAACGUCCAACUCAUUCACUGAUUGAAAACACUAGAAGUGGCGGUCUUGCACCUACUCGACGUUCAAGCGAGAUCUAGAUCCACAAUCCACGAGAAAAUUGACGACUUGUCAAUGCGCUUUAACAGAAAGCUUGAAGAUCUUUCAGCUCAAGUCAAGACCAUCGAAACUCAACUAAACAAGGGUGCUGAAACCAUUAAGGAGAGGAUAGAAGCAAUCGAAGGACGAGUUGGAGAAAACGAAGUUCGCAUUCGCAAAGCCAGUGGGAACAUCCGCACCUUAGAGAUCAAACUUGAUGAAGCAGAAGAGACUAUUAACGACCAUAACAACCAAACCUAUUCCUACAUGGAAGAGAUUUAGGAUGGAGUACACAAGGUUCAAGACAAAACAGAGGAAAUAGACUCAACCGUGGACAAAGUAGUCUAUGCCCUCGAUGAAAUCGAAGAGAAGGUUGAAAAGCUUAUGCAAGGAUGUGAAACAAACGGUUCGACGCUUCUCAUCGAAGAUCUUACCUUAAAAAAGGAGGAAACGGAGCUAGAAUGUGCAGAAAUCAGUUUAGAUGGCAAAAGAGCAGACGAAACAAAGGAAACAACUCGGAGCCUUCUUCUCGCGGUCAGAACUCUCGUGACCGCGGCCAACAAGCCUCCAGCCGCGGUCGUGAGCCUCCUGACCGCGGCAAAACCCUCCCCACCCGCGGUCGUGAAACCUCUACCCGCUGCAAAUGCUCCGUCAGAUACCUUUCAGCCCUUUUCCACUCCUACAGGUCAAUGCUUAUUUGAUACAUCUGCUAGGAUGGUCAAAGCCCCUCUACAUGAGCAAACGGUGUAUGCUAUCAGCUCCAAAACAUCUCAAGAAGAAAAUGAGGUACUCCCUUGCAACAUAGUUUUAGCAUAUGAGGAUGAAUAUGAAGGGCACUACCUCGAAGAUGAAGACUAUCGUCUGUUCAUAGAAGGAGGGAAUCCAGACAAAAUGGUGGAAUUAGGAGCACCAAUCUCCAGAGAAAGGCUCAUUGAAUUCAACAAGUUUGUGAAAUCGAUCCCUCUUUACACAGGUUUCGAUGAUAUAUGGCAUCUUGGUUGUUUGCAAGUUUUCUUUAGGUACAGCAAGGAGACAAAGGAGGAUAUCAGAACCUAUUUUGGGAGGGCUAGACGUCUGACUUUUCCCAGAACAUCACCUGAUGCUGCAAUCUAUUCAAUUCACCUCAAAAAGCCGGAAGACUGCAGCCACUACACCAACAAAAUCAGCAAGGAAAAGCUCGAUGAAUUCAAUGAUGUGGUUCGAAAUUUGCCUGAAGAAAUCACGUUUGCCAGAGCUUGCAAGGACUUUAUGAUAGGCCACUACUUCUGUGAGAGCAAAGAAUCAAUCCCUGAGAUAGAAGACUUGUUCAAUCAUGCCAGAAGAGGUAAACCUGUUCGAACACUUCAUAAAAUAGAAGGUGUAGGUCAGUUUCUUAUCUCUUGUUCUAUUAGAGGAGAAAUGUUUAAAAACGUGCUAUGUGAUUCUGGAGCUUGUGUUAACAUGAUGUCCAAGGCAAUUGAUUUGAGACUUGGUAUUAAACACCUGCGCAGGACUAGAGCAAAGAUUAGUCUAGCUGAUGAUUCCAAUGCAACACCUCAAGGAAUAGCUCAUGAAAUUCCUUUGAGAAUAGGAGAUUACAUAGUGCCUGUCGACUUCUACAUUGUCGAAACGAGAGAUGCAACAUAUCCAGUGAUUCUCGGAUGGUCUUUUCUAGCAACUUUCGGAGCUAUAAUGGACUGGCCAAACCGGAGGAUUUCAUUUGCUAAUAUCGACAAAGAUGUCUUCACAGAAGCUGUUCCAUACAACAGCAAAGCAGGAAAACGUUCUGCAACAGAAGAGUUUGAAGAAGAACUUUGGAGUGACGAAGAACCUGCUAGGCAAAGCAAGGAGAUGUCGAAAAAGACUUGUCUCAGGACAAGGUCUUCUUCAUUGGAAUAAGUCACGUCCAACACCAAAAGUCGAGCUAAACGACUUAAAACAGAAGCGCUUAAUGGGAGGCAACCCAUUUAGGUAUUGUUUUCUUUAGGAUUUUUCUUUCUUUUUCUUUUGAUCUUUUUCUUUUUCUUAAUUUCAGGUGUUUCUUAUAAAACAAAAAAACCAAAAAAUCAAAAAACCCGAAAAAAACCAAAAAGAAGGAUGGUACCUGACUGCUCGGCCCAGCAGGAACCAAGGAGAAGCAGGAAGAGGCCGCGAAAUAAGCCUCCGCGGUCGCAGACGUUCUGACCGCGGGAAACUACUCAUCGACCGCGGUCGCGUGAUCCUGACCGCGGCCAAACACUUGGUUGCCGCGGUCGCGCGACCCCUGUCCGCGGCACUUGGUCGUUGACAUCAAACCCAACCCCAAACCACCCACUUCACCCCAUUCCACCUCACCAAUCACCCUCCACCUCAUUCAUCACCCUCCACCACCUUCAUCACCCCCUAAUCACCUUCCCAAACCUCUUCGAAUGAAUCCGGUUCAUCUCCACCAGCAUCCCGGAUCCAGGUAAGUUCUCUUUGUCCUUACCAAUUCGAUUAUCUAUGCAUUUUUCUCAUCCAAUCUCGACUUGUUUCACACUGAGGACAGUGUGAUUUAAGUCUGGGGGAGGAUUUCAUCCUUUUCUAACCACUUUUCUUUCAUGAGUCUUGCAUUAUCUACACUUUUUGCAUUUUCCUUAAAGUUUUUCAAAAUCGGUUUUCAAAACAAAAUACGUUUUAAAGGGAAUGGUGAACAUAAAUCAAUGAUAGUUGACUGUGUGCUUUAGACUAUUCCUAGUGACAUGCUCAUUCAUGAUUUAGGACUAGACUAGGCGGUAGCUAAGCACAUUUGAAACGAAGUACCCCAGAGGAAUUUGAAUGAUUUCGAUUUAGAUGAAGGGAUACACUAGCUCUGUUUUAUUUGGACUUAAUUUGGACUCAAUUUUCUCAUUGAAGCUUUAGACCAGGGAAACGAAUCAUACAUUCAGGACUCCUUUAUCCUUUUACCACUCUCAGUUGAUCCUGAAUGGCUAGUUCAUCUUUAGCUAGUUCCCCACCUUAACCAAUCCUCUUUCAAACCACAUGCACUCUUGUUUUCUAUUGUCUUACAUGCAGAUAAGUGCAAAAACGUUGGAGAGAAAGAGGAACGACGCAGUUUUCAGUCACCAAGGAUAGAGACCUGCGAUUUGCCGGAAAAGUUUCCGGAAGGAUCCAACACAAGAGGAAGCUCAGUUUGCCUUAGAAAAAUCUCAAAUUUUGGUACAAUCUCGUCCUCUAGUCUCUCUCUCUUUAAAAGGCAUUUCCUAUUCUAAAAAAAAAAAAAAAAAAAAUCCAAAAAUAAGAAAAGAAAGGAAAUAAAAGCCUUAGAGAGUCUAGAGAGCUCGAAUUUUAAGUCCCAAGGCAACUGGAGUUUGAUUUUAUGGAGUUUUGGAGAUCGUUUUCUGAUUCCUGGAAAGAAUCUAAGUCUGGGGGAACAGCUGUUUACAACAAAGGAGGAAGGAUUAUGCAACAACAUUUGGCAAGAAGAAGUGACUGAAAAACUGUGGUCAUCAACAGGUCCUUAUCUCUCUUGCGGUUUUGCAUAUUAUCUUGCAUCCUCCAGAUCUUCAGGUAACCCGAAACACUUUAACUCCACCACUUAAACAGUCCUUUAAUGCCAAACGCCGUCUACCCUGGAUAAUGUCUUUAAUGAGAAAUCACUAUUGAACUUAAUGAAUGUAGAGAGCUAGUUGACUGGAAUCAAGAUUUAGAUUUUUUAAGUUUUGCAUGACGGAAAAAGUGGACUAGUAUCUUUUGUGUCUUGGUGAGAAUUUUCUAGACUAAGUUGUGGAUUGAUGCACUAUCUUUGGUUCUAGUUUAGGAGUUAAUGUCUCUGAGAAUUGUGAAUUUCCUAUUUUUGUUUUCACCUAACCAGUUUAGACUUUUGCUUUGCUUGAGGACAAACAAAGGUUUAAGUCUGGGGGAGUUGAUAACACCGUAUUUUGACCACUUUUAUGGAUCGUUUUGAAAUACUUUUUCUAUGUUUUUAAUUGCUUUUAAGUACUUUUAUCACGUUUUUCUAGUAUUUUUAGUUCCAAGACUCUUUUCAGGUAACUUAGGGAAAAACUUAACAAAAUGGAAAGAAAACCAGAUUUCAGCUCAGAGUCAAACCGUCAGAAGUUCACCCCUAAUUGAAGGCCUUCUCACCGUCUGAUCCAGCUCAAAUUUGGAGACCUUAAAGAUGGAAGUAUCAGCUUUCCAGCACACUUUACAGCUUAGCAAUCUAACCGUUCAAUCAAAAGAUACGCGAAGAGCAAAAUGUCCUGUAAACCAGCCGGCAAGCAACUCCACCUGCGGCCAACAGGCCAUUUCCCGCGGUCAGAAGCAUCCCGACUGCGGCAAACCACUCAUUCCCCGCGGUCACAGCACUCCCGACCGCGGCAAGCCAACUCCGAGCCCAAAAGCCCAUUUCUGAAGCCCACAAUGAUUUCCUCAUUUGGAGAAACCCUAAGUGACGUCCAGAGCACUAUAAAUACAUGUUUUAGGAACCCUACUCGAAAAAAUAGAGACUACCGAAUUUUUACUUCAUACUUUUAUUGUUUUUGCUUUAGCUUUUGGGAGAGAGAGAUUUGUUCUCUUACCCUUGUUCUUUCUUUUUCAAUUUCGGUUUCUAUUCUACUUAUUAAUACUAUGUUUUUGAUUUCGUUCAUUAUGUAUGAGUAGUUCAAUUGUUAGGAUUAAGGGAUUUUCGAUGGGGAUUUAUAUGUUCGAUGAGGAUUCCAUGAGCUUUUGAGCCGAAUCUUAGAACUUUUUCUUCUGAAUUCGUUUUUACUGCAUGAGAGUAGCGUCAUGAACUACAAUCUGAUCCAGAUGCUUGGUGACACAAAAGUGUUCAUCAGGUAUCAGAUCUAGUUUGGGAGAGCAAAACAAACAUAGGAGUGGAAACCUACCUAUGGGCGAUUUGUCAAUGCUGACGAGUCUUAAACAUAAUGCAUCUCUUCUUUUCCAGGGCCAGAGUGGAAACCUACUGGUCAGGGUUGAGAUAGUUGUCUAUGAUCACGACAGUGGCGUAUUCAUACGUCCGUGACUCCAGUUCGAAAAGUUUAAGCUAAGAUCUUAUCAAUUUUACUCUCUAGCAAUGUUUUGAAUCGUUCGUACCCCUGAGAAAACUUCCCUGAACCCCAACGCCUUCUUUCCUAUUGAUUUACACCGUUUUUAUUUCAAGCUUUAGUUCAAUAUUGUCUUUCCUUUUUAGUAGAUUUUCAUUUAAGCAUUUAGAAUAUCCGUUUUUCUCAUUUUUAUUCAUUUUCGUUAAGUUUAGUUAUUAAUUCAUUUAAUUCCCAUAUUUUCUUUUAAGAUUUCAUUUUUACAUUUUAAACACACCACCAAACCCCCACAAAACCGUUUUGGUUCUAGAUUUCCUUACUUUAUACUUAUUUCAAAGGCUUUUUGCAGGAAAAUAUCCUCCUUCCCUGUGGAUUCGAUCCCUAAGUACUACAAUCGAUCAGCUGUGCACUUGCGGCUAUUGAUUUCAUUUAGGGUAAAACUUGACAACCCUCAAGACAACACCACAUCAAGUUGUGAGAUAACACCGGAUUCUGACCAUUUUUAUGGAUCACUUUUAUAUCUUUUACAGGUGUUUUUACUCCAUUUUCAAAGGUUUUCAAAGGAUUUCUAUGUUUCCGGAUUUUAAAAGACUUUUCAGGUAAUUUGGGAUAAAGAGGCACAAAAUGGAACAAAAAGACUCUUUUGAAUAAAUGCAGAUCGUCAGAACUCUCAUGGAGAGACGAAGACCUUUUCACCGUCUGAUCACCCUCAAAAUUGGACAACUUAUAGGAGAAUCAACCAGCUUUCAAAUGUACUUGGUUUGGAGACAUUCCAACGGUUGGAUCUCAAGAUAUUCUAUUAGCCCCGGAGCCACUUGAAGUCGGCCAGCAAGUCACGCGACCGCGGUGAUCAACCUAUAUCCCGCGGUCAGAAGCUUCCCGACCGCGGCCAACCAGCCAAUCCCCGCGGUCACAACACUCCCGACCGCGGCAAUCAAUCUCCGAAUUAAAGCCCAUGUAUCUGAAGCCCAAAGUCAUUCUCAGCCUCAAUUCCGGAACCCUAGAGACCAUGGAGUAUUGGAGACUAUAAAUACAUGUCAUUUAGGUCGUUUUUAGGGAGAGCCAUUCAUACUUUACAGAAACCCUUUUUCUUUAGCCGUUUAUAUGAGAUUUUUGUAGAAGAUUGUUCAAGUCCGAGUUCUUCAAUAGAGAAGCUUUCUUUAUCUCUUUUCUUUACUGUUUUUCAUUACUUUUAUUAAAACCAAUGAUGAUGUCGACCUCAGCCAUGUCUGAGUAGAUCCCGAGUUGGGCUUAGGGUUCCCGGAAGGGGCUCUCAUAAUCGAUUAAGACAUCUAGGUUUAUAGAUCUGGGAUUUCGACCUGUUCUCUUUUUAUUCUUGUUCUUAUUGCAUGUAUGCUUGAUUGAUCACCUAGUAUCUGAUCUAGAUAGUUAGUGUUGCAAAAGUUUUCAUUAAGUAUCAGCCCUAAAAUGAAACAGGCGAUUUUUCCGUAGGACUGGAAACCUACCUGCGGCGAGAUCGUGAGUAUUGACGAGUCUUGUGCAGCUCUUGCGUUCUCUCCCUUCUAGGGCCAGAGUGGAAACCUACUGGUCAGGGUUGCGAGAAACAGUUGGUUAUGAUCACGACAGUGACGUAGUCAUACUGCCGUACUCUAGCUCUAGAACCCAUAUAUCGAUAUCCGUCAAUCCCAAUCUAUUUACCCUAGUGUUAAAACCGAUUAUGAUCCCUUAGAGUCCCUAAAAGCUCAGCGUUUUUAGCCAUAGUUUACAAUUCCAUCGAUUUUUAUUUGCUUAUUUAGGCCUGCAUUUCAAUUUCCUUAGUUUGUUAUUUACUUACUUUACUAGUAUUUCAUUCGAUAUUUUACUUGCCUUAUUAGUCUUUCAUUCGAUAUUUUACUUGUUCUAUUUGCCUUUCAUUCGAUUUUUUUACUUGCUUUUUAGGAUAGAUUUAUUUGCUUUCUUUUGUUUUAGUUUAAUACAUCAAACCAACCAACCUUUAAAAACCAAUCUAGUCUAGACAUAAAGUUAAAAACCGUAGAAGAAUACCAGGCACACAAAUCUCUGUGGAUUUGAUCCCUAAAUACUAUAACUGAUUAGCUGUGCACUUGCGGCUUUCAUUUGUUUUGUUAAGGGUAAAACUUGUUCCCUCACGCAGUUGACACGACAUCAAGUUUUUGGCGCCGUUGCCGGGGAUUUGUUUCGCUGCCUUUUGCUAUUUUUCUUGUUUUAACUUCUGUUAUAGACACUUGAUCUCUAGUUCUUUCUUAAAGUUUUGCUGAAUUAUCUUUCCCUUCUUUUGUUUUUCUCUGAAUUGCAUGAAUACCAGGCGCAUACCUGUAGAAAACAUUCCAAUUCUAGACGAGAUAGACAGACACGAAAGACAACUUCGAAGACUUAGACGAACACAAAGAAUGGCCAACGACAACCAGCCUGGAGAUCCUAUUAAUCGAACUUUAAAUAUGGACCAAGACGGGUCCGAACAUGGGGAAAAUGAAGAGAAUGAUCACAGUGGAGGUGAUCAUGCUCGACAAGAUGGAGAGGAAGAUGAGUUUCCUCCAAGAAACCACCAGAACCGAGAGAGAGAAGGACGUGAAGACCUUGAUCCACCCAUCAAUGCAGCCGAUGGUGACCACCCAGCAAUGCAGCCAAAUGAACGCAUUCACCGCCCCAUUCCGCCAGCAAAUCAACACCGAAGACAAGCCAGGAACCAUCGCAUAGCUGAUUUUGAUGGACCUACUCAAAAUUUUCAGAAUCGAUCUGCAAUUCAAGUACCAUUUCCAAACCGGAAUGAGUUUGAAGUCAAGCCUCAAAUCAUCUCAUUGGUGAAGCAAAACCAGUUCCAUGGAGUUCCUUCUGAACACCCAAUGGACCAUAUCGAGCUCUUUGAAGAAAUUUGCAGCAUGAUGAGAACAAAUCAAAUUCCACCAGACUAUUUAAAGUGUAAGUUGUUCCUUUUUUCAUUAGCAGAUAAAGCUCACCGUUGGUUGAAAUCUUUGCCUGCAGGAUCGAUUACCAAUUGGGAAGAAUGCAGAAAUGCUUUCCUAAACCACUUCUACACUAAGUCAAGGUCGAAUCAGUUGAGAACAAAGAUCUCAAACUUUCAACAAGGGCCAACUGAAUCUUUCUAUGAAGCCUGGGAGCGUUUUAAGGAGUAUGAACGUGAUUGCCCUCACCAUGGAUUUCAUGGAUCAAGCCUGCUGAGCACAUUUUACCGAGGUUUGCAACCAAAAUAUAAACUUUCACUUGAUACAGCUAGCAAUGGAGAUUUUGGACAAAAGAUGAUAACCCAAGGAAGAGCUCUCAUCGAAAAUUUGGCUCAAGCCAAUAGCAAUGACUGUCCUGAAUAUGAUCGAUCAAUGAAGCAAGCCGGAACAGACAACAAGGAGAUAACCGAGUUGAAGAACAUGGUGAGCCAGCUUCUGAAGAGUAACAAUCGCCCAAUCCAUGCUUGUGAGACCAACAAUGGCGCAGAAGAUGAAGGACCUAGUGAUAUCGAUCACAUUAAUCAAGCCUUUCAAGAGGAAGAUGUGAACUAUGUAGGAGCACUGGUGCCAUAUCAAAAUCGCUCCAAUAAUAGCUUCAACAACAACUUCCGGAAUGCAAAUUACAACAAUCUCUCUUACCGCAAUCCAAAUGUGGAGAAUCCUCAAGACCAGUACUACCCACCUCAGCAAAAAUCCUUUCAAAACAAGUUUCAAGGUGGAAACGUUGGAGGAAUAGUACCAUAUCAACCACGACAGCCAUUUAACUACCAAGGUACGGGUUUUAACAAUCAAUUUGUACGACAGCAGGGAGUCACGACGAACCAGCUAGCUUCACAAAUCGGUAGACUUGAACAGUCAAUCCAACAGCUCGUUAUGACGAACGAAAAAGCAUCUAAAGACGUGAACGUGAAAGUGUACUGCAUGUACAAUGAUCUGAAUGGUAAGUUUGAAUCUUUAUCUUCGCACGUAAAAAAGUUAGAUGUGCAAGUCGCCCAAACAGCCGACUCUAUGAAGAGGCAAAGUGGAGUACUUCCAGGAAGAGUUGAAGAUAACCCUAAGAAGUUUUGCAACGCCAUAACCACAUUGCCCGAAGAAGAGGCCGGAACCAAUGGAAAGAAAGAAGAAACCCCAAUCUUUGUACCACUGUACAAGGAUAUCAAUCCCAAGAAGCCACCGUUUAAGGUACCUGAACGAUCACCGUUUUAAAGGCUUACCAAAGCCGAUGAUCCAGGACGUUUUGUUUUCCAGUGUUUCAUUUCAGGAAUCAAGUUUACAGACUGCUUGUGUGAUUCCGGAGCCAAUGUCAACAUCAUGUCUAAGACGUUUGCCGAAAAAUUGGGCACUAAAACCUUAAAGACAUCGACGGUUAAGGUUAUUUUUGGAGAUUCAUCUCAAAAAGAUACCAAAGGGGCAAUUCAUGAUCUACAAGUUCUAGUGGGAGACAAAAUCGUUCCAGCAGAUUUCCAAGUCCUGGAAAUGGAUAAAGACAAGGAGAGGCCACUCAUUUUCGGGAGACCAUUCCUAGCUACAGUAGGAGCAGUAAUCGAUCACGCAAAACGACAUGUUGUUUUCCUCAAUGUGGAUCGAAAAAAGUACUAUCCGACUAUCUUAGACGAUUUUCCAAGCAAAGGAAACAUACCAAAAGAGAAAGAGAAGGAGAAGCCGAAAGCUUUUGCAAAGAUCAAGAUCAUCAUUCCACCAGAUGCAACAGAAACUAGUGAGGACUAAAUCCAGGAGCUGAUCGAAAACACAAAAAGGGUUUUAAACAAUAUUAAAGUUCGAAAGAAGAGUAAAGGAAAGAAGACGGCUCCUCAAGGAGAAGAAGUAAAACCUCCAGCGACCGGAAGUGAUAAAGGCACAUCAAGUGGAGUGCCAUUCAAAUCAGCCUGAUUCCUCAUGCUUACGUCGAGCUAAACGACUUAAAACAAAAGCGCUUAAUGGGAGGCAACCCAUUUAGGUACUCUUUCUUUUAGUUUUCUUUUCCUUUUUUUUUACAAUUUAUACUUUCUUUUUCUUUUUAAGUUUUAGGUAUUUUAUAAAACAAAAACACAAAAAAAAUCAGAAAAUUAAGAAAACCAAGAAGAAAAAGGUAGGUUUUUAGCUGCUCGGCCCGGCAAAGACGAGAAGGUUGGACAAAGGCCGCAUGAGGAAGAGCCGCGGUCGCGACUGACUGACCUGCGGCCAAGGGAGCAUCGACCGCGGCACCGUGAAUGUGACCGCGGCCGAGCACUCGACCACCGCGGUCGCGCGUCUCCUGACCGCGGCCGUUGGUCGUUGAGGUGAUUCCGCGGAUUUCUGCCGCUUUUCGGUGUUGCCUGGUGUUUGCCUGGUGAUUCCUGGUGUUGCCUGGUGUAUUCUCGGUGUUGCCUGGUGUUUGCCUGGUAAUUCCCGGUGUUGCCUGGUGUUUUCCUGGUGUUGCCUGGUGUUUACCUGGUGUUUACCUGGUGUUACCUGGUGAUUCCCGGUGAUUCCCGGUGAUUCCCGAAAUGUUCCCGGUAAAAUCCGAAAAGCUCCUCCGUAAGUUUUAAACUUUCCUAAUGUGCAAACAAGAAAGGUAAGUUCCCGUAAACUUAAAAAUUUCUAGAAAUUUUCCGUUUUUGCUACAAAAACGCUUUUUAAAGAAAAGAAACAAACUUUUUGGAUCAAAACUCCUUCUUCUCUUCUCUUCCAAAAGAUUUGGAGAUUUAGGAGAUAGAAUACAUUUUUCAAUUCUUAAGCUUUUUAAAAGAUUUUUGGCUCAAACCUCACUCUUUUUCAAAGCUGAUUCCAAUUCUGCAAUCAAAUCUCUCUUUCCAGCAAGGUAUGAACCUCAAACUCGCCAUUUUUAAUUGAUUUCAUAACUUAGGGUUUUUUUAAAAAUCCCAAAUCUCUGUUUAUUGAUGGUAGAAAUAGAUUAAGAAUGAUAGAUUAUCCAUUUAGGUUAUCUAAAAAUUGAUUUUAGCACCUAGCUUAAGAGGAAUUGAGAUUUUUGAAAUUUGGAUUCUACAUGCUUCAUAAAAAUCGAAUUUGGAACAGCAAAAUUGAUGAGUUUGAUUAAGUCUUGUGUGAUUAAUGAUUAGUAUUGUGUGAGCCAAAACUCAAACAACCAGAAAUUUGUUUAAGGAAAACUAAGGGAUCGGAAACUUCUAGGGUUUAUCGCCAAAAACAGUAAGAUCGAAAGAAAGUUUUUCUUGCUGUAAAAGUGUUUAGCUCUUAUUGCUUAGGGUUGCAAAAGUUACAGAAUGAAUUGUAUACAUCGUCUAUUUAUACUAACUCUCUGAACCGCCUAGCCGAGAAUCUCGGGAGAGAUUUUCGGAAUAUUUCCUUAUCGCCUCGUGCGGCUCACCGCCUUUGUAUUUCGCCUAGGAUUUUUAUGGGCUUCGUCUCCCAAGGCCACGGUUUGGCCCAUCAUUCUCCUUUGCCACGGCUCGGCCAUCUAAUUUCUUCACGGCUCGGCCCACUUGCCAUUUCGGUCGAGACAUGAUCUGGUCCACCUCACCGAGGCGCGGCUCGGCCCAAGCAUGUUGGAAUGGGGCUCGGCCCAUUUCUUACGAUACGGCUCUCCCUACUGGUCUAUCGUCACGGCUCUCCCACUUGGUGAUCGCGGCUCUCCCGCUUGUCUUGGUGAGAACGGCUCUCCCACUUGUCUUGGUGAGAACGGCUCUCCCACUUGUCUUGGUGAGAACGGCUCUCCCAUUUGGUGACCACGGCUCUCCCACUUAUCUUUCUUCCAUACUUAGUCAUUUUGAGAUGGUUUUAUCUGCGUGGGGUGAAAACCGACCCCAACAGUUAGCCCCACUGCUCGUCAGUUUCGGAGGCGAGAGUAACGAGGUCCAUUACUCCUGACCGUAGGAUAAACCAUCGAGUCAAGCUGUUAUGACAUAGGCCCAGAUGAGGUGUUUUGGGAAUGAAGACGCCGAGGUGUUUCCAAGGAGUGCCGAGGGUGCCGAGGUGUUUCGAAAGGGUACCGAAGAUGCCGAGGCAAGUUAAGGACGAGGCGACCUCGUUUGGUAAUAAUGGGCCGAUGCGAUUUCGUUUAGUAAUGAUGAGCCGUGACGAGGCGAUUUGAGAAGGUUAUACCGAGCCGAAUAAAUGGCGAGGCGUUUCGAGAGAAAGUUUGUGCCGAGCCGUUUCGUUAAUGACAAGGCGUUUCGAGAGAAAAUUCGUGCCGAGCCGUUUCGUUAACGACGAGGCGUUUUGAGAGAAAGUAAAUGCUGAGCCGUUUCGUUAACGACGAGGCAUUUCGAGAGAAAAUUCGUGCCGAGCCGUUUCGUUAACGACUAGGCGUUUCGAGAGAGAGUAAAUGCCGAGCCGUUUCGUUAACGACGAGGCGUUUCAAGAGAGAGUAAAUGCCGAGCCGUUUCGUUAACGACGAGGCGUUUCGAGAGAGAGUAAAUGCCGAGCCGUUUCGUUAACGACGAGGCGUUUCAAGAGAGAGUAAAUGCCGAGCUGUUUCGUUAACGACGAGGCGUUUACUUUGGUAAGAUAUCGGCUGAAAAAUUGGGCAUCACAACUGUUGGUCUUCCGAGAGAAAAUUCAUGAUCUGUUGGCGCGUGUGACCGACGCAGUUCGGUCUAGCCGUUCCACUGCGGAUCCCACGCGCUGUUUGGACGGUUUCCCGAGGUUUACGCGGAAUUCACGCGCUUCGGUUUUCCUAUAAAUGGGUGAGCUCCUUCAUUCUUCCUCAUUAUCUUCAGACUCACUUUUUUUACUAAAGGUAGCUCUCCCUUCUCUCUUCUUUCUCUCUCUAGUUUAUUUAUUUUCCCGCUAGGGUUUCCGAGGUCUCCGCCGUUCCAGAUCUUUUUCCGGCAGAGGCUCGCCGAGUCGUGCUGUAAUUCUUGUACAAGUCGUAAGUUAUGUCGAGCCACUCCGACGAUUCGUUGGAUUCACUCUUUCACUACGAGCCGAGCCGUGUAGAUGCCGAGGCGAGAGGUACAACAGAAUCCUCCGAGGCAUCCGUUUCGCCGAGCCCUUCCAAUCGUUCAUCUGACGAGGCGUCAAAUCAUGCAAAACCGUCAGAUGUCGACUCUACAGAUGAUGAGCCAUCGGUUUCGACGAGCCGUCCCCAGGAUCCCAUUCCUGAUGAAGGUAUCAACUGCGCCGCAGUCUAACCCGAGGAGGAGGCAUUUCCCUUUGACCUAUUCGAGGCGAAGCGUGAGUUGGAACGUCUCAUAGCGUCUCGAGGCGCUUCCACAUCUGGGCGAGGGCCACGAGUUAAAAGACAAAAGCCUGACCCGCCUGGCUCUACGCUUUGCUCCCUUGAGUCGCUCUAGGCGUUGAGGCAUCGCUUCAGGAUAUCCGAGGCGGUGGAGUUCAUCGUUCCAGAGAAGAGCGACCGAGCCGACAAGCCUCCAGAGAAUCACUUCACUCUGUACGAGGCGUUCUUCGAGCUUUGCUUUCUCUGGUUCCCAAUCCCCGGAGUGAUCCUUGAAUAUCUCUGGAAACACGGGAUCUCGAUUGGGCAAAUCAUGCCGAGGGGAUUACGGCGUAUGAUUGGCAUCUUAGUUCGUAGCUCCGAAUGCGGACUCGAUAUCGAGCUGAAUCACCUGCUGGACUUGCUGGAAAUCAGGAAAGCCCCGAAGGGAAAUAGAUUCUAUAUUUCCAACAAGGCGAAACGACGGAUCAUAGGCGGUUUUCCCAGCAAGGAUCAGUUUUGGACUGAACGCUUUUUCUACGUCUUGGUGAACGAGGCGUCGGUCGGCGAGGAUUACGUUCAAAGAACCAAGACCGCUUGGGGAUCACUUGGUAGCCGACCCGAAGCUCUGCCUCGGCUCGGAACUGCUUUUGGUAUCCUCUUCCUUUUCUGAAUUUUUUUCUUUUUUGCUUUGUUUUGCAGUUCGGUGCUUUCUUCCCCCGAUUCCCGACGACCUUUUUACUGUUCAAGACUCUCUUUCGGCGCGGAAGGUUAAUUGGAGAAAGAACUUCACCCUCGAAAGAGUAGAAAGAGCGCGAGCCAUCCUUGCCGGAGUCCCCGUCAGCUCUUCGUCCUCAAGUUCUUCAAGACAUACCCGGGAGAAGAUAGUAAUAAUCGCUCUCAGAGAAAGGAAGAGGCGCGAGGAAGAGGAGGCCGCUAGAUGAGCUGCCGAGGCGGCUCGCGCGCAUACCGAGGCAGUUCCAGCGCAAGCCGAGGCGGUUUCAGCGCAAGCCGAGACCAUCCCUCAACCCGACCCGCCGAGCCAGGAAGGGGAUGUAAUGGUCCAAGCCGCAGAAGGAGACACUGCCGAGGCGGCUGAUAAAGAUGCAGCGCCCGAGGUGGAACCGGGCGAAAUUAUCCCCGAGGUGUCCGGGGACGGCUCGGCGGCGCGGAGUAAGACUCCUUCGCACACCGCCAUCCUGGCCCUCCCGAAGUCGACGAGGCCACCGACUUCGGUUGUUCAGAAGCAUGACUCUAGCCGAAAACGUUCGGCUACUGACAAGGGGAAGGGCGUCGCCGUUCAGAAGGACGAGCCGUCCAAGAAGAGGCGGAAACCGACGCCCGGGGACCCGCCGCGCAUAAGUUGGUCGUUGACGACCCCAACGCCUCUGCCGUCAUGUUCUCGCGUGUAAAUAACGCGAACACGAGUCUUCCUCCUCUGGAGAAGCUGAGGAGGCCGAGGUCAUACGGCACGAUGGAACAGCACGGUACCAAGGUACGUUCUAUUUUCUUUCCUUUAUUUUUGCAAAUUUUACGAGGUGUUUAACGCACGUCUGUUCUCUGCAGUUUGUCGCGGCCAUUAACGACCUGAUGGCCGAGUAUGAGGCGGACCUGUCUAAGGUCGAAUGUCGUUUGGACGAGGCCCGAAAUGAAACCGUGGCGUCAAAGGUGAAGCUGGAAGAGGCGCAAAACGAAGCCGCGGCCGCGAAGGGGAAACUCACCGAGGCGAUGACCCGAGUGUCGAGGUUGGAAGAGGAGAAGAUAGUUCUCCGCGCUGACGUCGACAAAGUUUCCGCCUUGGUGAUUCGCCUGGAGGAAGCAAGGAGAGCUAAAAGCGCCGAGGUGGCGAUGCAAGAGGCGUAUCGAAGCCAAGGACGCUCUGUUUGAUGCCAAGGUCAAGCGGGCAAAAAAGGAGGCGAGGCGAGAGCUUACGGCUAAGUUUCAGGAACGCCUCGCCAAGGUAGAGGAAGAUUUGGUCAAGCUCGAGAAGGCCAAAAAUGAUGAGAACGAUCUGGGGCAGAUCAAGGGCAAUCUUGCGAUGAUUGCCGACCUGAAGAAGCCGGACACCCCGACGCUUGAUGACGAGGAGGCGAAGCUGAAAAGUUGGGAGAGUGAGUAUGCCAACGACGAGGCGUACGAGCGUAUUGCUUCCGAGAUUCAAGGCGAGCUGUUUUACUCUCCCGUAUCGCUGGACUCGGUAGACACCAGCAUUGGCAACGAGCCGCUUGAAGAGACAGCGGCCAACCUGGGUGUCGUUGAUCCGACCAGAUCGAACGCGGGGACACCAGCCCUCUCGAACCUCCUUGCCGAGCGCGAGACGCAAUCCGUGGCUUGAUACUCUCUGCUUUCCCUCACCCUUUAUUGCACAUGUUCUUCUUUUUGUUUUUGUACUUAAGUUUUUUCAUGAUUCACUUUUCGAACUCGUUAUGUAAUUGGUGCCUGGAUGGCUUUAUCCACUUGACUUUUAUUUUUGCUUUAUGGAUAUAUUUUAUUUUCCUUAGCCAUUUUCGGAUUUACUUGUCUAACAAUCCAUGAAAAUGUUUACGAAAACUGUUGGCUUAGAAAAAUUGUCAAGGAUGAAAACUGUGUGUCGAGAAUGAUUUGAUUGCUUCCUUAGCCGGGCUUUUCGAAAUUGAUAGAAAUACGGGCUAAGGGGUGAAUUGUGUUAAGGAUCUCGUUUGGAUUCUUAAUCCCGAGCUGGGAGUUUAGGUGAUAAUGUCGAGGCAAAUUUCCACUGGCAAUGCCGAGCCGUAUUUAACGACGAGGCGUUUUCGCUGUGUAAGGUGCCGAGCCGUGUAAACGGCGAGGCGUUUUCUCUAAGCGUGGUACCGAGCCGUGUACACGACGAGGCAUUUUUUCUGUGCAUGGUGCCGAGCCAUAAGAACGACGAGGCGUUUUCUCUUUGCGUGGUGCCGAACCGUAAGAACGACGAGGCGUUUCGUUUUUUGUUCAGCCAAGAAUGAUUUGGUAGUCUCAUUGAAUCUUACUAUGGACCGGCGUUUCCGAGAGGAUGAAUAUGUUUGUCCGGGUUUUAAGAGUUUACUUCGGUUUUAGAGAAAGCGAUGUAGUCUCGACUUACAUUCUCGUGUGCGAUAGUAAACCGUGGCGACCUGAUACGUUUUUGGUCUGAUAUUUGUAUAGCGCUUAAUUUUUAUCCGUAGAGGAUGUAACUUGCACCCUCGUCCUAGGAAAGGUGGUAAAGUUCGUUUAGAGAACUUUGUAUUUGUUGCCCCGUUAUGGCCAGCAACGAGACGAGGCGUUCGGAGGCUUAGUUUGCCGAUCUGAAACUGAGGACCGAUUAAGGUCUGAGGUAAUCAAGUCAUGAUAUCGUGCCGAAGUGGUAUGAUUACUCUCCGAAGUGAUGAGUGAUAAAAUUUUAAAAAUCCGAGCUUGUUAAAAUAAGUUGCUGAUUUAGAAAAAAUGAGAAACUAGCCGAAGCGAUAAUGAACGAACUAGAAAUCCAAGGUAAACGUGCAAUAAGUAGAUGAUUAAAAACGAACUGAGAAUGUGCCGAAGUGGCGAUGUUCCUAAGUGAGCAAGUUAAAAUUGUAGAGUUAAAGAAGGUAUGUGUAUAAGUACCCACUCCCCCCCCCUUUUUAGGAAGGGGGACAGCUGAACCCGUCCGAGGACGGGCUGCCUACGUACCCUUUGAAGGGAUCAAGCCGUCCCGUAGUUCAUGCUUGCCAUGCUGUACCUUUAAUGAUAAUACUUUUUUAGAUGCAUUGCGUUCCAUGAUCUUGGAAUCGCUUCGUCAGCUAGUGUCGCGAGUUCGUAGACUCCUGGACGAACCACUUUUGUGACCUUGUAAGGACCUUCCCAAUUUGCUCCGAGCUUUCCUGCGUUCUUCUCGGCAGUGUUUUGGAAGACCUUUCGGAGGACGAGCUCCCCUGCUUUGAAUCUUCGACUACGAACGUUUUUGUUGUAGUAUCGCGCCGUUGCUUGUUGAUAGUUCUGGAUCCGAAUUAAGGCUUGGUCGCGCUUUUCGUUGAUUAGGUCGAGCUCAUCUAGCAUCAUUAAGUGGUUCAAGCCCUCCUGUCCUGGUAGAAGUCUUCGUCGAAUACCUGGGAAAUCCACCUCGGGGGGAAUUACGCACUCCGAUCCGUAGACCAAAGCGAAUGGAGUUUCCCCGGUGGCUCGGCGCGGAGUUGUCCGAUGAGACCAAAGGACUCCUUCGAGUUCGUCUGCCCACCGUCCCUUCUUGGCGUCGAGCCUCUUUUUCAGACAGUCGAGGAUCAUCUUGUUGGCUGCUUCGGCUUGUCCAAUCCCUUGAGGGUAUCUUGGCGUAGAUUUGCUGAGGCGGAUUUUCCACUUCUCGCAGAAGGCUUCGAAGCGUGUUGAGAUGAACUGGGAUCCGUUGUCGGUGACUAUCUCGUAGGGGACCCCGUGUCGGCAGAUGAUAUUUUUCCAGACAAAGUGUUCGACUUGAACAUCCUUUAUGCUUGCGUAGGAAUCGGCUUCGACCCACUUGGAGAAGUAAUCCGUGAGGACGAGCAGAAAACGAUUCUGCUUUGAGCAAUGUAGAGGUCCGACGAUGUCCAUCCACCAUCUCAUGAACGGAUAGGGUGAUGAAAUUGACGCAACUCGGUAGGUUGAUGAAUUGUUGGAGCGUGCCGCUGACACUUCUCGCACUUCGCCUUAAAUUUCUCGUAGUCCUUGACCAUCGUGGGGCAGAAGUAGCCGUGCCGUUUUAUCUUGAUAGCGAGCGACCUUCUGCUGGAAUGGUUCCCGCACGCGCCGCUGUGCACCUUGUGCAUGAUCUUUCUUGCCUCCGGUCCUUCGACGCAUGUCAUGAAAGGCCCUGAAAAUCUCCAUUUAAACACCUCGCCACGACGAGGACAUACCGUGCGACCUGAGCUUUUAGUUUGCGGGCUUCCCAUUUGUCGGUUGGCACCUCUCCAUCGGCGAUAUACACUCGGAUAGCUCCGAGCUAUUCUUUGUCGCAGCCGUACUCCGGCUCGGUCGGUGAGGCGUCUUCAUCCAUAGGAAUGGCUUCGUCGUCCUCUGGUUCUUGUUCAGGAGGAUUUAUCAGCCGAACUCCUUCCACCUCUUUGAUGCUAGGACGUUCGAUGAAUUCGACUGGGAUCGUCCGUCGGAGGUCUGGGUCUGAGGUCGAAGCGAGUGCUGCCAAGGCGUCGGCCGAGGUGUUUUCCCCUCGGGGAAUGCGCGUGAGUUCGUACUCGUCAAACUUUUGCACCAACUCUCGGACCACCUUGAGGUAAGCUCCCAUUCGUCCAUCCUUCGCCUCGUAUUCUCCGUUGAACUGACAUGCUACGAGCUGUGAAUCGCAAAAGGUUCUUAUCUUUCGAACUCCGAUUCCCUACGCUAGUCGUAUGCCGGCGAUCAGUGCUUCGUAUUCCGCUUCGUUGUUCGAGGCGUGGAAGUUUAGGUGAAAAGACUGCUCCAAUAUCUCUCCGGUGGGAGAGGUGAGGCGAAUUCCUAUACCCGAGCCGUGUUUAGACGACGAGCCAUCGACGUGCAGCGUCCACACUUCGUCUAGAGUCGGCUCGUUUGUUUCUUCGGCGGGAAGUUCAAUGAGGAAAUCUGCGAGCACCUGUGACUUUGCAGACGACCUGUUCCGAUACUCGAUGUCGUAUUCGCUUAGCUCUAUGGCCCACUUGGCGAGCCGACCGGAUUGGCUAGGGCUGUGAAGGAUCGAGCGCAGCGGAAGCGUAGCGAGCACAACAAUCGAAUGUUAUUGAAAGUACGGGCGCAGUUUGCGAGCCGAGACUACGAUGGCUAGGGCGACCUUCUCGAUCUGGGGGUAGCGGGUCUCGGCGUCGGUUAGUGUCUAGCUGAUGUAGAAAAUGGGUUUUUGCUCGGAUCGUUCUUCUCUGAUAAGCACUCCGCUUACGGCUGUAGCAGACACUGCGACGUAGAGGAAGAGCGGCUCUCCUUCGACUGGUUUUGCUAAGAUUGGUGGGCUCGCCAGAUAAUUCUUCAGUUCCUGGAAAGCCGUCUCGCAUCGUUCGUCCCACUCAAAUUUCUUGUUUCCUCGGAGGGUGUCGUAGAAGGGCAGGCAUUUGUCUGUAGAACGGGAAAUAAACCUGUUUAGCGCGGCGACUCUACCUGUGAGCCUUUGCACUUCGCGCUUCGUUCUUGGAGAGGGCAUCUCAAUUAACGUCUUGAUCUGCUUGGGGGUUGCUUCUAUGCCUCGGUGAGUUACCAGAUAGCCGAGGAAUUCUCCCGAGGUGACCACAAACCUGCACUUUGCCGGGUUUAGUUUCAUGUUGUGCUUGUUCAAUUGUUCGAAGCAUUCCCAUAGAUGCGCGACGUGGUCUUCCUCCUUGAGUGAUUUGACUAACAUGUCGUCGAUGUAUACUUCCAUGGUUUUUCCGAGCUGAGCCGCGAACAUUUUAUUGACGAGCCGUUGAUACGUUACUCCUGCGUUCUUGAGCCCGAACGGCAUGACUUUGUAGCAGUAUAUCCCUCGAUCAGUUAUGAAUGCCUUUUUUUCUCGAUCAUCAGGAUGCAUCAGGAUCUGAUUGUAGCCGGAGAACGCGUCCAUAAAUGUUAACAGUCUAUUCCCUGCAGUGGCUUCGACGAGCCGGUCGAUGUGUGGCAAGGGAAAGCUGUCUUUUGGGCACGCCUUGUUGAGGUCGGUGAAAUCCACACAUACUCGCCACUUGCCGUUCUUCUUCUUCACGACCACCGGAUUUGCGAGCCAAUCCGGAUAUUUGGCCUCGGCGAUUGAUCCUACUUUGAGUAACCUUUCAACUUCGUCGUUAACUGCUUUAGCUCGUUCGGGGCCGAGCUUCCUUCUUUUCUGCUUGACUGGCUUAAAGGUCGGAUCCACAUUCAGCUCGUGACAGGUUACGUCAAUGCUUAUGCCUGGCAUAUCUUCUGCUGUCCAGGCAAAAGUGUUGAUGUUCUCCUUGAGGAGGGAAAGGAGUUCGCUUCUCAGAGGCUCUUCUAGUUUUAUUCCAAUUUCGAUGCAUCGCUCCGGACGCGCCUCGUCUAUGCACACCGAGUCCACUGCAUCGCAUACCGGCUCGGCGCGUGUUUCGCGGUUCUCCGUGAUCUGUAAUUGCUAUAAGAGUUUCGAGAGCUCGUUUGCGGGCUCUCGGUCUGUCUUCAUCUUUUUGCGGUCUAUAUCUGCUCGUGCGUCAGUGACGGGGUUCCUCAGCUUGUGCUCGGCUAAGCAGCACAUUCUUGACUCCUUCUGAUUCCCCCAUAUCGUUUUGACACCCGAUGGAGUUGGGAAUUUGAGACAGAGAUGAUAGGUGGAUGGUACCGCCCUCAUCCCGUUGAUCCAUGGAGUUCCCAUGAUCACAUUGUAGAUUGCUGGGUGAUCAGUGACGCAGAAUUCGACGAUCUUAGUGACUCCGCCAGCUACCACAGGAAGCCUGAUCGUUCCCAUAGUCAUCGUCGUUUCUCCUGAAAAUCUGGUUAGAGGUUGGGGAUUGCUUCCACCUCGGAGAGGUCGAUUCCCAUUUUUCUGAGUGUUUCUCUGAAGAUGACGUUCACUGAGCUUCUAGUAUCGAUGAGCACCCUUGCCACAUCAUGAUCCAUGAUCGUUAACUCGAUCACCAACGGAUCGUUGUGAGGUCGAUCAAUUCCUGCCGCUUCCUCCUCGGCGAAGGAGAUCACUGUGUUUGGGAUGUCGGUUGGUUUUAUCCAAUUCUCCUUUGCUUCGGCUCGGCGCUGAUAGGCUUUGAUGGAGGACACGGUAUCAUGGUAGUAUUGAGAUCCACCCAUGAUCAUAUUGAUCCUUUGCCUCGGCACGGGUCGCUCUUCGGGUUCACCUCUCCUGUCGCGCUUGGAGUUAUCGCCUCUUCGCGCUGCUCGGCUCGGCUCUCUCUUGUUGUUCGUUAGGGACGAGGUCUUUGAGGUUGACCGCGUUUUGGAGCUCUCCCGCUGCCAUCUUAGGCACGAGUUUUGCUCCUAGAGUUCGGCACUGUGCCGUUGAGUGCCCGUAGGUCUGGUGAUACUCACAGAAAGCCUUCUCGUCGUAGUUGGCGGAUUUCCUCACCCAAGUGUUGUUGCGCGGCUCUCCUCUUCCGCGUCCGGUGCCUACCUGGUAGUUAUGGGCACCUCCGCUUCUAGGUUCAUCCGAGCUCUGCGUUGUUGCGUUGUUUGAUGGGUUGCCCUUCCUCGCGGGGCGCGGCAAAAUUGAGCUUCGGAUUGCUGCUUUCGUCGCUUCGUACCGCUCGUCCAAGUUUUUCAUUUCCUCCUCGUUUACGACGAAGUCUGAUGAUCGGUGCAGAGCGUCUUGAAUUGUUUGCGGCGUGUUGAGAGCCAUCUCCCGUUGGAACUCGGAUUUGUACCACAAAGAUUGUUUCAGAGCCUCGAGCGCAGCCUUGUCGCUUAUCCCUUCUAUUUUGGAUACGAGUGCCUUGAAUCUUGCCAUGUAAUCCCGAAGCGGCUCGUUCAGUCCUUGGGAUAGUGUCCACAGAUCGGCAUCAGAUGUUCCUCUGUCCAUAAACAUCGAGUAUUGUUUCUGGAACAAGGCGGAGAGCUGUUGAAAAUUGCCGAUUGAAUUUCGUUCCUGCCUCGAAAACCACUCGAGUGCGGCUCCCUUGAGAUGCUCCACGAAGAGCAGGCAGUAUCCGGCAUCUACUUUGCGCUCGGUGAGUUUAGCGGCGUUCUUUGUGAAGGCUCGUCCCAUUGCUAUCCGAAACGCUGUGAUGUGUGCUUUCGGGUCGGUUGUUCCUUCGUAGAACGGGAUUCUCACCUUCCCCGGCUCGGGAAUCCUGGCCUCCGUGAUUCUUGCAGUGAAUGGAGUUCUCUGAGUUUCUUCAAGCAUUCGGUCGAUUUCGGGCGCUGCGCUUGUCACGUUGUGCACUUGGGAUUUCAUGGCGCGUAUUUCAGCUACUGUCCGAGCUAUCGAGGCUCGCAGCUCUUUGAGUUCGAGAGUUUGUGUGUGAAUCAUUCCCUUUGAUUGGGGGAGUCGCUCCCGCUCCUCUCUCCUCGGCUCGUCUUCGCGCUCUGCCUGUUCGAUCCAUUGGCGAUUUUCUUCCUCCUCGGUUGGAUUGUCGCUGCGGGUCGGGUCGGAAACUUCGUCAGUUCGGAUGCCGUUUAGUGCCGAGGCGAGGUCUUCUUGACUUAUUCGCCGAGCCGAGCCGGUUUGUUGCGGAUUCGUGGUUCAGUCGUUAUGCUGGGCGUCUACGUCGAUCGCAUGGUUUUCUUCUUCGCCGGCUCGCCGCCUUGAGUUUCGGCGGAGAGGGGGCGGCUCGGUCAUGUUGACUCUGGUUGCUGCGGGGGGUCUUUUCGUCGAGGAGACGAAACAUUGGAGGAGCCGAGGGGUUUCUUGCGCCACUCCCUGAGGCUUCUGCAGGUGUCGAGAAAUCGAAGCGUCUCCGGAUUCCAUCCAUCGGGUCGGGAAUUCCGGCUCUCCAAGUUUGGUGCAGUCGCUCAGCCGCCAUCGCGUCGAGCCUUUCCGUAAUCGCCUCGUUUCUUUUAUCCUGUUCGUCGAUUUUCUUCAUCAACGCAGCCAUCAUGUUUGCAUCUCCUCCUGGGUUUUGAUCGUUGCUGUCGUUGUGCCCGAUGCCGGAGCGUCCUUCUCCGUGCCGUUACCGGUGUUGUUGUUGUUGUUGUCGUCGGGGGUGUUGCUCGCCAUGUUCUUCGGAUCUUAAAGUCUUGUCGAUUUAGAGUAAGAAAGUUUCGAUUCCCCACAGACGGCGCCAAAUUGUGUGAGCCAAAACUCGCACAACCAGAAAUUUGUUUAAGGAAAACUAAGGGAUCGGAAACUUCUAGGGUUUCGCCAAAAACAGUAAGAUCGAAAGAAAGUUUUUCUUGCUGUAAAAGUGUUUAGCUCAUAUUGCUUAGGGUUGCAAAAGUUACAGAAUGAAUUGUAUACAUCGUCUAUUUUUACUAACUCUCUGAACCGCCUAGCCGAGAAUCUCGGGAGAGAUUUUCGGAAUAUUUCCUUAUCGCCUCGUGCGGCUCACCGCCUUUGUAUUUCGCCUAGGGUUUUUAUGGGCUUCGUCUCCCAAGGCCACGGUUCGGCCCAUCAUUCUCCUUUGCCACGGCUCGGCCCAUCUAACUUCUUCACGGCUCGGCCCACUUGCCAUUUCGGUCGAGACAUGAUCUGGUCCACCUCACCGAGGCGCGGCUCGACCCAAGCAUGUUGGAAUGGGGCUCGGCCCAAAUCUUACGAUACGGCUCUCCCUACUGGUCUAUCUUCACGGCUCUCCCACUUGGUGAUCGCGGCUCUCCCGCUUGUCUUGGUGAGAACGGCUCUCCCACUUGUCUUGGUGAGAACGGCUCUCCCACUUGUCUUGGUGAGAACGGCUCUCCCAUUUGGUGACCACGGCUCUCCCACUUAUCUUUCUUCCAUACUUAGUCAUUUUGAGAUGGUUUUAUCUGCAUGGGGUGAAAACCGACCCCAACAAGUAUUGGGUAAUCUUUAGAAUUUACAUGGAAAUUGCUUAUAAAAACCAAUUUUUAGAAGAUUUCUAUGUUGAGAACAUCAAAAAUCCGAAUCUGGUCAUGAACUACUUGAUUUCUCUGAUUUAUUAUCGAUUUUGUUUGCUCAUGGUUUUAAUUAAUCUCUUUAUGCUAGUAUUAGUAUAACAGAUCUUAAUGUGUUAAAAUCAGCAUCCAAAUUCACUCUUUUUCCAAGAACUAUUUCGUUUUGCAGAAAAAUGGACCAAAACAGAUCCCGAAGGAGCCGUCGCACUGGUGGCAGCUCCGAGGACAUUCCCGAUGAUGCUACUCUAGGAGAGUACAUGCUGAACCAAACCAGACCGAGAAGGAGAAACUAUGUGAUGAGAUUGCUCCAUCACUCAAGAGAAACACAAGCAGCUCCCGAGCCACCACAGAUUCUAUACAUUGGGAGGGAGACAAACCCGAGAGUGGACUAUGCAAGACGUUUCAAGAAGCUGAACAUCAAACCCACGCCUUGCAUAGAUUAUCAUACACUCGAGAUGCUUGGAAUCAGAGAAGAUGUGAUCUGGUACAUCAAUGCACUUAAGCUGAGACCCUACAUGGAGCUGAACCUUCCGACUUAUCCUGAGCUAGUCCGUGAAUUCUUAGCGACUAUUACACUACACCACACGAAGAGGAGGAACCCCAGAGCAUCAGAUGGCAUCUUGUCAUUCUCUAUCCGCGGACAGCCUUACUCUCUCACCAUUUCUGAGGUUUGUGAAGCUCUUAAGCUUCCAUACACUGAUGGCAUUUACCUUGAAGAUGAACCUGAUCUUAACCUGUGGAGAGAGAUGGGUCAUGGAGUCUAUGAUAGUGGGAGAUCGAAGUCAGCCCUUCUUACUCAUCCAGCAGUGAGAGUUGUGCACAAGCUAUUAGCACACACGAUCUUCUCUAGAGCAAACAUGGGAGGUGUUUUAAAGACUGAGCUCAUUACACAUCAGAUUCCGUUUAUGGACGACCCACGACUUGCUUGCUUUGCCUGGAUCAUAGCGCAGAAUACGGUAAACGUGAAGCAUGACUUACAUGGUUGCGAGGACGCUACUCCAGCUUUCAGGAGUGCUAUUACAGCGAUACUACAGGCUGUAGGAUUCGAUUUCUCAUCUGAUGAGCCACUUCCCGAUGUCUGGUAUGAUCUACUUUAUCUCUCUCGCGAUCACACUAUCUCUCGUGCCGCUUUCGAUCCAGACAGGUUUGGUUACAAGUAUUGCACUGGCACUGAGGAGCACCGAGUCAGUUUGCCUUCGGUAUCUAUCCCGAGAUUGUGUAACGGAGGACGUCCGCGAUGGACUCCGGAACCUGAUGAUUUUCUGCCUUCUGUACCUCGUCUACCAUUCACCAUUGGCCAAUACAUAGUGGCCAAGGUGAAGCGUGAUGCAGCUGCGGCCCGUGCCCAUUUUCAGCCAUCUGUUUUGACCGGCCACACCUCAUCAUCUACAUCAUCUCACACUCAUUCCGAUCUGGAGCGCAGAGUUGAGAGACAGGGACGACGCUUUGAGCGCGUUGUCACCUUCUUACAGGAGCAGCACCAGUUUGCAGACGACACAUCGGAGGAUGAGUGAUUGAUCAGCACUUCACUACCAUCACGGUUCUAUCAUCAAUUUCUUUUCUUUUAUCUUAUUUUAUUUCUCUUUUAUUCACCAUCUUCUCACCAACUUUUUCACACUGGGGACAGUGUGAUUUAAGUCUGCGGGAGGAUGUCUAUCCGUACUAAUCAUUUUCUUGCUUUUCUUUUUAAAUUCCAAGUACUUUUUAAAUUUUAAUAUGUAACCUAUUCGACAUUAAGUAUUUUUCAGGAAUGUUUGACGCAAAACUAUGAUGAUUUAGACCUGCACGCUUCUACACUAUGCAUGAUUGCUCAUUUGUGGUUAGCACUAGACUAGGCGGUAGCUAGAGUACUUGCACUACGAACUCCCACCAGAGGACUUCUAUUCAUGGAGAUUCUUUCUGACAGGAUAUACUAGCUCAUUUUAUUUGGACUUAAUAUUGAUAUCUAAUUUUUUCAUCAUUGAUUUUAGGCAGGCAUCGACAUACACAUCUAGGACGUCUUCUACCCUCACUUUUACCACUCUUUGUCGUCCUAGAUGACCUGUUUAUCUUUAUCUGGUACCAUACCCUAAACCCAAAACCCUUGUUUUCAAUCCUCAUGCAUUCUUUCUUUAGUUUAUAUCAGCAGAUAUGUGCAAAAACGUCGGAGAGAAGAGGAGCGACACAGUUUUCAGUCACUCACAAAGGAGACUGAAUGGAAUUGGGAAGGAAGAGUAUCAGAAAAAUCAUGAAGCUUUACAAGACAGAUAUUGACUGGUAAUUUCGUGCUCUCUAAGACUCUAUAUCUAAAGGUGUUCCCUUUCUCCCACAAAAAAAAAAAAAAAAAAAAAAAACGUGAAAAAAGAAAGGGAAACAAAAAGCCUAAUGAGUCUUAGAUUGUCAAAAAUUUGUGGAGCAAUAAGCAACCACUAAUCGUUUAAUUUUGAAAGAUUUACAUAAAUCUAAGUCUGGGGGAGUUAGGAGAGAACCUGAGGAAGAAGACCAGGAAUCUAUGGCACGAAGAAAGUGACUGAAAACUGUGGAUACCAACAGCUUAACUCUCUCUUGCGGUUUUGCAUAAUAUCAUGCAUCCUCCAGAUUUUCAAGUAACCCGUAAACACUUUAAACCUUACCCCUAGAAUAACCUUUUUAACACCUAGCCUAGAUUGCCUUGCCUAGACUUUCUUUGAUGAGAACCACCGAGAUUUUUAAUGAAUGUUAAGAGCUAGUUGACUGGAAGUUAGAUCCUAGUGCAUAGAUUUUCGCAUGAUGGAUUAACGGACUAGUUAUGCCUGUAUUGCUAGUGAGUAUUUUCUAGGCUAUUCCCGAUUGAUGCAUACUGAUUGAUAUUGGUCUAGAAGUUUGGUCUCUGAGAUUUUGUUUAGUUCCUGCGUUUUCAAACCUCUCACCGAGAUUUAGCCUUUGUUUUGUUUGAGGACAAACAAAAGACUAAGUCUGGGGGAGUUGAUAACACCGGAUUUUGACCAUUUUUAUGGAUCACUUUCAUAUCUUUUACCGGUGUUUUUACUCCAUUUUCAAAGAUUUUCAAAGGAUUUCUAUGUUUCCGGAUUUGAAAAGACUUUUCAGGUAAUUUGGGAUAAAGAGGCACAAAAUGAAACAAAAACUCUUUUGAAUAAAUGCAGACCGUCAGAACUCUCAUGGAGAGACGACGACCUUCUCACCGUCUGAUCACCUUCAAAACUGGACAACUUAUAGAAGAAUCAACCAGCUUUCAAAUGCACUUGGUUUGGAGACAUUCUAACGGUUGGAUCUCAAGAUAUUCCAUUAGCCCCGGAGCCACUCGAACUCGGCCAGAAAGUCACGCGACCGCGGUGAUCAACCUAUUUCCCGCGGUCAGAAGCUUCCCGACCGCGGCCAACCAGCCAAUCCCCGCGGUCACAACACUCCCGACCACGGCAAUCAAUCUCCGAAUUAAAGCCCAUGUAUCUGAAGCCCAAAGUCAUUCUCAGCCUCAAUUCCGGAACCCUAGAGACCAUGGAGUAUUGGAGACUAUAAAUACAUGUCAUUUAGGUCGUUUUUAGGGAGAGUCAUUCAUACUUUACAGAAACCCUUUUCCUUUAGCCGUUUUUAUGAGAUUUUUGUAGAAGAUUGUUCAAGUCCGAGUUCUUCAAUAGAGAAGCUUUCUUUAUCUCUUUUUUUUACUGUUUUUCAUUACUUUUAUUAAAACCAAUGAUGAUGUCGACCUCCGCCAUGUCUGAGUAGAUCCCGAGUUGGGCUUAGGGUUCCCGAAAGGGGCUCUCAUAAUCGAUUAAGACAUCUAGGUUUAUAGAUCUGGGAUUUCGACAUGUUCUCUGUUUAUUCUUGUUCUUAUUGCAUGUAUGCUUGAUUGAUCACCUAGUAUCUGAUCUAGAUAGUUAGUGUUGCGAAAGUUUUCAUUAAGUAUCAGCCCUAGAAUGAAACAGGCAAUUUUUUCGUAGGAGUGGAAACCUACCUGCGGCGAGAUCGUGAGUAUUGACGAGUCUUGUGCAGCUCUUGCGUUCUCUCCCUUCCAGGGCUAGAGUGGAAACCUACUGGUCUGGGUUGCGAGAAACAGUUGGUUAUGAUCACGACAAUGACGUAGUCAUACCGCCGUACUCUAGCUCUAGAACCCAUAUAUCGAUAUCCGUCAAUCCCAAUCUAUUUACCCUAGUGUUAAAACCGAUUAUGAUCCCUUAGAGUCCCCAAAAGCUCAGCGUUUUUAGCCAUAGUUUACAAUUCCAUCGAUUUUUAUUUGCUUAUUUAGGCCUGCAUUUCAAUUUCCUUAGUUUGUUAUUUACUUACUUUACUAGUAUUUCAUUCGAUAGUUUACUUGCCUUAUUAGUCUUUCAUUCGAUAUUUUACUUGUUCUAUUUGCCUUUCAUUCGAUUUCUUUACUUGCUUUUUAGGAUAGAUUUAUUUGCUUUCUUUUGUUUUAGUUUAAUACAUCAAACCAACCAACCUUUAAAAACCAAUCUAGUGUAGACAUAAAGUUAAAAACCGUAGAAGAAUACUAGGCACACAAAUCUAUGUGGAUUCGAUCCCUAAAUACUACAACUGAUUAGCUGUGCACUUGCGGCUUUCAUUUGUUUUGUUAAGGGUAAAACUUGAGAGAAAAGGUAUAUCAUCGAAAAAAAAUUCAUGCAAGAAAAUUUUGACCAUUAUUUGUGGUGUCUAUACCAUAAAAACCAAUAAUCAUCUAUGAUCGGAUCAGAAUUUACCGGCGUAAUCUCAGCAAACCCAUGCAAAAAAACGUCAAUAGUAACAAAACCAACUCAAAUAUAACCAUGAAACAAGUCUACCAUACAUAUGGAAUCUGUUUAACAUACAACACCCCAAAACAAGUCUACCACACCUUUGGUUUUUUUGUAGAUUGCUGAAUACCUUUAGGACAAAUAAGUAAUUUCAAUUGAAUAAGUCAAAUGUCUACCGAAAACAAUGUAACUAAGUCUACCACAAGCAAUGUAAAUAACUCUACCAUAAGAAAAACUCUACCUUCAAGCAUCAAAUAUGUCUACCAGAUUGAGGUUAUCUGAGUAAACACCAAAGUUAUUUAAUCUACCACAUGAAGCUCAAUAGAAGUCUACCAUACGUGCAAUAACUUUACCAAUUGAUUGAAAAUCUACUACAAUAACAAAAAAAAUCUACCACCAUUUUAUAAGUCUACCUCAUGUAACAAUAAAUUUACUACUCAACGGAAUGAAAUCACCAAAUUUUUACUUGAUUUAAAUCUUCCACAUUACUUAUAAAUCUACCACAAGAGCGAUAAAUCUACUCACAUGAUAUAACUCUACCAAUUUCAUAACUAAUCUACCUCAAUAGGGAUAAAUCUACCACCACGUUAUCUUAAAUUUUGGUGAAUAAAUCUGCCACCAAAAGAAAUAAGUCUACCAAUUCGAGUAUUAAAUCUACCCCCAUUGUCAACAAAUCUACCAACAAAAUCAACUAUGCGAGAGAGUCAACGAAUUCCUUAACAAGUCUACCAACACUUUAACAAGUGUGGCAUACAUGACAACAAAUCUACCGAAACUUAACAAAUCUAUCGUGUCAUUGUCAAAACUCUACCAAAAAAAGUAUAUCAACAUUUUACAAAUCUACCAAUUCUCGAAUAAAUCUACCAUCGUCCUAACAAAUAUGCCAUCUAAAAAAUUGUGUUGACCAACAUCUGAUAAGUCUACCAUCAAAGACCGGUAGGCUUAUCAUUUUUCAAGCGCAUCUUUUUGCCUACAUGGCACAAAAAAGUAAUGGCAUUUUUUUAAUUAGGUUUUUUUCAUCAAAGGCGAAAAUGAUGUUUUCGGUAUGCUAUGUUAUUUUUGUAAUAAAAAUAAAAGUAUGUCAAGCAAACAAUAAACAUACAUUUAAAGGUUUGUAUAGUAAUCCUUCCUUGUUUUAAUUCUUUUGAAAAACAGUUUAUAACAUCAAAAUAUGUUGUACAUUUUUAAAACCCUUAUGUCCGCGCAAAGCGCGGACCAACACCUAGUUAUAAUUUAAAAUCCAGCUAAGUUAUCUACAUACUAUAAUUCAUAAUUCACUAUUAAAAAAAUCAAAAUUCAUCCAUAUUAACCAUAAAUCUUACAAUUUUUAAACACACGAUAACAAAUUGGUAUUUUAUAAUUCUAUAAAUUAAGAAUCUUGUAUAGAUUUUAUUCAUAAUUCAUUUUUUAUAUACUUUUUUUUUGUCAUCAGCCUAAGUACCUAAAACGGUUCGGCUAUCCAAACCGGUGGUACCGAGUUUACAUAAAUGACGUCUUGAGGGUAGACACGAGCACUUCUUGCUAGGUUGUCCGCCUUCGAGUUUUUUGCGCGUGGGAUAUGUGAUAUAAGGAAGAAACUGAACUUGUCCUUCAUUUUCCUAAUCUCCUCCAAAUGUAGAUCAAAAGCUGGCCAUUCUUUGGGUGUAGACACCAUCUUCACCAACUCCAAACAGUCUGUUGCAAAAGCUACUUCCAUCUUCUGGUUUUCGAGCAUACAGUGCAUAGCCCAUAUGAGGGCUUCUAUUUCUGCAUGCAGAGGUGUAAGACUUUGUCUUACAUUUUGUGCUCCCAUUAUUCUUUCCGUAGCAUCUUCUUUAAAGAAGUACCAUCCUAAUCCCGUUAAAAGAUAUGUAUCUUUCCAAGAGCCAUCAGUAUAACACCACCAGCCUUCGUAGGCCAUAGGUGUUUACAAGUUCAGAGAAGUGCAAAGAUCGGUAGGAAUUGAAUCCUGUUCAGACCUUUGAGCCUCUUCCCACAAUGUUGCUUCUUUUUCCGCUAUUUUCAAUGUAAUCUGUGGAUCUAUAUCAUUAUUCGAAUACACUUUCUCAUUCCGUGCCUUCCAAAUAUACCAUGCGAUCCAUGGGAAUUUUGUGUUAUUCAACUCUUUUGGAAGUCGCCAAAAGAGAUGAUCAAAAUUCGAAUAAACCGAUGGUCCUGGGAAAAUCCCAAGAGGUGUUGGUAUCCGGGAUAAUGCCGAAGUUUGCAAAGCAGGAGGACAUUCAAAGAGCACAUGGUUAAUUGUUUUUUCAUCUGCUCCACACCGUGUACAUUGUGUGUCACAUUGUAUUCCACGGGUGCUUAAUCUAGCCGACACUGGAUGGCACCAAGAUAUUGCUUGCCAGAUAAAAUGUCUUAACUUCGACACACUUUUCAAUUUCCAAGCAUAUGCUUGUAAAGCCUUUAUGUCUGGGCCAAAGAUCUCCUCUGUUAUUUCUUUAGAUAAAUAACGCUCAGUUUUGUACCCUGAUUUUACAGUAUAUCGUCCGGAUUCUGUGAAAUGCCAUCCCAUUGGGUCUGGCCUAUAGGUUCUACUAAUGGGAAGUCCACGAAUAAUUUCCACAUCCGCUGGGUCAAUAAUUGCUGUUAUCAAACCCAUGUUUCACGAGUUUGUCACUGGGUCAAUCAGGUGAUUAACCAUAAGAUUCGGAUAAUAAUUGAAACCCUUACAAGUGGCUGAUCUCGGGCGAGUAGAAGGUAUCCACGGAUCAUUCCAGACAGAAAUGGAGCAUCCUGAACCUACCCUUUUAAUUAGCCCUUUAUUAACCAGAGAUCUAGCCGAUAUUAUACUUCGCCAUCCAUAAGACGGUGAGUAGGAUCUCACUGGGUCCAAAGGACUUGGAUUCCGAAAGUAUCGUCCUUUAAAGACCUGCGCAAAUAAGGAAUUUGGUCUAUCAAUCUGCGAAAGUAUCUUCAUUUUUUAUAUACUUUGUAUUUACUAAUCUUUUCUUUUAAUUUUUUCUAUUUUUUGAAUUUACAUUUAAAAAGGUAUAAUUAUUUUUCUAUUCUUAUUUGAAAUAAAUAAUUAAAAUAAGAAAUUUUAUCUCAUUUCAUUGACACAUGAGUCAAUCAUAAAUAACUGUGAUAUAUGACACAAUAUAGUGAGUUAUAAAAAUAUAAUGUCUUAUACAUAUAGAAUUUUAUUUUUGGUUUACUUUUGUUAUUUCUAUUUUGUAGUUUCUAUUUUCAUCUACUUUAGUUUUUUCUAAUUUAGUAAUUUACAUUUAAAAAUGUAGAAUUCCUUUUGUUUAGAAAAAAAAUAUAAUUUAACAUAUAAGAUUUUAUAUUAUUUUAUUGACAUAUGUUACGAUCAUAGUUAAGCGUGAUACAUGACACAAUAUGGUGAAUUAUAAAAAUCCUAUGUGCCAGUGUCACGUUGAGAGCACUGAACUUUCUUUUUUUUUUUUCACUGAAUAUUACGUAUAUUAAUAAUCGAUGAGCUUACAAGCAGACAAUACAAAACAUGAUCAAAAGCAAUCAAACACUCAUAUAGAACAUGAGUAUUACAACAAGGUAAUACUACUUUCAGAAACAAAAAUCUCUUCUAACCACUGAGGAUAGCCCGAGGCUAUAUAUGAUUGUCGACGAUCAUCUUUAGUCACACUUCUAGCAAUGAGGAAAGCACCUUGAUUUGUAACUCUUUCCUCAAGCGUAAGCUUCCAAUCCAAAAAAAUUUCCAAACCAUUCAAGAUCUCAGACGAAUAGAAUUUGAAAGAAGGCCAGGCUGGUGGCCGAUGAACCGCUCCUAUUAAAUCUGAAUCUUCCGAAGCAAAGACCAUUUUGGUGAUACCUAAGCUAUUCAAACUUUCAAUUGCCCAGAUCCAACUUUUGAAACUAGCAUCAAUGUGGCUGGAUACAGAACAGAAAGAUCUUCUACUGUGUAAAAGGACUGAUCCAAAAGAGUUCCUAAGAACCCAUGCAGCACCACCACAUCCUUUCUUUUUAUCCCAGGAAGAACCGAUAUUACAUUUCAACCAAGGUCUAGAGGGAGGAAGCCAAACCUUCGGGGGUUGAAUCACCUCCAUCUUUUUUUUAAUAGCUUCCUUUUCAUCCAACUCUUGAGCGUGAAACCAUUGGUUCACAUCUUCUUUAAUCUUGCCCAUAGUAUCAGAAACUCGGAAGCUCAUUCCUUCAAAAAUGAAGAUGUUGAGAUUCUUCCAGAGUAUCCAUAAGAUCCACGGGAUUGAUCUUCUGAUUUCCAAAGGCACUGAUAACUUUUUACCCACCAUCAAUAAAUGGAACAUGUUCUGAUAGAUGGAGUUUGAUUCAUAUCCAUUUUCAGGACUGGGUACAUUCGAAGAGGCCCAAACCUGUCUAGCAAUUGUACAUUUGAAUAGCACAUGAUUUAUGGAUUCACCUUCAAGCCCACAGAUUUGACAUCUCGAAUCAAUCUUCAUACCUCUCGAUGCAAUUUUGUCUGCAACAGGAAUGGCACCACUAAUUGCUUUCCAAAGAAAGUUUUUGAUUUUAGUGGUUGUAUUGAGCGCCCAGAUUUGGAGUUUGAUUGCAUUCAAAGACGGUUGCAUCAGAGCUUCCUUGAGGGCUUCAGAUGGAUUACUUUGAGAAGCAAACCAAUACCCUGAUUUAACAGAAUAUUCGCCACUUUUGGUAUGUUCCCAGCAGAAAAAAAUCCAAUGAAGAAACCACCGGGUUAGUUCUUAAGAUUAGACCAACGUCUCUUUGGAAGAAAUGCUCAUCGAGUUUAUCCCUAUCCCAGCUUUUGGAUAUCGGAUCAAUGAGGUCAAUAACUCUCAAAUCCAAAUUAAAGAUGAUGUUCUUUAUGAAGGGAGCUCUCAUAACCCCAUCACAAAGCCAUCGAUUAGUCCAUACACUAAGCGAAGCUCCAUUGCCAACCAUCUGUCUAAGACCUUUUUCUAAAAGAGAUCUUCCAUGAAGAAUGCUUCUCCAAGCAAAAGAGGGUCUAACUCCAGUAUCUGCGAGAAGGAAGGAGGAAGAAACAAAGUAUCGGCUCUUUAAGAACAAAGCAAGGAGACAAUCCUUAUCUUGUAGAAUUCUCCAAGCUUGUUUGGCUAAAAGAGCUUGGUUGAAGAUUUGAAUGUCUUUAAAACCGAUCCCUCCUUGAGCUUUAGGAAUGCACAAUUUAUCCCAUCCAAUCCAAUGCAUUUUCCUUUUGUUCUCGACAGUGUCCCACCAGAAAUCAGCCAUCGCAGAAGAUAACUUAUUACAGAUAGUUACUGGCAAUUUAAAACAGGUCAUGGAGAAAACUGGCAUCGCCAUCGCAACAGAGUUGAGUAACACUUCUUUUCCACCUUGAUAUAGAAGCUUUGAAUACCAUCCAGACAUUCUUCCUUUCAUUUUGUCGUGGAUGUAAGACAACAUAUCCACUUUAGAUCCACUAAAACAUUCUGGAAGACCCAAAUAAGUGCCCGCUCCACCUUCAUUGAUAAUACCCAAUUUGGUUUGAAUGAUUUCCUUCAUAUCCAUAUUCACGUUAGCACCAAAAGUGAUGGAGGAUUUAUCAAGGUUGAUGAUCUGACCAGUAACUCUUCCAUAAAGAGAAGAAUGGAUUGGAGGGUUGUGCACUGUUCUUCAUCCGCUUUAAUCAUAAAAAGACUGUCAUCUGCGAAUAACAAAUGGUGAAUGGCUGGACCAUCGGGAGAGAAUUGAAUCCCAUUAAUCAAGCCAGAUCGUUCAGCACAGUUGAGCAGAUAUGUCAAUCCUUCAGUACACAAAACAAAAAGGAAAGGUGAUAAGGGAUCACCUUGCCUUAUUCCUCUCUCAGGAAUGAUCAAACCAAAAGGCUGUCCAUUAAUCAGAACUGUAUAAGAAACCGAGGAGACACAGAACAUAAUCAUCUGGACCCAUUUUUGAUGAAAACCGAGAGCCAAAAGGAGCGCUUGAAGAUAGGACCACUCAACACGGUCGUAAGCUUUUGACAUGUCGGUCUUCACCGCCAUGAACUCCGUCGAAAUCCUAUCAUGAGUUCUCAAACCAUGGAUAGCUUCAUGAGCUAUUAUAAUGUUAUCUGAGAUAAGUCUUUCUUCAACAAAGGCAGAUUGAUUAGGAGAGACAAUCUCAGACAGAAAGGGUUUCAUUCAGGACACCAUGAUUUUGGAAAUCACUUUGUAGAGAACAGAACAGAGACUAAUUGGCCGUAGGUCACUCAUGUGAGGAGAGUUGACCUUUUUUUGGGAUAAGACAAAGAUUAGUGAAGUUCCAUUCUUUAGGGAAAACACCCGAUUCAAAGAACUUGAGAACUUCCAUCGUGACAAGAUCACCAACAAUAUCCCAAUAGUUCUGAAAGAAAAGACCAGUCAUACCGUCUGGGCCAGGAGCACUAGAGGCUUUGAUCGAGAAAACAGCUCUUUUCACUUCUUCUUUAGAAACCAUACUGAUAAGACUGUCGUUCAUUCUAGAGUUGACUCUCGGCAUGAAAUCGGAGAAGAAUUCUAUCUGAUUUGAAGGAGCAGAUGAUGAGAAAAGAGUCUGGAAAUAGCUAGUCGCCACUUCACCCUUUGAAGCUUCAGAUCGAUGCAUGAUUCCAUUUAUAUCCAUAAGCUUAUCAAUACAAUUCCUUGACCUAUCAGACUUGACAGAAGCAUGGAAAAACUUGGAGUUUUUGUCACCAAGAUUCAGCCAUUUAUCUCUACUUUUCUGUUGCCAAAAACUUUCUUCUUCCUUGUAAGCCUCCACCAGACUUUUUUGAGAUUGAAGAGACGACAUGAAGAAGGAGAUGACGAGGAUUGUUCAAACUCCAGAUCAUCUUCAAUAGUUUUUAUUUUGAUCUGAGAAUUAGCAUCGUUGACUUUCUUCCAUUGACUGAGAGCUUUCCUGCAACUUCUUAAUCUCGAAGAGACACUAAGAUUAUGAGAGGAUGAGGGACCAAACCAAGCCGACUUUAUGGCUUCUUUGACAAAAGGUUUGUGGAGUAAUCUUUUUUCAAAUCUAAACGAACCCCGAUAAGACUCUUGAGAAGAGAAGAGAUGAACCAGGACCGGACGAUGAUCGGAUCCUCUUUUAGCCAAAAAAGCUUGAUUAGAAGCAGGGAAGAAAGAAGACCAGACUUUGUUGCCGAAACAUCUGUCAAGCUUACACUGAAUCCACAAGGUGCGUCUUCUGCCACCCCAGGUAAAGCUAUUCCCUGUACUUGGAAGUUCUCUCAUAUCACAAUCUUUCAACAUGUUGGAAAAAGUAAGGAAAGAAGAAUCACUCCUUCUUGGACCACCAUUUUUUUCCUCAUUGUUGAGAAUUUCAUUAAAGUCUCCAAGCAUACACCAUCCAGUUUUUCUUUGAAUCCCAAUACGAGUCAGCCUUUCCCACACUAGGUGUCUCAAACUCGCAUUUGGGUUUCCAUACACACACGUAACAAAGAAACUGCUUGAACCAAACUGUACAUACAUGUCCAGCACAUUCUUAUCUACAUACUUGAGAUCGAUAUCAACACCUUUUUUCCAGAAAAGAGCCAAACCCACCGGAUCAACCGUAUAUACAUGCUCAUAACCCAACCAAACUUGAAUAUCUACAAUGAUAUUUUUACAGUUUAUCGUUUCCAUAAGGAACAAGAUCUCAGGGAAGUGUUUUUUACGCAUCUCCAUGAGUCUGGGAAUCGUCAGAUCUUGAGGCCGCCCCAAUCCCUGGCAAUUCCAGCUUGAUAUGCUCAUAAAUCAGUGGACAGUUCCUCAUUUGGGACCAUCUCAUGUGUUUUUGACCUUGCGGCUUUGGAAACACUCUCCAGUUCACUAUCAGCUUUCCUUUUCUCCACUGAACCCUCUAAAGAACCCUUCUUUUUCUCCACAUCUUCGGCAAAAGAAUUCUCCAAUUUUCCUUUUAACUUCCUUCGAGAUUUUGGAGGCCUCUUUCUUGGUUUUGGUUUUUUCAUAGCAGUCCCGGAAGGACCAGCAACAGAGUGCCCGAUCCUAUAACCCGUUGAACUGUUGUGAAAAGGGACCGACUCAUCACCAAAAUCUGGGGAAGUAGAAUCGGUUUGAAGAGGAUUGGAGCCAUAAUUUCUCCUAGAGCUAGCAUCCGCUUGAAUUGCAGCAGACAUAAGCUUUUGACCUCGAGGCAUGAUCACUUCAGUUUUUGUAGUCGAGUCCUCAGAAUCAUAGCCAAAGACUGGACCUUUCCCUUUGUUGAGAUCACGAGUGAUAAUUGGAACAGGUUCUAGACGAAGCACCAUUUUCUGCGUGAUUAAAUUCUUUUCUGCCUCACAAACAGAAUUCUUCACACGAUCUUCUCUAACCUUACGAUCAUCACCAUUAGCAAUUAACAAAUAUUGUCUCAUGCCUUCUAGAACCUCAGCUGCAAUUCUUGGACGACCUGUUAAGGGAUUCAAGCCAACCUGGUUCUCACCAAGAACGCCAAAAAGAGGGUCAGAUUCCAACAGGACAGGCUUGGGGAUCUGUUUUUGGGGAGCAUGUCCAAGUCUUCUUUCAGCCGCCAAAGCUUGACGUUUCAUGAUCAAAAUAGGGCACACCUCACGCGCGUGAGUUAACCUUUGACAAGAAUAGCAUCUCUUCUGAAUUCUUUCAUAGAACUAGUGAACUGUGGUUGAGCCUCCCUUAGGCAGAUUGAUCACUUUCGACUGUCUAAGAGGUUUAGACACAUCAAAUUUAACUUUCACUCUCACAAACUCUUUGUUCUGCGCUUUAGUAGGAUCAAAUGCAAUUUCAGUAACAAGACCAACAAGAUCUCCUAAAGCAGUAAUCGCCUCCUCAGUGUAAUGAUUAAUAGGAAUGUUUCUGAUUUGCACCCAGAUCGGAACAAACUGCAGAGAUUCACUUGAAGGCUGCUCUUCCCAACGCUCUGUAGCAAGAGCCCAUUCAUUGAAAGUAUGGACACCUUUGUCCAAGAUUUCAUUUAGGUCAUGUUCAUACUUGAAGAAAAACUGGAAACGCUCUCUUGAUAGAGCCACACCUCUGACUCUAUCAUACUUUUGCCAUUUUCUAGGCAAAUCCAAAAUCAGGUUAGCCAUCUUUUGACAUUCUGGAUUAAGAAGACGACCUAUCAGGCUGAACUCAUUUUUAUCACUUGAACAGUAAGCUGGGGUAUCAGGAAGAUCGAAUGGAACUUCUUCUUCCUCUAGAGACAUGGCCAUCAGCGCCUUAUCCAUAGCAGAAGACAUGGUAACCGAAAAUAACUCUGAACCACAACCACAGGUAGAAAAUCUGAACGGCCCAAAGAAGAUAGACCACCCAAAGCAAGGAAACCACGAGAUGAAAACUUAAGCAGGAGAUGAGACGAAAUUUUUCUAGACCCAGCAAAUGAAGAACACGGAUGAACCCUAUAUUUCUUUAUAGAUCUGAAAAAAAGUGUUUGAAAAGGUGAAAAGCGGGAUGAAUAGUCAAAAGGGAAAGAAGUUUUUCCACACAAAAGCUCUAUUCUCGAAGAGAUGAGAUACUCUUACACAGAAAGAGAGUCCUAAGCCCAAAAAAGGGAAACAGAUAUUUUUUCUACUAUCUUCAUCUUCUAUCUGCACCACUUGAGAGCACUGAACUUUCUAUAAUAAGAUUCUAUUUUAAAAAAACUAUUAAAUGUGUAGAAGAAAACACCACCAAAUGAGAAGUUUUGACGAUGGGACUUGGGAGGUAAGAAAAGCAUAUAAGAGUCUCCAAGUGUCUGGUUAUACUUUUUUUUGCGAUCCAGUUUAUUCUUUUGUCCAACCUCAAGGGUAGAUGUUAAUUUGAUUUAAUUUUGUAUUGGGUCAGUUCAAUUAAUUUGUAUUUAAUAAAAUUCUAACUGAAUUUAAAUGAAGUUAAUUCGUGGUUUUUCUUCAGUUUGAUCUAUUUUUGGUUAAAAAUAAUAAAAAAGUCAAUAUGAAAAUAAGUCAUAACAAAAUAAAAGAGAAAAAAGAAAAAUUUUUUGGCACUUAUUUUAAAUUAUUGCGAUUUAAUAGAUACGACACAUUUAGUUAAGACAUAUAUGUCUAGGACACAAAAGAAAUAUUGAAAUGUUGUAGUGACUUCAUAACACUACUACAAAUAGAUAAAAUACUGGGAUGGUGUAUUGACUUGGCAAUACUGUUACAAAUCUCAGAUAUAUUCUAAAAGAUAUAGUGGAAUGGUGUGGUGACUUCAUAACACUACUACAGAUAAAUAAAAUACUGGGAUGGUGUACUGACUUGAAAACACUGUUACAAAUCUUAGAUAAAUUCUAAAAGAUAUAGUGGGAUGAUAUAUCAAUUUGUGACACUACUGUGUACAUCCUACCCAAGAUCCAGAAAUUCAUUGGGUUGACUCGGUUUAUUCCAGGUUGAUCUAGUUUGCCUCCUUUUCCUAUUUCAGCGUUUUAAACCUAAUUUUUUAAGUUAAGUUUAGUACUAACUUUGUCUCUCUUUCUUUUUUAAGGUUUUACUUAAAAGUUUGAUGCUAUCAUAACUUAAACACAGAGAGAUUAUAUACACACUUUAUUCUCAUAGUUUCACUUCUUUUUAUCAUUCCCCUUUAAUACAGUAAAGGCACUUAAAUCAAUAUAAAUUAAAGACACUAUUGUACUAUGUAAUCACUCAUUUUAUUUCACUCAUAAAAAGAAUUACAAAAUUAAUACAUCUUAGGAACUGAUGAUGAUCGACCUAUCAAAACCCAAUUGUAAAGAAAAUAUCUAUCUAGCAACUAAUGAGCAGACUAUUAAAUUCAUCAACUAAAUAAGAAAAGUAAAAUAACUAUUAAUCUUCUCUCUUCUAACAGCUUUCUCUGAUUAUGCAGUCUACGUCAGCAGUGAUCACUCCCUGGUAGCAGUUAAUUGGUCUUCAUCUUCCAGCUCAUGAUCUUCUUCUUAGGCACAUAGCUCUUGAGGUAUUAUAAAUACCCACAUCGAAAACAAGAAGCUUUUCUUCAAUCUUAAGUGUGAAAAUUGCUUGAUCAUAGGUGCAGCUCUCUCCCAUGUCCUCUCAUUAUCUAGAAGACCUGUCCAACUAAUUGAUGUUUCCAAAUGAUUAGCAAGAUCAGAGUGAGUAACUAAAACUGAUACCGGUUCAAUAAUGAGUUCAUCAUCAACUGAGAAGGACUGUGGAAGUGCAGAAACAUGAUGAUCUGUUCCUAAGACUUUUUCACUAUCAAGUAGACCGCCGAUGCAAAAGUUAAAUACCAUGAUAUAACCUUUAAAAAUUUUAGUACCACAAUAAUCACUUUUUGUUGAAACCUUACAAUGCAAAAUCAUAAAGUGACAAAUAGGUACUUGAACCUUUUUUUUUUCAUCCAAUACCAAACUUGUUUUUUCAUCAUGAUUCACCUUCUCUAACAUGUACAAAUAAGAAUACAACACCUUAAAACUUUAUUUUUUAGUACAACGCACUUCAUUAACAUCUUUUUUUCCUCUCAAUGUGGUAGAUUAAGAAUGCUGAUCUAGUAACUAAAUAAGAAUGCCCUGUCAACUAAAUCUUGCCAUGCCUGCUUAGUUCGAAAUUUUUGACAUAAUUCUCAUGCAUCACGUGGAAGUUCAACAUAUCCAGGCAUACACAAGAUAACCAGACUGUUAUCUACACCAUUAUCCACACUAUUAUCCACAUUGUCACGUGAUAUAUUUGUAACACAUCUAUCAACAACAUUCUUGAUCAAUUCAUGAUGUUGUUCUGUUGUUUUGUCAUCUUCUUAAAGAGUAACAAAACCAUCAUUAACUCUAGAAUUAUUUCUUCCACCUGAAAACAGAUCGCCAAAAUUCACACCAAAUAAAAUUUCUCAUUCUACUCUUAGAAGUUGCUUGCCCAACUUAAUGUUUUCCAAAUCUUUGGUGACCUCUACAUGCAAAACACUUCUACAUAGUUCCUUAUUCAUGGAGAUAAACAUAAACGUCCUCAUUAUUGAAAAUAUAUUAUUGUCUGUGAGGUUUCACUACCAAUGGAAUUAAAGUCACUUUCAGCUUUGUCUAAGAUAUAUAUAUGAUGUCGUAAAUGAUAUACUAUACAUGUGAUCUUCUAUUGAAAUCCAUCAAUUCUAUGAUCUUUGAAUAAUAUCCUUCAUAAUCAAAUAUAUGUUUGUGAAACUAUAGCUUAUUGUCUUAGGAAGAAUAGAAACUACUUUAGCACGUGUUAUCUUGAAUCAAUAAUAUUAUUUGUACCAAUUAUAACACUUCUCUAAGUAAUAUCAACUGUUACAGUUGUUUUUCUGCAAAUUAGGUGACUUCGGGCCACUGAUAUGUUCAUAAUUUGCAUCAUUUAGGUUGCACAAAUCAUUCCAAAUCAUGUUUUAUUUCAUGUAUUUUAGGUCCCUAGGGUUUGUUUUAGAACUUAGGAGAUGCAUUAGGUCCCAAUGAGUCUUUGCAUGUUUUGAGUGUCUAUCAGGUGAUUAUGGAGCUGAAAAGAUGAAUCCAGGAGGUGGAAUGGUGAGCAGAGCUUGAAAAAGUGGAAAACUUGAGUCUAUGGAGGUUAUCGGCCAUUCUCGCUGGCCAGGAAGGUUUUACCGGCCAUUUUCAUGUACUGCGGGAAGCUUUACCGGCCAUUUUCACGUACCGCGAAUUAAGUAUAUCGGCCAAAAUCUCCGGGUGCGAACGAGUCUCAGAAAUCACCUGUCCGGGGAGCCUUCCGGUCCGAUUCAGAUGGCGGGUCCUUCAUAGAAGUUGGAGAGCAUUGAAGCACGGUCUCAUAGCAAUUGGAAUCGUAGAAUUCGGACGCGUGAGCAGAGAGAUAAGCUCGUCGGAAGAAACCCCUGUCUCGCAGGUAUUCCGGACCGAGCAGAUCAGUUCUGAAGGAUGCGAAGGACGGUGCACUUCCAGGCCGAUUCAGCUUCCGGGUCCUUCAUGAGAAUCAGAGACAUUUGAGUUUUCUUUCCAGAACGUCCAAGAGCAUUCAAUUCGGAUCUAUGAGAAGGAAGAUACGGCCUCCGGAAUGGACACAUGUCUAGACGCCUCUCUCUGGUCGUAUACAUGCACUGCAAAGAUGUGCCCUCCAGGAAGCCUUCCACCUCCCAAGCACUGAAACUUCCUUCACAAAAGUUGGAGAUAAAUGAGUCCUCUGUCUUCUGCAACCGAAAUCAUUCAAUUCGGACAAGUAUCACAGGAGUUACACUCUCCGGAAUGCGAAGUGAUCUAAGCUGCUCUGGAUGCUGCGAGAUGGUCUUGCGACUUGGUUAACCCGCAGGCCUGAAGAUGAACACCUGAAUGCUGAUGCUGCGAGUUGAAAUGUGCGGGUAAACUAUCACUGGAAGAGGUCUGGAGCUCCCGAGCAAGAGAAAUGCUAAGUCCACAAUCGUGCGACUUAGGCAUGCGAGUCAUCCGCGCCUGGAUCUAUGCCGCACGAUCACUCGGAAUUCACUCCGACUCGAGCCUGCGACCUAAGUGCAAUAGAGACCAACCCGCACAGUUUCUACAUCCCCCAGAAACCGGCUCAGCCCUGCGAGUUGGAGAGGAAGGAGACCAUGCCGCAGAAACACUCGCAAUUUACUCCUAGAUAGGCGUGCGGCUCCGACAAGGUGAUUCAAGCCUCACAAGACAAGUCUUCAUCUACUGCGACUUAGGUGUGCGGCCUGGGACAUACUGAACCGACCCGCAGCUUUUCCCACUUUAUCCAUUAAAGCCGGGUCAGGACCCGGUUUGUUCCGGGCUGACCCGGUUCGUUUUUAAGAAGGUAUAAAUACUUUUUAGGGUUUUUUGGGGGAGAACUAAGUUUUAUUCCCUUUGUCUCUUGCCUUUUUGGUGAAAAGACUCCAUUAAGAAGAGAAAUAUCUUUAUUUGAGUGUUUAAUCAAGAGAGUUUAAGGAGAUCUGGGUGUUUAAAGCUGUUUUCUUUUGAAUCUAUCAUCUCCAUCUCCAUUUCUCAUCAUUAAUCAUGCUAAUCUACUCAACUUGCAAAAGUUUAAGAGAGAUUAGUAUGAUUAGUGAGUAGUCACCUUAAUGAGGUUCUAGAUGUGUAGGUUAGGGUGCUAAAGUGUUAGAUUAGGAGUGCUUAGGGCUAGAUUCAUUGAUUCAUCUCUCUAAACAGCUGUUCUCUAUGCUAAAUCCUUGAUAAUCACUUGAGAUCUAGAUUCUGGGAAUUUCAUGCACCAAAAGUGUUUGAUGAAAUUCCUGAAAGAGUUGUGUUAGAGGUUUAAGUAAUUUUUCAUCAUGGGAAUGAUUUGUUAAAUGCUUGAAUGAUCAUUAAGAGCUGUUUGUUAAUGCAUAUUGAUUCAUGUUUCACAAAUGGGAAUUUGGUUUGAAAAUGGAUUAGUAUAGGGGUUAAUACCUUCAUGAGAGGAUUAACCUAGAUUAGAGUUCUUAAUCAUUUGAAUCAUGUCUCAUCAUUGUCAUUAGCAUUUCUAGUUUAACACCAAGGCACCCUAACCAACUAUCAUGUCUAGAAUCUCAUGCCUCCAUCAUAUCAUAUUCACAUCAUUUGUCAUUGUCAUUUGUCUUUAAACCUGUUUAUGUUUAUAGUUGUCUCUAGAUUAAUCAAAACCUAUUCUUGUUUGCUUGAAUUAAGAACUUGAUCAUAUAGCUUAGUGUCUAACACCACAUCUGGAUUGAUAAACCUCUUUGUACUACAUUGACAAGGGGAUUGAUAGCCCUGAGACCCUUAAAAGUCAUAUCUAUCAAUUGGCGCCGUUGCCAAAUUGUGGUUUGAUUAGCAUUAAGCUCUGAUCUGUUCUUGAGAUCAAGUGCUUACUUUCUUGUUUUUACUGAUUCCUUUCAAGUUCUGUUUGUGAUUUCAGGUGUAUGAACACCAGGUCCAGAUCAAGAAGCUGCGGUCCUCCUUUUCCUCUAAACGACAACAUCAACCUUCUGGUACCAAGGAGGAGAAGAGACAGACGUGGUAGACAACUUGAUCAGACUGAGAUGGCCGACCAAGGAGAUCACGGGGUAGAUAUAGAACAACCAGUUCAGGAGCAACAGGCUCAAGGUCAGGGAGCUGGUAUUGGAAUUGGUCAGGGGUUUCACCAAGGCAAUGUUCAGCAGGAACAGGUGCACCACCAACAAGCCUAUGUCCACCAGGGACAAGCUCAGGCUCAUCAACAGAGGCAUCAGGCCAAUGUUCAACAAAGACACCAGGUGCACCACCAACCCCACCCUUUCCAACCACAACAAAGAAGAUAUGAGCAACCCCAAAUAUAUGUUGGCGAGAAUGACAGGGCCAAUGCUCAUCAGUAUGGGGCUGGUAUUCAGGCACCACCUGUGCAGAACAACAACUUUGAAGUGAAAGCAUCAUUGCUGAAUAUGGUCCAGAACUCAAAGUUCCAUGGGUUAGCAAUGGAAGAUCCCUUGGAACACUUGGACCAGUUUGAUAAGGUGUGUGAUCUGACCAAGAUUAAUGGAGUUUCAGAAGACAGCUUUAAGCUAAGACUAUUCCCAUUCAGUCUUGGUGACAAAGCUCAUCAAUGGGAGAAGAAUCUUCCAAGAGGCUCCAUUCAAACCUGGGAGCAAUGCAAGCAAGCCUUCUUAUCUAAGUUCUUCUCCACCUCAAGAACUGCAAAACUGAGAAACCAAAUCUCUAGCUUCACUCAGCACAGCAAUGAAAGUUUUGGUGAAGCAUAUGAGAGAUUCAGGAGCUACACAAACCAAUGCCCACACCAUGGGUUUAGUGAGGCUUCUCUUCUCAGCACACUGUAUAGGGGAGCUCUUCCCAAGAUUAGAAACCAGCUGGAUACUGCUUCCAAUGGGAACUUUCUGGGUAAAGAGAUUCAUGCUGCUUUAGAGCUAGUGGAGAACUUAGCAUUGAGCAAUGAUACUUAUGGUGAAGACUAUGACAGAUCAAAUAGGUAUGAAGGUUCAAGCUCAGAACAGAGGCUCACCAGAGAAGUUAAGGAGUUGAGGAGUGAAUUGGACAAGCUGAAAUUCACCACUCAGAAGCCAAUGCAUUUUGUUGGAGAGUAUGAGGAACCUUCUCAAAUUUUUGAGAACAUAAGUGAAGAAGGUCUUACCCAAGAGGAGCUCAACUACAUUGGGAAUCAGAGGUUCCAAAGAUAUCAGUAUGGUAAUGCCAAUCCAAACCUCUCUUACAGGAACACCAAUGUAGCUAACCCACAAGACCAGGUCUAUCCCAAUUCUCAAGCUCCAAAGAACUUUGUUCCCAAGCACAACUUUCAAGGGUCAUUCCAACCCAAGAAUCAAUUUGGUCAGAAUCAGAGUUUUGGUCAGCAACAGCAACCAUUUCAGGGCACUGGUUACACUUCACAGCAGCCAAAGGCACCACCAGGGUUUGGUCCACCACAGUUCCAACAGCAGGCGCCGGUUCAACAACAGUUUCAGCCACCAAUGGUUCAACAGCAGCCACAGAUGGGUACAGAUAUGGUUGGUAUUCUGCAACAACUACUUCAGGGUCAACAGACUAUGCAGCAGGAAAUCAAGGAACUGAAGCAAAACCAGGCAUCAAGCUCAAGGAACCAAGGUCACCUACCUGGAAAACCAGAACCCAACCCCAAGGAAUAUGCCAAGGCCAUAACACUGAGGAGUGGCAAGGAGUUACCUGGUAUUGAGAACAACAAUGUGAUCAUUGAGGACAAUGAUCAACCUGAGGGGGAGGCAGCCUUAAAGGAUGAUCAAGUUGCUGAGAAACCAAGGUCAGAAAAGGGUAAAGAGGUAGCAAAGGAACCAGAACCAGAGAAGAAGUAUGUGCCACCACCUCCAUACCAACCCAAGCUCCCAUUUCCAGGGAGAUUUAAGAAGCAACUAGUGGACAAGGCAAGAGCUGUAUUUGAGAAGGCACUCAAAGAGACACCACUCACAAUGCCUCUCAUUGAUGCAUUCUUAAUGAUGCCAAAGAUGGGGAAGUUUUUGAAGGAUGCUAUUCUGAACAAGACAAAAGAGCUUCAAGGCAUGGUAGUACUAAGUCAUGAAUGCAGUGCUAUCAUUCAAAGGAAGUCCAUUCCAAGGAAGUUAACUGAUCCAGGGAGCUUCACACUCCCCUGUGCCAUUGGACCUCUUCUAUUCUCUGGAUGUCUUUGUGAUUUAGGAGCAUCAGUCAGCUUGAUGCCAUUCUCCAUAGCACAGAAGCUGGGCUUUAGAGUUUUCAAACCUUCAAAGAUUUCUCUUAUCCUUGCAGAUAGAUCAGUUAGAUUGCCUGUUGGUAUGUUGGAAGAUCUACCUGUCAAGAUAGGUGGUUUUGAGGUUCCAACAGAUUUUGUUGUGCUGGAGAUGGAUGAAGAGCCAGUAGAUCCUCUUAUCUUGGGCAGACCAUUCUUAGCCACUGCAGGAGCUAUUAUUGAUGUGAGAGGUGGGAUAAUAGAGCUUCAACUUGGGUCUGAAAAGCUCAAGUUUGAUGUGAAUGAGAUGAUGAAGAAGCCCACCAUUGAAGGUCAAUGUUUCUAUGUAGAGACAAUGGAUCAGUUGGCUGAUGAGUUGCUUGAGGAGCUGAACACAGAGGAUCCUCUUCAAGCUACUCUGACUCAAGAACAAGGAGACAAUGGGCUCUUGGCUGAAGCAAGUGAAGGGUAUAAGCUGUAUCUGGACAAUGCAAGAGAGCUGGGUCCUGAAACAAGGUUUGUGGAGCUGGAACAGAAUGGCACUGAGGUUUUUGCAAUCCAAGAAUCAGUCACCAGCCAAAGCAGCUUGGACCAGGACUGGAAUGAGGCUGAUGCACCCUCUGUUGAGCUCAAACCUCUACCAACAGGGCUCAGGUAUGCUUUCUUAGGACUAAACUCCACAUAUCCUGUCAUCAUCAAUGAUAGCCUAUUAGAGGACCAAGAGAGUGCAUUGCUGAAUGAAAUAAGAAAGUUCAGGAGAGCCAUAGGGUAUUCUUUGGCUGAUAUUAGAGGGAUCUCUCCUGACAUCUGCACCCAUAGGAUCCACCUAGAGGACCAAUCUAUGUCCUCUAUUGAGCACCAACGUAGACUUAACCCCAACCUUAGGGAAGUGGUUAAGAAGGAGAUACUAAAGCUUCUUGAGGCAGGGAUAAUUUACCCAAUCUCUGACUCAAGAUGGGUAUCUCCUGUUCAUGUUGUGCCCAAGAAAGGUGGGAUCACGGUGGUGAAAAACGAUAAGGAUGAACUCAUAGCUCAAAGAACCAUAACUGGCCACCGCAUGUGCAUUGACUAUAGGAAAUUGAAUUCUGCUUCUAGAAAAGAUCAUUUUCCUUUACCAUUCAUUGAUCAAAUGCUUGAGAGGUUAGCUAAUCAUCCUUAUUUUUGUUUUCUCGAUGGGUACUCUGGAUUUUUCCAAAUUCCCAUAGAUCCAAGAGAUCAAGAGAAAACAACAUUCACAUGCCCUUAUGGCACUUAUGCUUAUAGGAGAAUGCCUUUCGGUUUAUGUAAUGCACCGGCUACUUUUCAAAGGUGUAUGAUGCACAUUUUCUCUGACAUUAUUGAAGAGAAAGUUGAGGUGUUCAUGGAUGACUUUAGUGUCUAUGGCUCCUCCUUCUCGGAUUGUCUCUCUAAUUUGACACAGGUGUUGGAGAGAUGUGAGCAACACAGCUUGGUGCUGAACUGGGAGAAGUGUCAUUUCAUGGUGCAAGAAGGGAUAGUUCUUGGGCACAAGAUCUCUGAAAAGGGCAUUGAGGUUGAUAAGGCAAAGGUGGAGGUUAUGGUGAAUCUGCAAACCCCCACUUCAGUUAAAGGGAUAAGGAGCUUCCUGGGUCAUGCAGGGUUUUAUAGAAGAUUCAUAAAGGACUUCUCAAGGAUUGCCAGGCCCUUAACAAGACUGUUGUGCAAGGAGGUGGAUUUCAUCUUUGAUGUUGAAUGUGAAGAAGCCUUUAAGUUGAUCAAGGAGGCAUUGGUUAGUGCACCAAUAGUUCAGGCACCAGACUGGUCCCUACCUUUUGAGGUCAUGACAGAUGCUUCUGACUUUGCUGUUGGAGCAGUACUUGGACAAAAGAAAGACAAGAAGUUGCAUGUGAUCUACUAUGCCAGUAGAACACUUGACUCUGCCCAAGAGAAGUAUGCUACAACUGAAAAGGAAAUGCUGGCAAUAGUUUUUGCCUUUGAUAAGUUCAGAAGCUACCUGGUGGGAUCAAAGGUCAUUGUGUAUACUGAUCAUGCAGCCCUCAGGUACUUGAUGACCAAGAAAGAUGCCAAACCAAGGCUGUUGAGAUGGGUUCUAUUGCUCCAAGAGUUUGAUAUGGAGGUGCUUGAUAAAAAGGGGAUUGAGAAUGGUGCUGCAGACCAUCUCUCAAGGCUGAGGAUUGAAGAAAAAGUCCCCAUAGAUGAUGCUUUGCCUGAAGAGUCUCUGAUGGUGCUCCAUUCAUACUUGGAGUUUGAGGAAGUAGAGAGCAUUCAAGAAAGGAGGAUGCCUUGGUUUGCAGAUAUAGUGAACUAUCUUGCAUGUGGGGUGGAGCCCCCUGAAUUGGAUGCUUACAAGAGAAAAAAAUUCUUCAGAGAUGUCCAGAGAUACUAUUGGGAUGAGCCCUACCUCUAUGUUCUGAACAAGGAUCAGUUAUACAGAAGAUGUCUUGCUGAAGAGGAGAUGCAACCUGUGUUGCAGGAAUGUCAUGGUUCUGCUUUUGGAGGUCACAUGGGGGCAUUCAAAACUGUAGCAAAGGUUCUUCAAAGUGGGUUCUGGUGGCCUACAAUGUUCAAAGAUGCCCAAUUGGUGGUUUCAGCUUGUGAUGCCUGUCAGAGGCAUGGAAAUAUAUCUAAAAGAAGUGAGAUGCCUCAGAACCCCAUUCUAGAAGUGGAGAUCUUUGAUUGUUGGGGGAUUGACUUUAUGGGACCUUUUAUUUCAUCCUUUGGAAAUCAAUACAUACUUGUUGCUGUGGACUAUGUGUCCAAAUGGGUUGAGGCCAUUGCUUCCCCUACCAAUGACUCCAAGGUUGUAGUCAAGCUGUUUAAGAGCAUCAUAUUUCCAAGGUUUGGAGUUCCAAGGGUUGUCAUUUCUGAUGGAGGAUCCCACUUUUUGAACAAGACUCUGGAAGGUUUAUUGAGAAAGCAUGGAGUUAAACACAAGAUAGCUACUCCAUAUCAUCCCCAAACUAGUGGCCAAGUGGAGGUAUCUAAUAGACAAAUCAAGGCCAUUCUGGAAAGGACUGUCAGCUCAACCAGAAAAGAUUGGAGCAAAAGGCUGGAUGAUGCAUUAUGGGCUUACAGGACUGCCUUUAAAACUCCAAUUGGAACAUCACCAUUCAGUCUGCUAUAUGGGAAGAGCUGCCACCUUCCUGUGGAGUUGGAGUACAAAGCUAUGUGGGCUGUGAAGUUUCUAAACUUUGAUAUCAAAACAGCUCAGGAGAAAAGAAUCAUGCAACUCCAUGAGCUUGAGGAGAUUAGGCUUGAGGCUUUUGAAAGCUCAAAGAUCUAUAAGGAGAAGACCAAAGUCCUGCAUGACCAAAAGAUUUUAAAGAGAGAGUUCAAGUGUGGUGAUUUGGUCUUGCUUUUCAACUCCAGACUUAAGUUGUUUCCAGGAAAGCUUAAGUCUAGGUGGUCUGGACCUUUCAAAGUUCUUGAAGUGAGGCCUUAUGGUGCCAUUGUCUUGGAAGGAAAAAAUGGUCAGGAAUUUGUGGUGAAUGGACAGAGAGUCAAGCAUUACUUAGUUUCACAAGGGAAAGAGGAAGCUACAUCAGUUCCUCUCUGAUCACCAGCUGUUAACCAGUUCUCAAAGUCAAACUUAGAGACUUUAAACAAAGUGCUCUUGGGGAGACACCCCAAGCUUAUCUUUNNNNNNNNNNNNNNNNNNNNNNNNNNNNNNNNNNNNNNNNNNNNNNNNNNNNNNNNNNNNNNNNNNNNNNNNNNNNNNNNNNNNNNNNNNNNNNNNNNNNCGAGUUUGCAACUAUCUCUCACUUUUCUCUCCAUGUUUUCACCAUAUCUCUCUCAUUCUCCACCAAAAUUGUUGAUUCAAAGUGCUCUGAGCUCGUUUUGAGUUGCUAACAUCAUCCUGAUUGCAUUUCGAACUUGUUGCAUCUUAAUCCCAAGGUAUUUCGCCCUGUUGAAACUCAUCUCUUUCCAUGUUCUUCAAUGGUGAUUUUUUUUUUUUUUUUGAACUUUAAAGUGUGGAAUCGAUUUUGAUAGGUUGUUUUAGACCUUGGGAUUAUUUUUAUAAAUGCUAGGGUGCUAGAUAGUCUUGGAAAACAGAGCACUUUGUUUGUAAUUACCUGUUCUUGAAUUUUGAAAAUUGUUGCAACAAUUUUUUUCAAAAUUUUGAGACUUUUGUGAGGUUCAUCCUUGUACUAACAAUAUUUUUGAGAAUCUCUUGGCAGAUGACUGAAAGAACCAACUCUUUGGCCAAGAAGAAGGGCCCUGCAUCAAAAGGCAAAGGUUUGGUCUCAGGAACUUCAAAGCCAAGAAACAAAGGUCAGGGUGCAAAGAAUACUACAAAGCAAGGAAAGUGUGAUCCAGCGCCAAAAAGGACAAGGCCUGAAGGAAGAGCUUUGGUGGUUGCUUCUGGUUCCAAGAAAAAGGGGAAACAGUUGGCUGUGGUAUCUGAGAGUGAACAGACUGAAAGUGACUCCGGCAGCUCAGCUGGUGGUUCCCAAGGCACCAAUGAAGAGGGAUCAAAGAAGUUCAAGAAAACUGAACCAGAAACACCUGAUUAUCUGGCUAAGUUUCAGCAGAUAGAGAUCCAGCAAGGGAGAUUCCCUGAUUUGGACUUUCUGAAGAAGAUUGGCCUCUAUGAAGAUGUCAAGACUUUGCUUGGGAACAUGGGUGUUGAGUCACUUUUGGAGAUGAGAGAAAUCGCUUAUGAGCAAGAGUCCCAAGAGUUCUUGGCCUCCUUUGAAGCUUUCAUUUACUACCCAAGGGAUUCAAGAAUCAUUCAAGGAGAUGGGCUUGGACAUGUGGAGUUUACUGUGAAAGGGAAGGAAUAUUCAGUGUCAUUCAGAGAAUUGAGUAAGAUCUUUGAGUUUUCAACACCUAGAAAUGAAUUUCUCUCCAACUCGGUCAAUCUCAGAAAAGAUGAGAUCCAACUUCUAUGGAGAUCAAUUGCUUCUGGGAAGUACACAGCUGGAACAGCUAAGGCCUCUUGGAUAAGGAAUCCAGUUCUGAGAUAUGUACACAAGGUUCUCUCUCACAGCUUCUACUUCAAGAUUGAUGUUGGAAGAGUUCACAAAGGAGAUCUGCUGCUUCUGGGUGUAGGGCUGAGGCCGCUGAUGCCAACACAUGAAGAUGGGGAACCCUAUGUAGGGUAUGAAUACCCACUUUGCCUUGCAUCUCAAUUAGCAAGGUCUUUGAUGUUCUACAAAAAGUGCAUGUGGGAUUCUACAAACAAAGAUGCAAAGCUGACCCAUGGAUGGGUGGUAACAAAGAUCUUGAAAGCCAUGGGGUAUAGAUUCAAGGAGAACAAGGCAAAGUUUGAUCUGAUUAAUGAAGCACAUUUGUGUAGGAUUGGCUUUCUCCAAGGAAGAGUGGGUACCAAGGCAGUCUACAACUUCAAGACACUCAUCAGUGAGCCAGCCCAAGUUCUCCUACCCAAUCCCUCCAUCACCACAGUCCAAGUUAAAAGGAACAUUCACUUCUUCUUGCUGAAGGAAGAGCUGUACAAUGUCCAAACUGAUCCACCAAUCCUCACAUACAGGCAAGCUUGCAGAGAAGAAGCCUCCAAGGGAAAGAAAGCAACCGCUGAAGAUGCUACCACAAGUGCAGCUGGUGCUCACGAUGCUGAUCUGCCUCCACCUCAAAAACGUUUUGGUGGAAACAGAUAUCACUUUGAUGAUUACAACUGGGAGGAACCAGGCACUUCAGGGUUCAGAGCUCAACAGAAGAUUGGUAUUCUCCAACAAUGGUGCAAGUACCAAGACAAAACCAUCCACAAGAUGGCCAAGUGCAUCAAGGAGAUGAAGAAGAGGAUCAAGAAGCUUGAAAACCCUUGCAAAGGUGGGGCUCCAGCACCAGUUUCACCAAGAAACAGAGAGGAAGUUGGGGAGAGUUCCAUGAACUGCACAGCCUUGGUCGCAUAUGGAACCACUUGGGUAGAUCUUGACGACGGGAGUGAUGAAGCCAGCCACCAUUCUUGGGAAACACCGUCAGGCCACACAUCGAACCCCUCCUACUCAUUGGGGUCUGAUUUCAACAGCCACUAGGUAACACUCAAAACCUUGUAAAUAGCAUGUAGACUUUUUUUUUUCCUUUUGCAUUUUGCUUGUUUGCUUUGGUUUCACUUCUUUCUCAUACUUUUAUAACACAAGGGACUGUGUUAUUUAAGUGUGGGGGAGGAGUUUCAUCCUUUACUAACCAUGUUUUCUAUUUUCUCAUUUUACACUUUGAGUCUUGAGUCACAUUCUAGUUGCAUAGUCAUCUAAGUGCAUAUAAAAACCAAAAAAAAAAAAAUGGAAAAAUCUGAAAAAUUUUCACAAAAAAAUGAUCAUGUAGUUGCAUUCUCAUUUUUAAGAUUGAGUCUAGAUUGCAUUUGCAUAUAGGUUGCAUCUUGCAAGGAGUAAUGAUAGGUUUUCUAGAGAGUACAUCACUUUGAGAACUUGAAUUGAAUAUGCUUGUGAAUCUUUUUCUAUGCUUGCAAAGUCUGAAAUGAUUUGAAUCUGAGAAGCAAGUUUGAAUUGAACUCAACUCUAAUUAAGUGGAAACCUUGAACUUGACCUGAAAAUAUCUUGUGAUGCAUUGUUUGAAAAAGCUUGUGGAUACCAAUAUACAUACUUGAGCUAGAACCACUGUUUUUACCACUCUUUUCCUUAGCUCAAGUAGCUGAAUCCACAUCAUGGAUCAGUUCCCACACCUUGAACCCAUCCUUCUUUUAAGCCAAUGUUUGUGUGUGAAUUGAAAGGCCACCUUGGAUCAAACUUAGCAGAAAGUGUUAGGUUUAGAGCGACAAGGGCAGGUCUCAUUGAGUGCUGUGUUCCAACAUCAAGGAACUGAGAGUUUUGGCGAGGAAUAAGUGUGGGGGAAAAGACUUUUUGGUGAGUGGAAAAAGGUGAGAUGAGUGGAAAGAGAGAGUGAAAAUAACUAGGGGAAUGAAAGAAAAAGAAGUCAGUCUUGGUGUUUUGAGAAAGUGAGCUCUGGUUUGUUGAAAAGAAAAAUCUAGCCUCUAAGUGAAAAAGAAAGAAAAGAAGCCAAAAGCUCAAAUGUUUUGAUAAGAAAGAAAGAAGAGGCUAGAAGUUGUAAAAGAAAAAGAGCUGUGUAAAGUUUGAGUUCCAAGACUUGAGAGUGAAAGUGAAGAACAAAUCCCCUAGUGAGAGAAAAAUGAGUGUGAAAAGUGAGGUCUUUGAGCAAGAGAGGAAGCUUUGAGUAGAGGGUGGGGAGUGAUGAGUCUUUGCCCUUGUAUGCAUAGGUUGCUUUUUACCUUUAGCAUUCUGCCAAAGUUUGAUCAUUCAUAGAGAGAUCCCUUUGCUGCAUUUAACCCACUUGAACACUGAUGAGAUCAUUUUAAUCUCAUAGCCUCUCCCUAGCCAAGCCAGCUUGUUUAAACCUUGCAUCAUGAGAUCCACCUGAUAAAAGCUUAAUGAAUGUGAAAGAGUUGAGAGAGAGAAGAACUUGUGGAGAUUCCUUGCUGAGUUGACAUAUAUCUGAGUAUGGCUUUGCAUUGCAUAAUUGAGCAUGAACUUGAAUUCUCAUUGUGAUCACUUCUCUCAAAAAGAAAAUGUGAACUCCCAUUGCAUACAACCUCUUUCUCUCAUUUGCUCUUUUUGCUUGAGGACAAGCAAAGGACAAGUGUGGGGGAGUUGAUAUGUUCAUAAUUUGCAUCAUUUAGGUUGCAUAAAUCAUUCCAAAUCAUGUUUUAUUUCAUGUAUUUUAGGUCCCUAGGGUUUGUUUUAGAACUUAGGAGAUGCAUUAGGUCCCAAUGAGUCUUUGCAUGUUUUGAGUGUCUAUCAGGUGAUUAUGGAGCUGAAAAGAUGAAUCCAGGAGGUGGAAUGGUGAGCAGAGCUUGAAAAAGUGGAAAACUUGAGUCUAUGGAGGUUAUCGGCCAUUCUCGCUGGCCAGGAAGGUUUUACCGGCCAUUUUCAUGUACUGCGGGAAGCUUUACCGGCCAUUUUCACGUACCGCGAAUUAAGUAUAUCGGCCAAAAUCUCCGGGUGCGAACGAGUCUCAGAAAUCACCUGUCCGGGGAGCCUUCCGGUCCGAUUCAGAUGGCGGGUCCUUCAUAGAAGUUGGAGAGCAUUGAAGCACGGUCUCAUAGCAAUUGGAAUCGUAGAAUUCGGACGCGUGAGCAGAGAGAUAAGCUCGUCGGAAGAAACCCCUGUCUCGCAGGUAUUCCGGACCGAGCAGAUCAGUUCUGAAGGAUGCGAAGGACGGUGCACUUCCAGGCCGAUUCAGCUUCCGGGUCCUUCAUGAGAAUCAGAGACAUUUGAGUUUUCUUUCCAGAACGUCCAAGAGCAUUCAAUUCGGAUCUAUGAGCAGGAAGAUACGGCCUCCGGAAUGGACACAUGUCUAGACGCCUCUCUCUGGUCGUAUACAUGCACUGCAAAGAUGUGCCCUCCAGGAAGCCUUCCACCUCCCAAGCACUGAAACUUCCUUCACAAAAGUUGGAGAUAAAUGAGUCCUCUGUCUUCUGCAACCGAAAUCAUUCAAUUCGGACAAGUAUCACAGGAGUUACACUCUCCGGAAUGCGAAGUGAUCUAAGCUGCUCUGGAUGCUGCGAGAUGGUCUUGCGACUUGGUUAACCCGCAGGCCUGAAGAUGAACACCUGAAUGCUGAUGCUGCGAGUUGAAAUGUGCGGGUAAACUAUCACUGGAAGAGGUCUGGAGCUCCCGAGCAAGAGAAAUGCUAAGUCCACAAUCGUGCGACUUAGGCAUGCGAGUCAUCCGCGCCUGGAUCUAUGCCGCACGAUCACUCGGAAUUCACUCCGACUUGAGCCUGCGACCUAAGUGCAAUAGAGACCAACCCGCACAGUUUCUACAUCCCCCAGAAACCGGCUCAGCCCUGCGAGUUGGAGAGGAAGGAGACCAUGCCGCAGAAACACUCGCAAUUUACUCCUAGAUAGGCGUGCGGCUCCGACAAGGUGAUUCAAGCCUCACAAGACAAGUCUUCAUCUACUGCGACUUAGGUGUGCGGCCUGGGACAUACUGAACCGACCCGCAGCUUUUCCCACUUUAUCCAUUAAAGCCGGGUCAGGACCCGGUUUGUUCCGGGCUGACCCGGUUCGUUUUUAAGAAGGUAUAAAUACUUUUUAGGGUUUUUUGGGGGAGAACUAAGUUUUAUUCCCUUUGUCUCUUGCCUUUUUGGUGAAAAGACUCCAUUAAGAAGAGAAAUAUCUUUAUUUGAGUGUUUAAUCAAGAGAGUUUAAGGAGAUCUGGGUGUUUAAAGCUGUUUUCUUUUGAAUCUAUCAUCUCCAUCUCCAUUUCUCAUCAUUAAUCAUGCUAAUCUACUCAACUUGCAAAAGUUUAAGAGAGAUUAGUAUGAUUAGUGAGUAGUCACCUUAAUGAGGUUCUAGAUGUGUAGGUUAGGGUGCUAAAGUGUUAGAUUAGGAGUGCUUAGGGCUAGAUUCAUUGAUUCAUCUCUCUAAACAGCUGUUCUCUAUGCUAAAUCCUUGAUAAUCACUUGAGAUCUAGAUUCUGGGAAUUUCAUGCACCAAAAGUGUUUGAUGAAAUUCCUGAAAGAGUUGUGUUAGAGGUUUAAGUAAUUUUUCAUCAUGGGAAUGAUUUGUUAAAUGCUUGAAUGAUCAUUAAGAGCUGUUUGUUAAUGCAUAUUGAUUCAUGUUUCACAAAUGGGAAUUUGGUUUGAAAAUGGAUUAGUAUAGGGGUUAAUACCUUCAUGAGAGGAUUAACCUAGAUUAGAGUUCUUAAUCAUUUGAAUCAUGUCUCAUCAUUGUCAUUAGCAUUUCUAGUUUAACACCAAGGCACCCUAACCAACUAUCAUGUCUAGAAUCUCAUGCCUCCAUCAUAUCAUAUUCACAUCAUUUGUCAUUGUCAUUUGUCUUUAAACCUGUUUAUGUUUAUAGUUGUCUCUAGAUUAAUCAAAACCUAUUCUUGUUUGCUUGAAUUAAGAACUUGAUCAUAUAGCUUAGUGUCUAACACCACAUCUGGAUUGAUAAACCUCUUUGUACUACAUUGACAAGGGGAUUGAUAGCCCUGAGACCCUUAAAAGUCUUAUCUAUCAUCCAUCUAACAUUUUACUUUCGUUUUAUGAAUAAGUUCUCUUUCCCUUAGCUGUUUUAGGAUUUGAUGUACUUAAUCGAUCAAGAAAACAUGGUCACCAUUCCAAUGUUCAUUAAUUACCAACAUCAAAAGAAUAAUAUUGCAAAUCUAAUUGAAAUCUUCAAAAUGUGAAUACAAAAUGGUUUCUACAUAAAAAUAUAAGGCCGGAAUAAUAUGAUAUACCUUUACAUAAUCAUUAAAUGGUUUUUUUAAAUUACGUGUUUUCUUUCGAGAUUAUUGCUCCCUUGCCAACAUCAAUGAUGACGUUUAUUCCACGUCAAAUAUGACAUGGCAAAGGCGCUAGCUCUGCACAAUUUCAUUGGAUGCUAAUGCUGAUGUGUAAUUUUUGUCCAAGUUUUUCUGAUUUAAAAAAACAAAAAAAAAGUGAAAAUCAUAAACGGAUAAACAUGCGGAUCUUUAUACCCGAUCUAGCCCAAUUAUCUGUAUUUUAAAAACAUCCUUUGGCCCAAUAAUUCAUACAUUCCCAUUUUUAAAAUUUUUGAAAUUAUGGUUUUUAAAAACUUUCCGCGUAAGAAAAUAGAAAUUUUUCCCAAAAUGGAAGAUUACAUUAACUAUUAGCAAGAUUUACCGGAGUUAAUGUAACAAUAUAUACAGAAAUUUUAAUAUUUCAAAAAGAAACACGAAUUUAUCUUACAUUUUAAUACUAUACGUCAAUUUUGGCAAUUAAAUCAAUUUGAAUAUAUUGAUUCUCAAAUAUUUCCGCAACAAUAUCUACUUCUACGCACAUUCCGAAUAUCCAUAUUCUUCAUUUCAUUCUUUUUUUUCAAAAUAAUUUAAAUCCCGCCUAACAUCAAUUUUAAAAAGUUCUCAUUGACUUCCUCUCCCUAUAUACCUAUCCUAAACCCUAAAACUCUACAAUUCUCAUUCACAAAAAUGGCUUUAGUCCGCAAACGUUCGGCUGCUCUAGUUCCAUUUGCCAAAUUAGGUCAAUCAAGUGAAAUUCAGAAAAUUAGAGCUAUUAUAUUUUUACUUUGGAAAGUCAAGAACAGGCAGUCUGGCUUUGUUAUAUAUAGAAAUGAUAUUGGUUGACAAAGAAGUUUGUAUGCGAUCUUAUGCAUUUUGUUUAUUGUUAUUUUAAUCAAUCUAUAGAUUAUAUAGUAAUACUAUUUGUGUGAUUCACAGGGCACUAGGAUUCACGCUACGUUGAUGAAGAAUUGAUCGCAAAAGAUAAAUGCAUCCUUAUAGAAGGAAAAUCACUUUCUAUUAAUUGCUUCAUCAUUAAAGAAUACUAUAGUGAUUUUAGGACUACUCCAUUACCAUACAAGAUUGCUUUGUGCAGAACAACCCGUGCUAAGGAGAUCAAUGAUUUUCCAUCAGACUUGCCAGAGAAAUAUUUUUCUGAUUUCAAGUCAAUCAAGGAAGACAAACUCGACAAAAACGUCCUAAUCGGUAUGUCAUCAUCGCGAUAUUGAAAAUUAUAUUCUAAUGUACAUAUUUAUCAUUGUAUACAAAUAUUUUGUCUUCAAGAUGUCAUUGGACAAAUUGUCACCAUUGGGAGUAUGGAAGUUAUAAAAACUAAAGUAAAAAGUGGGAUCAGCGAGAAAUUGAUGAUAACACUCCGGGACACCAAGUAAGUAGUUAUGAUAUCAUACCAAAAUAAACAUAACAAUAUUUUAACAAUGGAACGCUAAUAUGUUUAUUGCUGAAGUGAUGUCCAACUGAAAUGUACACUAUGGGGACAAUAUGCAAAAGCAACUGUUGAGUACACUGACAAGCAUAUGGCUGUUAUUGUUGUGUGUGUAAUGCGAUUUUUCUGUAUAAAAGAGUACAAAGGUUAGAUCACUAUAUCCCCUAUUCAUAUAUACACAGUUUUGUAGAGAUUGGUAUUGGAUUAGAUUGUUAAUUAUUCUUAUUUUAUGUUUUUCGAGUAUAGGUGACAAUUCAAUAUCAAACGCUUUCAACUCCACCAAAAUUUUGUUUGAUCCUGACGUCAAGAUCGUGAAAGACUUCAGAGAAAAGUAUGUUAUGUGACAAUUUUAAUAUCAUUUUAACAUUGUUUUAUUUAUAUAGUUAUUGUUUACAGUUUUGUAGGUUGCUAAAAAACAAUCAAAUGAUUGUGCAUGCUGAACAGAGUUAUUCGACUUCUUGGGGUGGUGCUAUUGACUACCGUGAAUAAUUUUUAGGUGUGAAAAAUAGGAGGCGGACGAUAGCUGGAAUUCGUGAUAAAAAAGUGGCAUGAGCUAUAUUUUAUUCAUGGUACAAAUAUAUUUAUAUUUCACUAUAUACAUAUUAAUGGUUUUGUUAUAACCUGGCAAGAUUUUAACAUGCGUAAUGGUCAAAGACGUUGACACUUCAAAGCUGUGGUAUUAUUGGGCAUGCAAACCUUGCAUCAUCAAAGUUUUAGAGCAUGACAUUAUGUCUGAUGAUGAAGAUUACGAUAAGAGGAUUCCUCUUUUCAGUUGCAAAAAUUGUGGAUAUAUCUAUUCAUAUGAUACCAUCGUCGCAAGGUAAUACAAUGAUUUGUCCCAUAAAGUCAAGAAAACAUUACUUAUUUCAUUAAGACUUUCUUUGGUAUGAUAUAUAGCAGAUAUAGCAGAAUUAUUUCAUGUAGACUUUCUCUGAUUGACUGGCUAAAUGUUCGCCUUAUUUUAUUACAUUGAUUUGUCCCAUCAUACAUUUAUUCCAACAUUACAUUACAUGUUUAUUCAUGUAACGUUUAAAUAACUCACUCUUCUGUUUCCUUUCAAACUAUGUAGGUACUAUAUUGUAUUAUUUGUAACUGAUGAUUCAGACGUCGAUGUCCGCUUCCUGAUGUUUGAUGACACUGCUCAAAGAUUGUUGGGUCAUUCAGCUGAGUCUAUAAUGGAACAAAAUGAUGAGGUUAUUCGUUAAAUAAUUGUAUACAUUAUGCAUUAUUUACAUUUUCUGAAAUAAUAUUAAUCCAUUAUAUAUAAUGAUGCGCAGGAUUUACCAAGAGGGCUCCCUGAUGGCUUGACAAAGCUCCUAACCAUGAGGAUGCUUUUCAAAAUAACAGUUUCAGAAGAGCAUACAAAAGGAAGCCAGUCUCCGUAUGUAGUAGAAUGGUCUCAAGAUGUCGAAAUUAUGACUGAGUGGGAUUCUCGAUCAGUGGUAAUAUAUAGGAUAAAUUUUACAAACUUCUCAAGCUCGCUUAUCUGAUCGUUUAGUUAAAUUAAGACGUCAACAAUGUUUUAUAUUUUCAGCAACCGUUGAUGCUUACGAGUUCUGACGAACUUGAGAAUCCAUCGUCUGGAUCUUUACUCAUUCCUUCAUCUAAGAAGCUAAUUAAGAGUCCUGACUAUUUUGAUGAAGGUGAAAGAUCUGUUAACAAAAAGCGACCGAAGCAAGAGAUCCCGAUGAAGUUAUGAAGAAGCAAAAAAUCGUAAUGAACUUAUUGCAGAAAUGCAUUGCUGGUGAUUGAUUAUUGAUUUUGAUCUUUAUAACAAAUUUGUCCAAUGGAUGGAUAACGUUUGAACUCUCUUCGUUAUUUUUUGCGGUAUUUGUGGAAUUUUUUUGGCAUUUUUUAUUUAAUUGUGAAACUUGAAUGUUGCCCUAGAAUUUUUUUUCAUAAUUCAUUUUUUGAAACUUUAAUUUGUGAUUUAAAUUUUUUUGGUUCAACCAACUGUCAUAAAUUUACACGAGAGUUUCAAUUAAGACGACAUUAAAACCAUAACCGUUUUACUCCAUCACAUAGAAAACUAUUCAUUUCGUUAUUCUCUUUCAUCUUCAAUCUUAGCAAAAUAUUAAAACAAAGAAUGUCUCCUAGUGAAAGAGUUUCCGAUCUUCAGAAGAAAAACGGCGGAUAUCGUAUUUGUGUACAUAUACUAAGAGAUUAUUAUGAUUAUACUCUCUUCGAUCGACCUAAUUGGAUGUUAGUUCUUGCGGAUGAAUUUGUAAGUUUUGGAGGUUUGAAAAGAUUUACCAUAUAUAUGUUUUAGGAAUGUAUUUGUUAAUUAUUUAUCUUUGUAAACCGUGUAGGGCAAUCGCAUCCUGUCUACUAUUCAAUAUGAUAUAAUAGACAAAUUUGAGUAUGAAUUGGUUGAAGGAGAUUGGGUGGUUCUUGGUAAUUUUGAAGUUGCUGACAGAGUGAUUUGUCCAAGUAUAUCAUCAAACAACUAUCAUAUACAUUUCCUCGAGGAUACCAUUGUUGAGAAAACUGAUCUGAAGUCUUCCAGAGGAAUAUACUCUUUUUGUGCAUUCAUGAAUAUUUUAUAUAGAUUUAUUCAUAUAGAUAGAUAUCUUGCUAUCUUUCUUACAACUUUUUAUUUUAAAUCGUUUAUCUAAGGAACUUCAACAUGUAUUUAAAGGCAGUCCUUUAUUUUUGCAGUUGUUCUUCUCGGUGUUGUCACAUUUGUUCAGAAACUUCAGUUAUGAUCAGACACACCCACGCAACGUCCACUUAUUCGUUUUAAAAUUCAAGAUUUCAGGUCUGUUAUCCUCAAAACAUCUGUUAUGUGUAUAUUGUUUACAAAUUUUAAAGUAUAUUAAUAAUGUUCUAAAUUAUUUAAAUAUACAGUGGAGAAUCUUUGAAAUGUAUUGCUUGGGAUAACUUGGCAAGGAAAUUUGAAGAACUUUGGAGGAAUCGUGAAAGGUCUUCUAGGCAUAUUAUUGUAUUGUGAUUUUUCUCUUUCACUAGACGGAGAAGUAACUAACUACUUCAUUAUUUGAUAUUUUUAAUUAAUUACAAGUUUUACAUAUAUAUUUUUCCGUAUAUUGAGUAUGUCUAUGUAUUUAGAUGAAUGGAUAGUUGAAUUGGAAAGAUUCAUAUCUGAUAUUCUCGAGGAUCCUCCUAUCCCAGAAGUGGAAAGAGCAGGGUUGAGGUAUGUUUAUUCCAUCUUUGAUAUUGUAUUCUAUAUUUUAAUAUUUAUAAAUAUAUAUAUAUAUAUAUAUAUAUAUGUAUAAUGAUAAAAAAAAUCCUAAUAUUAUUUCAGGCUUGCAACUUCAAUUGAUUUUUCUCCGGUCCACGAUGAAUAUGAAGACCAGUCUAAGUAAAAGAGAUUAUUGUUUCCUAUUUCUUAUUUUUAUAGUGUUAAACUUGAAAAUCUAUAUUAUUCUGAUUGAAAAAAACUUAUCCAAUGACAAUAUAUAUAUAUUUUUUAAAAAACAAUUUAAUUGUGUUAGCAUUUUUUCGUGAAGCGUAUUCUAUUUGAUUUCAACAAAAAAAUAAUUAUGAUAUUCAAAAUUAGGAUGCUCCGUGAUAUGUGUCUGUAUUAAAAAAAUAGAGUAGGUAAAUUCUGGUAUUGUACUCUCAUUAAUUAUUUGUAAUUAAUGAAAUGAAGUAAUUAACUUAAUUAAAGAGAAGUAGUCAGUACAAUAUAUGACAUUUUUCUACCAUCUUUACAUAUUUUUCUACAUAUAAUUAAUCAAUAUAAAAGUCAAAUAUACCUAUGAAUUGAAUGUAACAAAUUUGGUUUGUUCGUAAGUCACUUAGUGCAAUAAAUGUCAAAGGUUGCAAUUUAUUCUAAUUUUACAAAACAACACAACUUUUCAGACCCUAUACUUGCUUUGCUAUACAUAUAAAGGACCAAAGUAAAAAAAUGUCUGGCCAUCUUAACUAAAAAAAACCUAAAGUCCCAGAAAACAACCACUUUCCUCAAACAUGCCUCGCUAUUGUACCCUUGAGUAUCUUUCUCCCACAAAAUCUGACUCCAGAAUUCUUAUAAAAGUUCUACGAGUUUGGGAACACUUCAACUACUGUAAUCAACGCCAGGAAUUGCAUCUUAUCCUCGGUGACGAAAAUGUAAGUUCAUCUUUUUGAAGUUUUUUUAUUCUGUUGCAUGUUAUGAACAUUUAAACACAUGAAUUUAGGGUUACAAAAUAGAGGCAUGGAUAGAUCAGGAUCUUAACUUUUCACUUGGUCCAAAGUUUAAAGAAGGAGAAUGGAAUUAUGUCAAAUUCUUCAACGUUGUCAAUGCGUUCGGAUCUUUCAGAAAUACUAUAAACUACCACAUCAUCAACAGGAACGCCGAUACUAUUGUAAACAAGACCUUUCAAGUCAAUCCUAAGCAUAUGAUGGAUUUUAUGCCAUUUGAUGCCAUUAUCUGAGGGAAUUUCUCUACUGAGUACUCUAUCGGUUAGGCUUCUCACUUUUAUUCAAUUUAAGAAUUGUUAUAAAUAUUGUGUAAUGAAAAUUUUUCUUUGUAGACUUGAUCGGCGUAAUCAUCUAUGUUGAUGAUGAACUAAGUACUGAUAUUGAUGACCCAUACGAGAUGAUUUUUGGACCUUCUCACAAAUUGGACAUUCAAAUAAGAGACAUGAAGUAAGAUGUUUUAUAUUAUCAUCUAUAUAUGUAAAUGCCAAUAAUUUGUCUUAUGUUGUACAUAUGUAUUUUUGUUAAUGUUGUUGUAAUAUAAUUUGAUAUGGACAUCAAACUCAUUGGGAAGACUGCUCUGGAUUUCUAGAAGAAGUGAGAAAACAUAUGUACUUAUGAAACAGUCUUGAUUUUGCGCAUGUUUCGUCUGACCUAUGAUUCUGAAGGUUAGUAAUUAAAUAUUAUAAUCGAGUGGAAACAUUCAUUCCCACUUUGUUAAUAUGAUAAUUUGGCUUCUAACAUGUGUGCCCUUUAUAUUUUAAAAUCAUACAGGAAAAUAUCGCAUAAAGAAUGAUGGACACCAUUCUGAAAUACUUUUCAAUCCUCACAUAAAUGAGGUUUCUGAUUUUCUUGACUGGUAAUUUUUCUAAUUGGUAUUAAUAUAUAUAAUAUGUUUUAAGGUUUAUUUUAAUCUUUUUUACAAUAGUUAACUUGAAAUUAUUUAUGGUCAGGCUUCCUUUUAUUGAUAUCCAAGGAGAUCCGAGCUGGCCAUAAGUUUAAUCCCUCUUAUGUACCUAUAUUUUCUCGUAACUGUUAAACAUUCCCAUUAUGUAAUAUUUUCCCAUAAAACUGGGAUGGAGUUGAACAUAUUUUCGUAUAUUUGUAAUGAAAUAUUUAGUAUUUAUUUAUAGUAAUGUUUAAUUGCCAAUUAAUAUCAUUUUAUUUAUUGUUUAUAUAUAUUACAUGUAUAUAUGUAUAGUUUGGAUAUAGCAUAUACAAUCUAUAUAUAGAAUCCAUUUGAUUUUAGAAAGGUUACUUCCUUUAUAGACAUUUUCUUCCAUCGAAUAUUGUACAUUUCCAUAAUAAUAAGACAUUGUCAAAUUAUACUACUACAAUAUAGUAACGACCAUUUUUCAUAUUAUGCCAAUUUUAGUACCAUAACAAUUUAUGUAAGUAGACUUCGACAUUACAUUUAUUGCGAACCUUUAUAAAUUUCUUUAUUUAUAAUUAUGCCAAACGAUGCAACUAUAACGCUUUUUAGGCAAUUUCAUCUAAUGCUCACUAUUGAUCUUUUUUUUUUUGGUCGAUGCUCACUAUUGAUCUAUUAAAAACUUUACGUGUAAGAGUAAAUUGAAAUUAAUUCUGAUUGACGUUUUCAUUUCAGUGUUGAAAACUGACGUCAAGCUUUUCUCAUAACAUUUAGAGUUGAGUGUCAAAUAUUAUAUAAAUUAUCAAUGUUUUAAUGUUUGUGGAUUAUAAUUAAUGUAGCAGAUGAGCUUAUAAUCUUACGAAUCAAUUCACACAUAUGAGAAAGUGAUUUGGGAAAAUAAUUCAUUUUUAUUUGAAUCAAGAUAAUACAACUUAUUGUAGCAAAAAAGAGAGAUAAUUAAGGUACAAAAAAACAAAAACAAAAAAACAGAGAUAAUUUUAGCUAAACUCCAAAGUUUCUCCUUCCACGUUUAUUCUUAUGUGCCUAUAAGAUUCAAAAACAUAUAAUGUUGUUAACUUCAAACAUAUUAGUUAAACAAAUCAAUGUAUUAAUGGAAUAUUAACAGCUUACCCACUCCGAUGUAUCUAGGUAGCGAAUCUCUCUCUUAACGAAGCCGCAUUCUAUACAUUUCAAACCUAUCUCCAGAUCUAGAUGGAGAUCGUGUUUUCCUUUCUUGCAACGUUCAUUUGGAUCAUCAGUCGAUAUUUCUUCAUCAAGCUGCAGAUAUUACAUAGUGAUAUAAACAUACAAUAAUACAGAAAUCAUCAAUAAAACCGAAUAAUUUAAAGUUUAAAUUAUCUCAGAAAGAACCUCGAUGGCAUUCGCAGUUGAUUUGCUCAGAAAAUCAUUCAUCUCUUCCCACUUAUUAGUUUCCUCCAUCUCUGAUUCAGAAAUUGGAGGAGGUGAUGGUGGUUCUUCCACACCAAAUCUCAUGUUCGAUGGUGGUGGAUUAAUUCUCAGUAAUCCGUUUUCAUCAUAACGUUUUUCUUGGUGAUUCUCCAUUUUUGUCUAAUCUCUUAUCAGGCGUUUAGGGUUGCAGAGAAAAUUUAAGAAGUAUGUUUAUAAUCGAAGCAACUCUUAUUUUAUAUAGGAUAAGGUAGUUAAAAAAUAUUCAAUGUCACCAAAUUUCUAUGUUUUCUUAGGAAUACUGUUUCAACCAACCAGUUUAGCUUUUUAACUUUCGUUUUUGAUAUAUAGACAUAAUAUUUACACAAGUCUUCUGCGUCCAACUCACACAACUUAGCUGAAACAAAAAUAUUGAAAAGUUUGGAUUUUCCUCUUUACAGUUUGAUUUAAACCGCAAUAUAUGGUAACAUAAUAUUGUCUCUGAUAAUUUCGAACUAAUAUUCUUAUGAAGCAAUUAUGUAUAAAUUGAAUUAUCUAACCAUAUAUUCGAGAUUUUUAUAAAUAUUGUAUGAAGGAUAUUUAUAUAUUGUUGUUACUUUAUAAAACCAGAUGCAUAUUUCAAUCUUUAAUGUAUUUGUAUAUUCGUGUAUAUCCUAUUUAAUCCAUCUAUAUAUUCACAUCAUACUUUUGUGAACUGCAACUUCAUUUGUUACACUGAAUAAAAAAUCUCAAUAUUCUCCAUUUCUACUGCUAUGAACAGGAUAGGUAAACCUUAUGCGUCCAACUUUAAUCUAUUAAGAAUCCUUUUGAAUAACUAUAGACAUUUACCCUUUAUAUUUUAUUAUCAGACAUUAUUUGUUUCCUUUUAACUGUUUUAACAAAUUCUUUAUGAUUGUUUUCAGAAAUUAUUUAAUUUCAUCUACCAAGAACAAAUUCUUCCAAGCGAAACAAGGUCGACAAAGUAAUGAAAAAUACAAAAUUUAUUGCUUGGAUGGAGUGUAACAAGAUAUACGCAACUGCCAGAUUCCUACUCUACACUGAAUUAUCUCAUCAAUUUGUAUGGAAUGUCACAUUGCAUGAGUGGAGGUCACGGGUGAAGGGUUCAGGAAAUCCAACUAUUCUUCAACAGUAUUCAAUUUAUGAUGAGUAGAAUUUUUAUUUGGGUGUCUGUUGAAUAUCAUUAGAGGUCCUCGCAGUUAUGAAGAUAUCCGAACAUUUAAUGGUGUUGUAUACGACACCUUCAGAAAAGUUUGCUAUGCAAGGGGCUUAUUCCCGAUCAAUUAGAUUUAUAUAUCUUUCUUAAUUUUAGUUUUAAAACUGCAUGUUGAAUCUUUAUUUCAAUAAGUUACUUUCAUUUUGUUGUUUUUAAUCAUCUUCAUUUUUUACAGUACUUUUUAUGUUGAAUAUAUGAUAUACUAAGGUAAAUCAUCUACUAAAUACUACAUUUGCAACCGUGACAUAUUACAUGAUUAAUACAAGAGUCAACCAAUUAACAUUUUAUAAAAUAUAGCAUAACUUAUAAUUUAUAAUUUAUUGAAUAAACUAUUAUCAUUGUAAGUUUAAAGUAUUGUUGAUGCGGAUUAAUCGUAACUUAAUUGUUAAUAUGAUAAAUUAUACCUCAAAUUUUGGAAAUCUCUGAUAAAAUUAAACAACUUUUUAAAUUUCAAUUUAAACUGAACUACAUAAUAUAGACAAAUGCGAUUUUUUGUUAUUUUAGAUAAUUGCAAAAGAGAAAUAAUAAAUCUAACAAUCCUAGAAAUUAGGAAAAUCGUUGUAGUUCAAAUUAAAAAUUCCCAAUUAAAAGUUUUAUAUUUUUUACACAAUAUUGGAUCUCAUUCGAGGUAAAUAACAAUUUUUUACAUAAUUAGAGUUUUUUUCUUAAAAUUCCAUUCAAUAAUAAAAAAUCUACUAUAGCAAAAACUUAUUGAAAACGGUAUACAUUUCUGUUUACCUACUGAACAAAAUUACUUAUAUCUCACUCUACAAAAAGUACAUUGUCAAUACUCUAUCCACAAUUUGAUAUAAAGUAUUAACAGUAUACUUCAUGUUGAAAGUGAGCAUUCACAAGUAAUAUAAUUACAAUAACUCUGUGGCGACACAAUGAAUAAAAUUACUUCUUCUGAUGUGAUUCAUCACAGAUACACAAGAAAUAUUAUGUAGGAAAACAUGUAUUUUUAUUUCAUGUAAACAUAAUUUUUGUACGUCUGUGAGUGGAUCACAUCAGAAGAAUAAUUAUAGUAUGGGUUGUGUUUGAGUGAGUUAUUGUUUGCUUGGUUAAUUGAUCAAAAUUCUAUUCUGAUGUGUAUUUAUAGAAUUCUUAGAGCACGUCCAGUGGGGGUUCGUCCAUGGGUUCAUAACUCAUUUUAGAAUUAAAAAAAAUGUUUAAUGAGCUAUUUAUGAAGACUCGGUUCAUCCCAAAGAGUCUAAUGAACCUCAUUUGCUGACGUGGCAAUUUUUUAGUGGUUGAACCUUCAUUUUUCUUUUUCCACCUCUUCUCUUUCUUAAAAAAAAUCAUUUUUUCUUUUAUUUUGCAACUUCUCUCCUCUCUCUUGUUCAGAAUUUUAUUAAUUUAAUAUUUAGGAUGAACUUUAUGAAAAGUUCACCAAUGGACAUGGUCUUAAAGAGUGACUCCUCAUUUUUCUUCCCUGUGUUUCAUAUUCCCCAAAAGUCAUUGAUAAUUAAAACAUAUUAAACAACAUUUGACUGAUAUAUCACAAAUUCCGAAAGAAGAUAAAUUUCGAAAUAAAUGAAUACAUCUUCGCAUAUAAUCUAUAAAAUAUGUUCAUAAAUGUCACAUUUCGAUGCCUAACUUAAAAACAUAAAAUUAAUGUAUAUAUUCAUAAUUACAAGUAUUUUUUUAUCUACACUUUCUUCAUUAUACAUAACUAAUUAUAAUUACGUAGAAUUUAUAACUGCAAAUAUGAGCCAAUUUUAAGACACAAUCCAAUUCUUAUACUAAUAACAUACCAUUCGACCCAAAAUUAGUAACAUUGUAUCCACACACACUGUAAAUUAUCAAUAUUAUAAAAUUCGACCCAAUAAAUUUAACAAUAUACCUAAUAAAAUUAAAAUUUCAAAAAACGUUCAAGCCCGCACAUGUGUGCGGGCCAGUAUCCUAGUGCCUAGAAAAUACAAACAAGUGUGGGUAUAGAAACGUGAUACAUAGUGAUUAUGUUCCUUUCAUAUGGUGAUGUACUUAUAUUUCCUUUUAGUAUGCUCUAUAUUGCUAAGUGAAAACAGGGAGAUUGUGGAAUUUAGUUGCAUAUUUAUUUCCUUUUUAAGUGUCCAAUUGCCUUUUGAUUUCGUUUAUUUAUUGCGGGUAAAAACAACCAAAACCAUUCAGUUUUAGCUAGAUCUACUCUCGGAAAUAUUACAUGUAACAUUUGGUCCUUGUUGUUCGACCUAUCGUUCUACUACCAUGACAAAAUAAUUGUACACUUGCGGUUUAGUAAAUUGGUAUUUAAAAUUGACCGCACUUUUUCCAGGGACUAGCUGUUUCACCAUUGGGUUAAAGACUACAGUUGAACAUAUGACAAGUUUUUCUUGUUUCCCCUUUGACACAAAAUAUAUAUAUAUAUAUAUAUAUAUUUUGUUAUAUUUUUGUUACUUUGCUUAAUCGCUCCAAGUUUUCCCUAAUUGGCCUUUCAGCUGCAUGACUAUAAAUCCUUAUACCAUGAGGGUCUGACCUUUCACCGUUUGAAAGAUAAUAGAAAGGAGAGCGAUUAGCACGUUUGGAGAGAGAGACAAUAGAUAAUCAGAAACCAAAAUUGGAGAGUUCAAGUUUGAACAGUUUCUAAGUAACUUGGGUGCCAGUGUGAGUUUGAUGUCCCUGGAUGUGUCAAAAGGUCUUGGGAUAAUAGAUUUCAAGUCAUCAAAGAUCACUCUGGUUUUUGUUAAUCGCUCGGUUGGUUACCCAAUGGGUCUACUUGGGGAUCUACUAGUCAGGGUUGGAAACCGCUAUACUCCUAGAGCAUUCAUUUUGUCAUAGUUACAUAAAGAGCUACAUGAACAGAUGAAGGUGUAGCUGUAGUUGAAGCAGUUGCUGUACCAGAUGAAGUGAAGGAUGGAAUUCCACAAACAUGAAGUACGUGACAAGCGAAGCAUUUGGAAUGAGGAGCUGGACGAGUAGCUGAGCUGGACCAGUAGGAAUGGGAGUCUUGGAAAGAAAGCAAAGCUGGAUGGGAAUAAAGGAGCAGAUCAGGAAGAAUGGAAGAUUUUACUUAAACAUGUAAAAGUUUAAGGAAAUAGGAAAUAUGCACCAAGCGACAAAAAUGGAAGCUGUGGUGUAGGGUUUUCGGCGUGUAUAGCCGCUUAGUCUACUAGGUAUAAGUAGACGUGUUGAACCAUUGUAAAAGCUUAACACAACUACUAGAGAGCACUUAGCAUAAGGGUGAGAGAUUCGAGUAUUAGGGUCUGCAUCAAGGGUUAAGGGUUUUUCUAGGGGAGUUCUGAGAUCAAGUACAGCUCGAAGAACAGAGAGAGCUAGAGCGACAGAUCAAGGUGUGUCUUGAGUCUGUUCUAAAUCGUUUUACAAACUUGUAAGGUGUGUUAACAGAUUUACUAGUAAUAAAGUUCAGUUAAAGGAAAAACUUUGUGUUAAGUUGUGUUGUUGUUCUUGAACUAAGACUCUUGCAUUUACAAUUGGUAUCAGAGCGGUCAUCUGUAACUUGCAAACAGGUGAGGUCAUGCGGAGAUGGAGAAUUAUCAAGAACUUGUGAGCAGUUCAAACGUAAUUUUGAAUGCUGGAAACUACGGCUUCUGGAAAGCGAGGAUGCGUUCACUCAUAAUAGGAAUUGAUCCUUUGGUAUGGAAGUCGGUCCUGGUUAAGUGGGAAGAACCAAAGAAGAAGAACGAUGCUGGAUCUGAUGAGCCUAAAUCUGAAGAAGAAUGGACCGAGGAAGAAAGAAAAAGGUUCAAAUACAAUUCAAAGGCGUUGACGGCUAUUCACUGUAGCAUAUCAGCUGAGACCUUUAAACUAAUUCAGGGAUGUGAGACAGCCAAAGAAGCUUGGGACAUACUGCAGAUACAGUUUGAAGGAACGACAAAAGUGCAAAACUCGAAGAAGGACAUGUUGGCUUCACGAUUUGAGAACCUGUAGAUGGAAGAACAUGAAACCAUUGCCGACUUCAGCUCCGAGUUGAGUUCUCUGGCUCAAGAGGCUACAACUCUUGGGAAGCACUACAAAGACAAAAAACUGGUGAAGAAGUUCGUAAGGUGUCUUCCUUCAAGGUUCAUGGGGUACAAGUCAGCUCUGAGUGUGAACCAGGAUACUGAAUAUCUAAGCUUUGUAGAGAUUGUUGGGAUGCUACAGGCUCAUGAGAUGAAACUUGAUGGUGUGAAGAACCAGAAAGGAUUGGCGCUGUCAUCUGUUCUCGAGACCAAGUCAUCAGAGGAAGAAAAGUGUGAGGAUGCAUUAGGGCUACUGGUGAGGAGGUUUGACAAGGCUCUAAGACGAGCUGAGAAGUCAUAUGGUCAGAAAAAAGGUUGUACCUGCCAAACGAACAAAGGAAACCAGUGAAAGAAGGGGUGAUGUUCAAUGCUACGAGUGCAAAGGGGUCGGACACUUCAAGACUGAAUGUCCUACUAUUAAGAGAAGGUAGAUUCAGUGCUUCGGAUGCAAGUGUUUUGGUUAUACACAAUUGGAAUGUGUGAAUGAUCAAAACCGCAGGAAGGAAAGAUCCAUGCUGGCAGAAGAAGAUACUGAAAAUGACAGUGAUGAAGACACUGUGGAGGAAGUAAACAACUUUGUCUCAUUCAUUGGCAUUGCAGAAUUCGAUGAGAGUAUGGUUGCUUCAGAUGCUGAGUCAGAAGUUGGGGCUGAUGAUGAGCUGAGUGAAAGCUACAAAGAGGUUCGUGAGACUCUGAUCAAGAUUGGCAAGGAAAACACUGACUUAAAGAAAGAGAAUCUUUGAGUUGAAGCAAGAGUGGAGGAGCUGCAGAGAGAACUGAAAGCUGCUCAGAAACUGAGUCAAGAAAGUGUUGCGCUGAUAAAAGAGAAGCUGAACUUGGCAAAGAAGGCAGAGCAACUGGAGCAUGAUCUAAGUCAGGAGAAAGGGAUUUCCAACAACCUGAUGGGUGAGCUCAUUGAGCAACGUAAGAAGAUUCAUAUGUUUGCUGGAACUAAACAGCUUGAUCAGAUCUUGAGCCAUGAAAGGAGGUAUGAUGUGCGUAGAGGAUUGGGAUACGAUGCUUGAACCAUGGUAGAAACAGGUACUACAAAGUUUGUCUCAGGAGGUACAACUAAGCCACAAGAUCUGAUCAAGCUGAAAAGCUGUGGAUGAAGUCGGAAAGGUCAUCCUGCGAGGAAUCAGAUCUAGGAACAACUGUUAUAUAUGGGAUUCCUCUUGCAAAGAAGAAAAGUGCUUCACAGCACGUGAUGAUCUACAUCCGUGGCAUCAACGAUUGGGACACAUGAACAUCACGAAUCUUGCCAAUCUUGUCGACAAAGAAAUUGUCAGAGGAGUGCCUAAAGUCAAGGGAGUUGAUAACUCGGUGUGUGGACCUUGCACUCAAGGCAAGCAAGUUAAAGUGCAACACAAGAGAGUACCUGAUGUACAGUCAAAAGCAGUUCUUGAUCUAGUCCAUAUGGAUCUAAUGAGACCAGUACAAACCGAGAGUUUGGGUGGCAAGCGCUAUGUGUUCGUCCUUGUGGAUGACUUCUCUAGGUACACCUGGGUUAGGUUCCUUUGAGAAAAAUCUGAGACAGCUGAGAGCUUCAGAAUAUGGGCGCUGCAACUCUUGAAUCAGCGCGGUAGAAUAAAGAAUAUCCGGAGUAAUCGUGGCGGCGAGUUUCAGAAUGAAUUCAUGAAACUUUUCUGUGAAAGUCAUAGCAUUGCUCAUCAGUUCUCAGCACCUAGGACACCACAGCAGAACGGGGUUGUAGAAUGGAAUAACAGAACACUACAGGAGAUGGCACGAGCAAUGAUGCAUGGGAACCAAGUGUCAAAGAAGUUCUGGGCUGAAGCAGUCAAUACGGCUUGCUACAUCAUAAACCGAGUCUACGUCAGAAAGGGAACCAGUAAGACACCUUAUGACUAUGGAAAGGGAAAACCCCUAACUUGAGUUACUUUCAUGUCUUUGGUUGCAGGUGCUACAUCCUUAAUGACAAAUACUAUCUUGGGAAGUUUGACUCAAGAAGCGAUGAAGGGAUGUUUUUGGGAUACUCGGGAAAUAGCACUGCAUUCAGGGUCUUCAACAUCAGGUCAAAAGUACUGAUCGAGUCAGUGAACAUGGUGUUUGAUGACUAUGCUCGUACCAAGUGGGAAGGAACUGCUACUGGCAGUGACUCGGACGAAGAAGAAGAAAAUCAACCAGCAGCUCCCACUGGAGAAGGUGAUCAAGCAGUUGUGGUUCCAACAUCUGAUGUUCAGCAAGUUCACAGGAAUCACUCACCUUCGAAUCUCAUUGGUGAUGUGAAUGAAGGAAGAAGGACUUGUGGAGUUCAGUUGGACUUCAAAAAGAUGGUUGGGAAAUUCUCGGAGAUGGUUCUAUUUGCAUGCUUUGUCUCUGUCAUUGAACCCCGAGACGUGAGACAGGCACUUGGUGAUGAAUUCUGGAUCAUUGCCAUGGAACAAGAACUAGAGCAGUUCGUGCGUAAUUAUGUGUGGAAACUUGUCCCAAGACCCCUUGAAGGCAAUGUGGUGGGAACAAAGUGGAUCUUCAAGAACAAAAUCGAUGAGAAUGGGGUUGUGGUUCGCAACAAAGCAAGGCUAGUUGCACAAGGGUUUUCACAAGUCGAGGGAGUCAACUUCGAAGAGACGUUUACCCCUGUAGCAAGACUUGAAUCAAUCAGACUGUUCUUGGGGAUGGCCUGUAUCCUAAACUUUAGGGUAUAUCAGAUAGAUGUCAAAAGUGCAUUUCUUAAUGGAGUGCUCCAAGAAGAAGUGUAUGUGGAACAGCCAAAAGGGCUCAAAGAUGCUCAGUAUCCACAACAUGUGUACAAGUUGAAGAAGGCGCUUUAUGGCUUGAAGCAGGCUCCACGAGCGUGGUAUGAGAGACUCACUGGAUUUCUGGUUGAACAAGGAUAUGUUAGAGGAAGUGUUGACACGAUCUUGUUCAUCUAUGAGCAGAAUGGGCAGAUCAUAAUUGUGCAAAUCUACGUGGAUGACAUUAUCUUUGGAGGAACUGCUCAGUCACUUGUGGAUCGAUUUGUCACAAGCAUGACUCAAGAGUUUGAAAUGAGCAUGGUUGGUGAACUGCGGUACUUCCUGGGUUUGCAAAUAACUCAGUCUGAAGAUGGGGUCUUUAUCUCACAAAGCACCUAUGCGAAGAACUUACUUACAUGAUUCAAGCUUGAUCAGUGUAAGGAAGCUAAUACUCCAAUGAGUACUACAGCCAAGCUCACUUGGGAUUAAGAUGGAACAGAUGUUGACCCCACAGUUAUCUAGGGAUGAUUGGAAGCUUGUUGUAUCUCACAGCAAGUAGACCAGACUUUUCCCUAAGUGUGGGCAUCUGUGCUCGAUAUCAGGCGAAACCCAAGCAAUCACAUCUUGAAGCAGUGAAGAGAAUCAUCAAGUAUGUCAAAGGGACAGUCAAGUUGGGAAUCUGGUACUCCAAAAGAUCGAACAAGCACUUGGUGGGAUACUGUGACGCAGGAAGUGCAGAUGAUCGGAAAAGCACAAGUGGAGGUUGUUUCUUUCUUGGGAACUAUCUAAUCUCGUUGUAGAGUAAGAAAUAGAACUCUGUCUCACUGUCUACUGCAAAGGCCGAAUACAUUGCUAUGGGGAGCUGCUGCAGUCAACUGUUGUGGAUGAAGCAGAUGUCCGCAGACUAUGAGAUGGAUUCUGGGCCACUACUGGUUCACUGUGACAACAAAAAUGCUAUCAGUAUUUCAAGGAAUCUGGUGCAGCAUUCUAGGACCAAACACAUCAAUAUAAAGCACCACUUCAUUCGUGAGCUAGUGGAGGAGAUACAGGUAGUGAUAGAACACAUUGUCACUGAUUUGCAACUGGCUGAUUUAUUCACAAAACCCCUGGAUUUUAAUCGUUUUGUCACCUUAAGAAACUCGAUUGGGGUUUGUAGUAUGUGAUUUUUUGUGAAGUGUGCAGGACUGAUGCAAAAACUGACUCGAGGGGACACUCAAGGUUUAGAUUCAGUCUGGAGUCAUGGAUCUAGUGGAAAAGAGCUAUCUCAACAACCGUCGUACCUUAACGACAGUACAGGUUUCAUGGAGUAGAAGGGAAGCUGAGCUAGUUUCGGAGAAGUCAAGUGAUGAAACUAGCUCAUUGCACUCAAACCAGAAAGGGAGGAAUGAAUAAAUAAAAAAAAUUUAAAAAAAGGAGGGGCUGCUUGCAAUUAAAAUUAGUUGAUCCCCUCAAAAGGUAGAUCCUCCCCUGGUACUGAAAGCUUCCUUCACCCGUGAAUAAAGGUUGAAAACUAGAAAAUGGGUCGAUAAAGGUAGUUGGGUGUGAAAGCUAGCCCGUGAAUCAGGAUGGCCAGACUCUUAUGAAUCAUAACAAGCUGAAGGUGUCUCGUGAGUCAGAGGCUGUGUCUAGUUCCGGUGCACUUCAAAGAAAAUGGUAAAAAUAUGUACAAAGCAUUGUUUUCAAAGCCAGCGCAUAGGUGAUAGUUCAAUUGUCACUAUUUGUUCUCUAUCAUCGGCUUAUGUGUGAAAGUGUCCGUGAAUAUUGAUGGUCUAAUGCGUGCGUGUUUGAUUCAGUAUGUGUUCGAGUGCUUUUGUCACGUGUGAAACAGGAAAGUGGGCAGGGAAUUUCGAGGCCUUGAUGAGUUUGUGAAAACAUCUGUGAGAUGGGCUUGUUGCGAGAGAACAGCCCACAAAAGACAAUGGAAAUUGAAAAGACGUGGGAAAAUAGAAAGUGGGGGAGUUAUUUACGGGGAGUGGGGAUCCGAAAAAUCAGCACCACUUCCUGUUUUAAACCCUAAUUAUCUUCCUACAAAAGGCGAAUCACAAAGAGAGACAUCAAUGGUGAGAGGAACUCGAAGGGGGCUAAUUGGUGUCCGAUCUAAAGCACAGAUGACGCAUGCAGAUGGCGAUGCUCAGAGGCCUCAUCUAAUCGAUGAGCACAGUGGCGAGAGUAUGAAUCCAACUGAGGCGGUUCCUGAUCAAAAUCCCGCGGCAUCCAUUGGUCCAGCAGAUAGUGCAGGCUCUUUUGCCACCGCAAAUGAUGGAGAUGCGCAGAGUGGAUCGUCGGCGAACCCUAAAGAGAAGGCGGAUGGCGGAGAAACCAAGGCCAACUCGGAGGUUACCCAGAAAAUCAAGAAUGACGAGGAAGAGGCUGACGGUGGCGAGAGCAAAAAAGCUGUUGAGGUGAAUCUCUCUGUGCCACAAGAAUCGGCGAAUCCGACCGCCGAUCCGGUUCUGAUCACAAUGACUCAAGAGGAGGCGACAGCAUCUCCCGCUGAAGCAUCACCUACCUCGAUCUCCGUGAAAGAGCAAGCUGCAAAAGUCGAACGCAAAAGAAAUACAAUGAAGGCUUUGGGACUUCCAGCUCCGUCAAAGAAACCCAAAAGUGAGCCGUCUCCAGUUCCAAAAGCAGAACCGGAGCCAGUCCCUGACUCGGUGCCAUGAAAGCGGACCAAAAAGGCUCGAUCUCGCAAAGAACAGCCGUCUCCUGAUCAAGCAAGGUAUGAUCACUUUGCUACACGACAACUUUGGUGUGAGAGAACUGUCGAUGUAGGUGAAACAGAUGAAUGGGGAUACAUCAAAGUGAAUAGAGACAGCGGUUUAGAAUCAGCGGUUGUAGGGAUCACUUUGUAUGUACCGCAAGUGAUUCAGGAGUUCUAUGCUGGGCUUCCGGGUGAGCUACCCUCUGAUCCAGAUCAAGAGAUUCGUGUCAAGCUGAGGGGUUUUGAGUAUUGCUUCUCUCCUGCGUGGAUCAAUCGGGUCCUCAAUCUGACUCCACUUAGCGAGGCUGAAGUUCACGAUGAGUCAGUUGCUGAAGCAGUCUCUCUGUCUGAUAUUGCCAAACACUUGUCGAAAGGAGGAAGUGGUUGGAGUGGGCUGAGCACGAGGAAUCUCCCACCGGUUUUUGCUUCAUUGAUUGUUAUUGCGGCGUACAACUGGAUUCACUCAACCAACAAGAAUCACAUUUCUGAGGAGCGUGCUCGCCUGCUGUACAAGCUGAGUCAUGGUGUGAGGGUGGACUUCGGAAGGCUGGCUUUCAAACAUAUUAUUCUAAUGAGCAAGAUCAUCAAAAAAGACACUCACUGGCUGGUAUUCCCGUGUUUGAUACAGAAGAUUAUGAACCUUCAACACGAGCCUUAGCUGGGUCAAGGAGAGACUCACAUUGUCCCAUUUUGAUACAAAAAAGACUCACGCAGUGGUGAGGAGUUCAUCAAGAAAGAGGCCGCAGCUGCAAAGAAGGAUAAGAAGAAAGGGAAGCAAAGGGCUGAUGCACCGAGAUCUCCAACUCCUCCACCUCAGUCGUCUCAACAGCAACCUGAGCCAUCACCGAGUGUGCCACUUCGGUCCUUCCGCUCACCACCUCCUGAUGCAUCCUUCAGGUCAUCCGACUCUGCUCCUGGUCGGACUCAAAGUGCUCCUCUCGGAGUGAUUUGUGUUCCUUUGGCACCAGAAAGUGCUAAUGAAGUCACAUUGGCCUUAUGGGAUGUGAGUCGUGUGCUUAACCAUCUCCACGGAAUAGUCAACAUGGUGAUUGACUCAUUUGCAAGUAAGUUUUCUGACUCUGACUUGUUUCUUAUUUUAGGUAUUGAUCCCUGUUUUUACUUUCGGUGAUCACAAGCAGGAGGAGAAAACAUGUGGGAAGAAAUUCUACGAGAUGAUGCAGGAGAUGAUGCGGGUGCUUAAAUUGUGGGGGAGUUUGUGUAAUAAUCUAGUUUCUUGUUUCUGAAUUAGGCUAAGUUUGUGGGGGAACGUGUAUUUUGCUCUGAAAACUCUUGUUCGCAGCAUUUGAUUCAAGACUCUGUGUUUGACGUUUUCUUUUCAUAUGAAAUGCGUUCUGUUUGUCUUGGUACUUGGUUGGUCUGUGGUUGUUUGUGUGCUAUGUCUGAAAACAGGUGCUUCUGAGUCACACGAAGCUAAAAUGGGGGAGAUUGAAGGUGUAGCUGUACUUGAAGCAGUUGCUGUACCAGAUGAAGUGAAGGAUGGAAUGCCACAAGCAUGAAGUACGUGACAAGCGAAGCAUUUGGAAUGAUGAGCUGGACGAGUAGCUGAGCUGGACCAGUAGGAAUGGGAGUAUUGGAAAGAAAGCAAAGCUGGAUGAGAAUAAAGGAGCAGAUCAGGAAGAAUGGAAGAUUUUCUUAAACAUGCAAAAGUUUAAAGAAAUAGGAAAUAUGCACCAAGCGACAAAAAUGGAAGCUGUGGUGUAGGGUUUUCGGCGUGUAUAGCAGCUUAGUCUACUAGGUAUAAGUAGACUUGAAGCAUUGUAUAAGCUUAACACAACUACUAGAGAGCACUUAGCAUAAGGGUGAGAGAUUCGAGUAUUAGGGUAUGCAUCAAGGGUUAAAGGUUUUUCUAGGGGAGUUCUGAGAUCAAGUACAGAUCGAAGAACAGAGAGAGCUAGAGCGACAGAUCAAGGUGUGUCUUGAGUCUGUUCUAAAUCGUGUUACAAAUUUGUAAGGUGUGUUAACAGAUUUACUAGCAAUAAAGUUCAGUUAAAGGAAAAACUUUAUGUUAAGUUGUGAUGUUGUUUUUGAACUAAAACUCUUGCGUUUACAACAAGUUCCUCUAGGCUCAGCUAAACCAAUUCUCUUUACUUAGUUGUUUUUAGUAGUUGAUCUCGACUGGGUGAAAACCGACCCUAACACUUUCCUUGAGUUUGUCUUGAGGAGAACCAUGUUCUCAGUCCAUCCUCAUAUCUCCUAUCUCCAUUACUUUGAAUCAAACAUAUAGUUGAUUUCUGAUAUUGUUGUCGAUUAGCUUGAUGAGUUGGUACUUUUUCGAAGGUUUCUCCCAAGUCAACAACGUUUCCCCACUCGCAUAAAAACUAAUCUUUCAAUAGUCUCGUUACCAAACCAUCCCAACCUAAUUCAGGUUUGGCUUAUCAUAUAAAUUACAUCCAUUUUUGAACUGUCAAAACCUAAUUUAGGGAAUUUCAGUAAUAAUAUAUAGUUUUUUGGUGUGUCAAAUCAUAUGAGAGAACCUUUACGAUAUAUAUGUUUUAACCAAGAGUGAUCCCGAUAUUUACCACUCAACUAAUCCAACAAUUCCCAAGGGACGAGUGUAGCCGUGAAGUAAUUCAUUCACAAUUUUUUUUUUUUUACAUCUAAUUCACCUUUAUUAGUUAUCAAAAUUACAAUCGUUAAUUACAGUACACUACAAGAAAACAGCAGGUAUUCCUACGAAAGAUAUCAUCAGAAAAUGGUAGGAAACAGGCAUUUUCUACCAAUUUCCGACGAAAAUGUUUUGGUAAGUUCUAUGCCGUCGGAAAUUAUAAAUGGUCAGAAAAUGAUAGGAAAUUUCCUACGAAAUUUUUGGUCGGAAAAUUUCAUCGGAAAAUUUGGUCAGAAUAUCGUAGGGCAUUUGCUACUAUUUUCCUUCCAUUUUCUUUUGAAAAAAUCCAACCCUUUUCCUACGAACAGUUUUCUAUCAUAUUCCUACCAUUUUCUUACUAGCUAUAUAAAAAAAUUUUAAUUCAAUUAAUUACAAAAUUAAAUAAUUUCAAUUAUUAAACAAAUUAUAAAAAUUAAAUCCAAAAUUAAUCAACCUAAUUAAAAACUAAUUAGAAAUUAAUUAUAACUAAAUAUGGAACUUCUAAAGCCCAAAUUAUUUUUAUUGACUCAGUAUUUUUUAUACUUAAAGCAUGUGUCUAUUUAUAGAGUCUUUUCAGCAUCACCUGCUUGGUCGAUGUGGGAUUUUUCCCAUUUUCCUUUUUGACUGAUUUUGGUAGGAAAUUGAUAGGAUAUUUAAAUAAUAAAAUAUUUAUUUUUCGUAGGAAAUUGAUAGGUAAUUUCUUACAUAUUAUAUUCGUAGAUAAGUGGUCAAAAAUUUCUGACAAAUUUCCUACCAUUAUUACAGUAAAUUUUUUCCACCGAUUUCCUUCCAUUUUCUGAUCAGAUUUCCUACGGAUAUUUUUUUGGUUGAAUAUUGGUAGGAAAAUUUUGACCAUUUUCUGACGAUUUUUAUCGUAGAAACUUUUCUUCCAAUUUCCUACCACUUUUAUUUUUUGUCAUAAAUUCGUAGGAAAAUGAUAAAAAAAAAUUUCUACCAAAAUUUACGUAGAAAAAUUUAUAGGAAUUCAACAUGUUUUCUUGUAGUGGUAUGUUGGAGGAAUCGAGGACAAGUGUGGUACAAUGACCAUUGAGUAUUACAUAAUAAUGCUUGUUUAGCCAACAUAUCUGCCCAUUGAUUUGCUUCUCGGUGUCGAAAGGUGAAGCUCACUUCAGCGAACAUUUUUUCCAGCUUUUGAUAGCCUCUAUGUAAUGGUGGAGACGCAAAUUAUUUCCUUGCCCAUUGAUGAGUCGGAUAAUGGUUAGAUUAUCUCCUUCAAAUUCCACUUUUUGAAGGAAUAUUUUCAUAUUUUCAUUCACAAUAUUUUCUAAUGGGUCUAAAAAAUGGCACCAUUUCAAUUCGUCAAAUGAAAAUGGUUAGAUAAUUAUAAGUUUGUUGAGAAUUCUUUCUUUAUGGUACUUUGAUAUAUUUAGUGAACUUUGCAAGUAUUGUGUAUGAAUAACCUCAGUAGAGUUUCUUUAGGUUCUCGUUGUACUAUUAAGAAAACAAAAUUUCUCAUCGUGAACUUUGCAAUUUGUGAAUAUUUAGUUUAAAUAUUUUUUCUUUUUUGUAAGACCCUAGAGUACGAAUAAUUAAAUUGCAGUAAUAUAAAAAAACCAAAGACAAUAACAUAAAGUACAGACGAUUUUAUUAUGCAAAGAGUGAAGAUUACAACUCGAACACAGAGACAUACAUUAUUAAGUUUAUUCUCAUAGUUUCUUUUCUUAAACUUGAGUCACUUCAUUACAAAUGCACCAAUGUUUACUUAGAGUCAUACACACGUAUGUGCAUAUAUGAGACUUAAAAGUAUAUUUCAUAGAUUUUAAUGACCGGGCUGAGUCUGAACAGCUUCUGCUCCGUGUCCCCCGCGUCCACCAUGGCCUCCUCCUCCAUAGUGUCCUCCUCCUCCGUAGUGUCCUCCUCCUCCUCCGUAGUGUCCUCCUCCUCCUCCUCCGUAGUGUCCUCCUCCUCCUCCUCCGUAGUGUCCUCCACCGUGUCCUCCUCCGUGUCCUCCUCCUCCGUUGUAACCUCCAUGGCCACCACCAUAUCCAUCAGGUUUCUCAUUUUCCUCACUCUCUGACUUCACCGUGCCUGUUCCAAACACACACAAAAAAAAAACAAAAUUAUUUCAAAAAUAUUUUUAAGCACGUGCAAAUGUGCAUUCCUUUGCCUAUUUCAUAAUUGAACACUUUUAAAAAAUGUAUAGAAAUUCGGGAUAAUGAUGUAGUUGUAGUGACAGAAUUACUCUGAACAGCUUCUAGUCCAUGUCCCCCGCGGCCUCCAUGUCCCCCGUGGCCUCCUCCUCCGUAGUGUCCUCCUCCGUGGCCACCACCAUAUCCAUCAGGUUUCACAGUUUCCUCACUCUCUGAGUUCACCGUGCCUAUCCCAAAAGCGAAACCACAUUAUUUUAUAAAUAUUGUUAGUACGUACAAAUGUGCAUUCCUCUCCCCAAUUUCAUAAUUAAAUUUCUCUUAAAAACUUUCUAAAAUAUGUAUAUAAUUCCGAUCUCUAGUUAUAAAAAAAAUGAGUUCAACAUUAAAUAUACGUUUUAUAUAAAUUGGCGUCAAGCAUCUAAAUAGUUUGGGAGGGUCUAAUAGGUAUAAGAGCAUGUACAUCAGUGAACCCUUAAAAGAGGGGUUUAACAGAAUAUAAUAACAUUUUUUUUUUGUUUUAGUUUUUUUUUUUUUUAAUUCGAAAAUUAUAAUUUUCGACCAUGUUUUAUUUGGGAUGAUACCGUCUCUUCAGGUUCGUCGGGAUGAUACUGUCUCUUUAAUAUUAAGAUCUUUUGUCUCAAAAACCGUGCCAUGAACCCCUCUUGAUCCUCUGAUGUAGAUGCUCUAAGAAGGACUAAACGUCAUAAGUAAGCGUAAGUGUCUUUUCUUACUAGGACAUCAACAUGAUACUUAAGUGUGUUUAUGACUUAGUGAGUCCAAAUAAUUGACCAUCGUUCACCCCAACUUUUCGCAUUUAAAACGGACGAGAUAGUUGGACAAAAUUAUCAAAUGGUACGUUAGUCCGGUUAGAUUAGCUUCACGAUAAUUUUUUUGUUUUCUAUAAAAUAAUUUUACGUACCCGACUGCCUUGCUGAGACGACGAGAAGAAAUGCAAACACACCCAACAGAAGCAAAGUCUUGGAAGCCAUUUUCUUCAAACUGCUUAUAACACUUUUAAUUUGUAUAUAUGGAGAAAGAAGUGAUGAAUAAAAUGUUAGCCUGCAUGCUCUCUAUUUAAGGAAAACGAGGAGGGCAGAAUGAGGAAAAGUCAAAUAAAUAAUUCGUAGUGCAGUGAAAAGAAGUAUUUUUUUAAUUAAAAGCAAAAGGGAGAUUUAGUGUAUCACAAAAUUUAGAGAAAUUGCAUUGUUUGCAGAUAAAGACACACUUUUUAGUAGCAAAUAAAUAAAACUAUAUUUCUUUGCGCAAGCGAACAAAAGGGAGUUGUAUUAUUCUAGAAGAGUUUAGAUCUAAUUUAUACCCCCCAAAAAAUAUAGUUUAGAUAUCUUUAUCUGUAUCAUGCAAUCUUUCUUUGUAAACAUCUUGAAUAGAGUUAAUAUAUGUUACGUGAUUUAUAUUAGAUUGCAUGAAACAAAAAAUACGUGAAACAAAGUGUUUCGAAAAGGAUAACAAUUUUAAAAAUGAUAGGAAACGUUUGCUUUCGGAAACAUAUAUUAUAUAUAAAACAUCAAAAUCAUAUGAAAAACAAAACGAAACAUUAAAACCAAACGAACUUUAAUACUUAUAUAUCAAACAGAUAAAUAAAGAUACAAAUCCAAACGUGGUAAGAAGAUAACGAAAUUUUCAUAUUUUCGAAUUUACUUCAUCUAUCCUACAAAUAAGAUGGUAAGACGAUCGAUAAGUAUGAUCAAAGUAUAUCUGUAUCCGUUGCGUCGAUUCCCAUAUGGUGGGUUGUUGGAUUGUGAUUUGUGAAAAACUUUAACCUCAAUAGUCUUUUAGAUAUUUCUUAUCAACGUCUUUAAACAUAGGAACCAUCGGACAAGUAUUGAACUAUUGAUAUGUAAGAAUUACAUUAUUGGCCAUAACUGGUAUUAUUGUUACAUUAUUAUUACUAUAAUUUGGACACAAAAUUAGUCCACUAUUUGUACUUUAACUCUUUAAGGAUCUUCUUUGAAAAUCUCAGCCGACAGGUUUUUAAGCAGACGGAUAAAGAAUUAAUACGAAGUAAUUACUAAGAACUUACCUUUAAAGGGUGAAAUUUUGCUUGGCUAUAAUUUAUUCAGGCCUACAUCGAUAAAAAAAAAUAAAAAUCAUUCCAGUGACCUAAGUGUAAAGGAGCUUGAGAUAUACGUGUUGAGAAGAUGAGCAUUAUUAAGUGUACAGAAUGUAGCUGCCGUCCUAAUUAUAAUAAAAUAGAAGUUAAUCCGCACAUUGUAAGGGAUAAUGUUUUUUUAAUUAUUUUUAAAUUUAAUUUAAUUUUUUUUAGUUAAAUUAAAAUUGGUGGCAAAAAUAUUUUAACAAAAAAUAUAAAUAAACAAAAUUAAUAAAAAUUAAAUAAUAUAUAUAUAUAAAUAUCACACAACCGAUAUUUAUUUGUAUAUAUAUAUAUAUUAUAGAGUAUGACUUUGAGCUAAUUUUGUUAUGCAGUUUAAUUAUUCAUAAAAUAAGAAUUUAAUUUUGAAUAUUUUAUUAGAGAUUAAACUAUUAUUUUUAGUUAAUAAAUUAUAAUAUAUGUUAAUAAUAAUUAUAUAUAGGAUUAGACAAAUUCGUCUAUUUAAUUUAUUUUAUAAUUUUUAAAAUAUUAUUUCGACCAAUCCGCAAAAAAUAGAUUUUAAACUUUAAAUUAUAUUUUAUUUUUUAUAAUAAUAAUUGAAUUGAUUUUCAAAAAUGAUGCUAAUUAAUUAUGAAAAUACAAAUGAAAAAUAUUGCAAAAUUUAAAUAGUUUUUCAUAUAUAUGGAUUGAUUAUUAUUUAAAAUAAUAGAAUAUAUUUUAACAUUUUAAUAAGUAAAAAGCAAAAUACAUUUUUUAUUUAUAUCCAUAUAUAUUCAAAACAAAUAUGUGAGCUAUAUAUUUAACUAUCUCUUGUGAAGAAAUAUUUAAUUAAAAAUUUUAUAUUUGUAAAAUUUAUUUAUUUAAUAUCUUUUAAGUAAAGGUUUAUUUAUGUAAUAUUUUAUAAAUAAAUAUUUAUUUAUGUAAAAUAUUCUGUAAUAUCUUACAAAUAAAAGUUUCUUUAUAAAAUGUCUAUUCAAAUAAUAAUGUAGAGAUGUAAUUUAAUUAAAGUCUAAUUGAUAUGAACUUCAUAAUUAUUAUAAAAAUAUGAUCAAUUCCAUGCGAGUGAAAAAGAUUUACAUAGUUAUCGUUUAUUUCUCAUACAAAACUAUUUUAAUUUUAAAGAGUAAAACGUAGCAGAAAAUGAAAACUGGAACUUUUUUAGAAUAUGACAGCUAGUUUUAAAAAUGGGAGAUGGCUACAAUACCGUUUCAAAAUAAUAGAUUAAAACUUAAUCCCAGAUAUCCGACUUGUUGAUGGUUUCUAUUUGCUUACGCACACUAAAUAUAUUAACACUCAAGAGAGGGAAAGUGUAAAUUGUAUUAAUGAAAGUGUUAGUGAACCGUAUUACAUUAAUUCCCUUUUAUAUACCAACUAGGUUAAGAAUAAAUACAUAUAUGUUAAUACAUCCCUCUCAAACCGAAUCAACCUUAGGUAGAAAGAGGUUUGAUAAUAAUACACGACUAAGCAAAAAAUGAAAUGGACCUAGAUGCAAAGGCUUCGUCAACAUAUCAGCAAGCUGAUUCGAAGUAGAGACAUGAAGAACAUUUAGGAAGCCAUUCUUCACCUGAUCUCGGGUUAUGUGGGAAUCAAUUUCCACAUGCUUAGUUCUCUCGUGAAAUACAGGGUUAUUGGCAAGAUUCAUAGCUGAUUUUUUUUAUCACAAAACAGGUUGGCUUCAGAAGUUACCGGGAUAUGAAGAUCAGUCAGUAAUUGGUGCAGCCAAAGUAACUCUCCCGUAGUAACAGCCAUGCUCCGAUAUUUGGCCUCCGUGCUGCUUCUAUUAACCAUUUCCUGUUUCUUGGACUUCUAGGUGAUAAGAGAUGUUCCAAGAAAUACACACAGACUCGUUACAGAACGACUGCAUCUGAAAAUCCAUUCAAGCAUAACUCUGUAGUAGCAUAAUAGAAAAAACCUUAGCCCAGAUUUUCUUCAAAUAUUUAAGGAUCUGGAAAGCAGCUUGAAAAUGAACAUUAGUGGGGAAAGACAGAUACUGACUCCACUGAUGCAGCGCAAAAGUGAUAUCAGGACGAGUAAUGCAGAGAUAUUGCAAUCGACCAAUCAAUUCGCGAUAUGAAGUUGUAUCAGAAAGAGACGUACCCGCGGACUGGAUCCAUCAAAACUGAUUUUGGUUUAUAACCAAGGAGACCAUAAUCUUCAAUAAGAUCCAAGCAGUAUUUCCUCUGUGAAACAGAUAACCCCGAAGCAUUCCUUGCAAUCUCAAGACUCAAGAAGAAAUGAGCUUGGCCAAGAUCUUUGGUCUUGAAUGGGAUUGUGAUAUAUUCAUAUCAUUUCGUGUUUAGGAUGCAUUUUUGGUCCAAGAAUAGAGCCUCAUGCAUACAUUUUAGAUAGAUUCUUCAUGUUUUCUUUGUUUUAGAGGUUUAGGACUUUGCAUUAGGUCCAAGUGAGUCUUGCAUGUUUGGAGUGUCAAUCAGGUGCUUUGGAGGUCAUCUGGAGAUGAAAAUAUGGAACCAGGUGAAGAAAUGGUGAAAGAAGGGCAAGAUAUGGUAAAAAUGAGGUUUUGGAGGUUAUCGGCAAAAUUGCUUACUGCGGGAAGAUUUUUAUCGGCCAAAAAUCAUUCCCGGGAAGCAGUUAUCGGCCAAAACAUGUACCAGACCAAGUCUGUAUCGGCAAAAAUCCUUUGUCGUGGGAAAAAAUGUUUAUCGGCUAAAAUACGUACCGCAGUACGUAACUUAUCGGCCAAAACGUGAAUUAUCGGCCAAAAGUUUCCCGACCCGAUAUGCUUCAAAGAUGCCUUUACCAGAAAGCUUUCUCGUCCGAUUCAGUUUCUAGUGUUUUCACAAACGUUCAAGAGAAUUGAGUCACAAUUCCAGAACAGUUGGAAUCAAUGGAUUUGGAGCAGUGAGCUGAAAGAUACGGCCAACAGAAGAUGAAUCUGCCUCGCAUCCAUUCUGGUCAUAUCCGAUGCGACUCAAAGAUCACUCAGGAUGAAACUCUUCCCUUCCAAUCUAGUUUCCGGGGCUCUAUCAAGAUUUGAGAGAUUCGAGUCAUAUUUCCAUAACGCUUAGAAUCAUUCCAUUUGGAGUGUUGAGUUGGGAGAUAUCGCAUUCGGGAGACAGACAUGCCCUGCAGUAAGAAACUAGAACCUCCCGAGCCAAUGCAAUGAUCCGUUUACCGGAAGGCCUCUCUCACCCGGGAUGCACUUAAGUUCUUCAUCAAAGUUGUAUGGAAUUGAGCUGCCUUUCCUCUGGAGUUUCUCUCGAGUCAUUUAGACUCAUAUCCCACAAGUUAUGCUAGCUCAAGUAAACAUAGAUCCGAGGAAAUGAGAAAUGCUGCGACAUGGCUUUGCGACUCGGUCAACUUGCAGCGAUGAAUGUUUAAAUUCUGGGAGCAAGCUGAGACUUGAAAUGAUGCGGGUGAGGUGACUCGGAGCAGGGUAAGGAUUUCCAAAGCUCAAAUAUUUCUAAGUCCAGAACAGCCUAUGACAUGGCAGUGCGAGAUUGAUGAUGAGAUGAACCAUGUCGCACACACACUCGCUUGGGGCCGCGACAUGACAGUGCGAGAUGGAUGAAGAGAAGUAACAUGUCGCACUCCUACUCUCUUGGGGCUGCGAACGUGAAGCUGUGAGUGGGAAAAGAAGGAUUUAAGCUGCAAGUACAAUUGCUUGAAUGAUACGACAUGAAAGUGCGGCUGAAGAAGCAAGGGAGCUGAGACGUAACAACAUUCACUUGGGGCUGCGAGAUGGCAGUGUAGGUGAACUGAAGCCAGGACCAUCUCGCACCAUGGCCACAUGACCCAACUGAACCAGGUCAGUACACAGUUUGUCUUGAGCUGACCCGCUCCAAAACACUUAGUAUAAAUAGCUUUUAGGGUUUUUUUCCAAAGAACAUCUCAUUUUCCUUUAGGUUUUUAGCCACUUUUGUGUAAGAGACAACUAAAGAGAGAUAUCUCCUUUCUUUUCUUUGAAUCAAAAAUGUUUGAGAGCUUAAUCUAUCUAUCUUAUCAUCAUUACUAUUCAUCAUCUUGUUUUCUCUAUCAACUAAUCAUGUUUAAUUACUUUUCUUGCAAAGGAAUCAGAGAGUUAAUCAUGAUUAGUGAGUAGUCGCGUCAUUAGGGUUCUAGAUAUGUAAGUUAGGGUGUUUAGAGGUUUGAUUAAGGCUGCUUAGGAUUAAAUUUAUACAUCUCUGUCUUGUUUAGCUGAUUUUAAUGCUUGGUUAUAGAUGAUCUCUCUAACCCAGAUUUUGGGCAUUUCAUCUACCCAAAACGUGUUUGAUGAAAUGCCUGAACCAGCUAAGUCAAGAGUCUAUUGUUUGAUUCACAUGAAAAUGUUGUUUUGAGCAUAGAUGGUAUAUUAGGAUUCGUGUUUAAUGCAUUCCUUUCAUUGUGACUCUAAUGAUGAUUAGGUAUGAGCAAUGUUUGGUAUUGUGUUUUGAUGCUUGAGAAAUAUUGAAACUUGAUUUGAAUCCUAAGCUGCUUAGAUCAUUCAUCAUCAUUGUCAUUAGCUCCUUGAUUAAACUAUGAUGCACCCUAGAAACUAUCAUGUCUAGAGCUCUAAGUUUCAUCAUAUUCAUAUCAUCUUAAUCAUUUUCUGUCUUUAUUUAUUGCUUGUUUAAUUCUUUAAUCUUGUUUAAUUGCAAUUCUGUCACUUGUUUGAAACUAAAACAUUUUGUUUGUUUGAAUUAAGAAUAGUUCAUAUAGAUUAGUGAACUAAACACCACACCUUGGAUUGAUAACCUUUGUACUACAACAGACAAAGGGAUUGAUACCCUAAGAGCCUUGAAAAAUCUUGUCUACCAUAUUGAGAGAAUCUUCUAAAUAGACUUGACAGCUUCAUCAUCAUUGCUCGCUAUAAGGAUGUCAUCGACAUAGAUCAGGAGAUAAAUAAAUAAUGUACCUGUUAGCUUCACAAAGAGGGUGUUAUAUGCAUAAGACUGUACAAAUCCGGCAUCAAGUAAGACCUUCGACAAACACUUGUACCAUUAACGAGAUGUCUGCUUCAAGUCAUAGAUGGAUUUAUCAAGUUUGCAAACCUGAUUAGCAGGCAGAUGAACAUCAGCUGGAGUGUAACAUCGUGGCAAGCUCAUGUAUAUCUCCUCAUCGAGCUUACUGUGCAAGAAAGCAUUGGUUACAUCCAUUUGGGUUAAGCUCCAACCCAUUCAUGCGGCUAAACCAAGGAUAAGCUUCACACUGGCAAGCUUGGAAACUGGGAAAAGGUGUCAAAGUAAUCAACACCUUUUUGUUUUGUGUAUCCCUUUGCUACCAGGCAAGCUUUAUAACGCUCCACAUUUCCAUCUGCAUUAUACUUAAUGGUAAACACCCAUUUACAACCAACAACAUUUUCCCUCGGAGGCAAUGACACAACACUCCACGUAUUGGUUGACUCCAUUGCUCCGAAUUCCAAAUUGAAAGCAUCAGUCCAUUCUUUGGAUGAAAUCACCUGCUUAAAGGUGUUAGGCUCAGUCUCCAUUGAAAAAGAGAGAACAAUAGACUGAUAUGGGGUGUUAAGAGUAGAGUAAGAGAGAACAGAAGAAAGAGGAUAUGGAGUAGUAUAAACCUUUAUAGAAAUGGGAGGAGUAGAAAUUUUUGUUAAAGAACAAUGAUAAUUGGACAAAUAACGUGGUACUUUUGUCGAGUGUUUUAGCCUGGCAUUGGGAAGUGAAACCAGAGCAUUCUCUGUGACAACAGGGUGAUGGAUUUUCCUUGGAGCACUAGAGUGAGAUGAUGAUGCAUGUGAUGUAUAAAGCGGAGGAGAAUGGAUGGUCACAGUAGAUGAAGGAUGCAAAUUAUUAGGCAGUGAAAUCACCUAAUCUAAUGCAACAAGAAUUGGCAAUGGUAAUAUAAACUCUAAAAAAAUAUCAGAAGAUGAACUAGAAAGAAGAUGCUCAGUAAAAGGAAAUAUUGUCUCAUGAAAAACAACAUUUCGAGAAACAGAGAUAAUUUUUGAAUCAAGGUUCAAGACAUUAGAAUACCCUAAGAGUACACAUCGAUCCACACGAGGACUAAAAUUAUGUUUAUCCUUCUGUAACGUAGAAACAUAACAUAAGCAGCCAAAAGAUCUUAAGAAUAAGUAAUCGGGCUUCUUAAGCAUAACCAACUCAUAUGGAGAUUUGUGUUUAAGAAUAACAGAAGGUAAUCUGUUUAUCAAAAGACAACUCCAAAUGAAGAUCCGCUUGCGGCUAUAGCUAGAUCUGAGAGUUGCGAAUAUGCUUACAAAUUUUCAGGCUGAUCCAAUCCGAUUUGCCUGUCUGUUUCUCUCUUACACCAUAACAGGUCGGAUCUGCCACCUAGAUGGUUACAAUGGCUUCGCCUUUAAGGUUCUUGGCCACAAGAUAGCUCUCUGAUCUCUUCUAAGACAUGGCUGCUCUAUUUAUAGAGUGGAGAAGAGAUACUUCUAAAUUUAGAGUUUUAGAGAGGAAAAUAAUGAAAAUGGGUUUGAGAGUUUUUCUGAUGGGUUUUGAGUAAUCAGGCUGAAAAAAAAAAAAAAAAUUAGACCAAACCCUAUUCUUGGGAUGUCACAGAUUUAUUAGAGAAUAUAUUUACAUGAGUUUAUAAUUAUUUGUAUGAUAUUUACAUGAGUUUAUAAUUAAAUCGUACAUUAACAUAGCAUCGUUAUUGGAUAGUUAGUCGGAUCGGUUCAACCGGUCAUACGAAAAGUUUGUUUAAUAUAUAUAUAUAUAUAAGAAAAUAAGAAUAGUUAUUUUAAGAAAAAUAAAGAAAAUAAAAUUAAUUUCUUUUAAUUAUUUACAACUGCCAGCCAGCGAUUACAUCCGUCGCUUGAAGAAACUUAUUAUCUAAAUGAAUAAAUAAACUUUUAAUUUAUAGCGGUUCUAAGCGUCACAAAGAGAUAAGAAACAAGUUCAACGGUUUUAGUGAUUGUUAUUAAACGUCACGAAAAUAUAACCGUAUGCAAACAUAGCGUAUGUGGCUGGCAGCGAGAAAACUAUCCAACACUAAAUAUUACAUAUUUACUUUAAAAUUCAUGCCUGCUUAUUACCAAACCAUAUUUUUACCAAUUUUAAUUGUGACAUUUAAUGUCCGCACAUGCGUACAGGCCAGUCAUAAAUCUGAUAUAUUGCAUUCACAUCAAUUUGUGUGUAUUUUUGUUUUGAUAUGUCUUCUGAUUUUUUUCUGUCCUAUGUAACCAUUUUUUGAUAAUUUUAAUUGGUUGAUCAUUAAUCUUUACGUGUCUUUUAAAAGUGAUGUGGUAUAAUCGUUUUAAUUAGAUUAUUAAAGCUCGUUUAAGAUUGUCUUUUUAAAAACGACAAAAAAAAUCGGACAAAGUAAGUAAUAAAAAUAAAUGUAUGACCCAUAUAUUUGAAAGUGUCACUGGCCCAAUGGCAGAAGUCUCCCUUAUGCAUUUGAAGGACAUGUGUUUGAACCAAGGUGGUAACAAUUUUUUAAAAAAUCGUAGAAUUUUAAAACGACAUCGUUUUGAGUUAACCUAACAGUAACAGCAGAGUUAACAGCGUUUAACUUUUCUGUUAACUUUAUAAACGGAGUGCUGAUUUGGCAAGUCAACGAAAAGUUUGUUAUUAUUUAUGGAAGUCAACAAAAAUUAAAUGUUUAUUUGGCUAGCCUGACAGUUCAUGCUUUUUUUUGGCAAAAUGUGGAAAGUUUAAGGUUUUUUUGGCCGAAUUCUCAAAAUAAACUCAUUAAAGUUCGUUUAAAUUGUUUUUUUAACCAAUAAACAUUAAAACCUGUUUAAGAUUGUCUUUCUAAAAACCAAUUAAAGUCUGUUUAUAGUUGUUUUUAUUAAAACCAAUGAACUCAAAAAACCUAAUAUACUUCUUCGAUACACUAAAUAUAUAUAUAUAUAUCCUCUCUAACAUAGUUUGUCUUUUAAUGUUCUCUUUUUCGGUAAACAUUACAUUUGCUUUUUUCUAUUAAUUUUAUUAACGUACGCUUGAGUUUGAGUUUGUUGCUUGUGCUUAUAAAUUUUUUUGUAACAAUUCCUAAUCUUUUUAAGAUUAUGAUUGAAAAUGUUAGUAUAAACAACCAUAGUUUAAAAAAUAGCAUCAAUGUUCACAUACUCGUGAAACAAUGUAUAGCAUCAAGUCUAUCAAUUUUUUUGGUCUCUUAUUUUAGAUUUGAUGCGGCAAAAAGAUUGCUUUGGGAACCAAGUCUUUUUUUUUGUUGGAAUUAUCUUCUAUUCUUGUCAGUUUUUAUUUUUCAUGCAAACGUUGACAUUAAAAUCUCUUUGUUAGAUUUGAUACCAUAUUAAAUUUCAAAUCUGAAUUAAUCAUUAUAUUUAUACAUUAUUAUUAUGGAUGAGUUUAUUUUCGUUAUCUGUAGCCCAAACUCUCUUCCCACGAAAAAAACGAUUAAACCAAUAAUAUUUAUUAUAAACAGGCCGAUAGACUUUAGUAUAAACAAGUUUCAAUAGCCUAAUUAUAACAAAAUUUGUCACAUCGCUUUAAAGCACGUAUAGAAUUAAUGAACGAACAAAAAAUAAAUACAUGACAUGUCAGGACAAAACGACACAUAAGAUUUUGGACUUCACAAAUAAUAGUAACUAGGAAUUAACAUGCACAUUGUGCGGGGUAAUGUUUUUAAGAAUUUUAAAUAUUUUUUAAAAAAAUUUUGGUUAAGUUAAAAAUUGGUAGCAAAAACCUUUUAACAAAAAAUAUAAAUAAAUAAAAUUGGUAGCAAUUAGAUAACUAUAUAUAUAUAUAUAUAUAUAAAUAUCAUACAACCGAUAUUUACGUGUAUAUGUAUCUAUUGAAAGAACUUUGAGCUAGUUUUGUUAUGCGGUGUAAUUAUUAGUAGUUUUUAAAUGUGAAGGUGAUGUGAUGUUAAUAUAUUCAUACUUAUAUACUGCUGGGAUAAAUUCGAUCCUUCCUACAUGGACGAACUGCAUGCUUGCACGUGGCGUCCAUGUUUUUUUUUUCAGGUACGGCCCCCCUGGGCCAAAUUAGGAUCCGUAGUGGGUCGUAAGCAUAUAGCACUGGGCCUCGAAUCCAUAAGGAUUCGGGAGAUCCGGUACGAUAGAUCACUUGUUCCCGGGUUCCUCGUAUCUAAUAGUGCAGGCCACGCUGUCAGAAGUAAGGAGGUCGAAACUGAGUGGUCAAGAGGAGGAGAAGUCCCAUUUUCUAUGUCCUAGGCCUAAACAUGGUAAUCCGGAAAGGUCGAGAUAUAAGGUAGUGUGGCCUACACAGGAUCUGGAGAGCGGAGUCAUCCAUCGAGACAACCCCGACAGCCCGGUCCCAGUAUCGAGGGAUCCAUGUCAGGUAUGAAAUAAUUUUAUGAGCGGAAAACACUAUUCAAAUUUUCCUCCAUUCGAUAAUAGGAAUAUGCCUUAGUAUGAUUUGAUUGCCCAUACUCUUACAAAACCAUGAAAUUGGCAUUUAAUGCACCCUUCUUACAUGUGUCAGGCGACAGCGACCUUUCACAGAAACUAGAGGAAAAGAAGAGGUUCAUCAAGAGUUAUACCGCGUAUGAACCGCCAACCCAAUCCGUACACUGGAGACGAAAGGAACAUGCUAAGGAGCGGUCUCGCAGCAGGCAGAACACGUCAAGGAAAGUUGGUGAGACCGUCAGAGGUAUGACGUGGGAAAAAGAUUUGAACCCAAUAAAAUCGGAUCGAGAACCGACCAACCCACCCGACUCGCUAUGCAAGGACAGACCCGGUAUACUAACCCGGGUCAGGUAAAAUCCUAUAAAUACAUUAUCCUUUCCAACAAGGAAGGAGAUCACUUUUAUUUGCUAUCUUAAGGCUCAUAUUAUCUCUCUAGAUACUUGUGAUCUUUGAGCCCUAACAUAUUAUACUUUCCGGUCAUUACUCAGAACAAUGUUUUAGUUCUUCUCCACGGCGGUUCCUAAAUCGUGGAGUAUUUCCACCCACAAACUCUUUCAUUUCUUCUCUUUUAACUAAUUCUUUAUAAGGAACGCUGGGCCCAUCUUUCUUCUCUCGUUUUCCGAACUCUUUCCUCUCUCCAAUUAGUCACUCUGUGAUCUUUCUUCACUGUUUUCUGACUUGAACGUCGGAGAACCUUCCGAAAACACACCAUCAUCGUGUUUUUUGGGCCUUCACGUGCUUUCUGUUUUUGCAAGAGACUUACCCCCACAAAGGAUCAAAAAUCUCUAAAUAGUUUAGCGCUAGAAAGAGGAGGGCAACACUCUUCUAUAGGAAGAACUGAAACCAUACACGACCUUGAAGGUAUGUCAUGACAAGAGAAGACGGAGGUAGCUCACCAGAGAACGACACCUUGGAGGGGAUGGAAGGAGAGAACAUCUGCUGGGUCGACAGACCGACCAAGCUAUUCUCGGGAUGCCCGAUGAUAAGGGGAACAUCUUUGGUUCCCCACGCCGCCGCCAAACGCACACUCAGAACUCGUCCAGAGUGUAGAAGAAAAUGCCCUGUAAAAUUCCUUACAUCCAAAAACCUUAGUGAAAGUGUUGGCAAACUGGUCAUUAUAUAUAACAAAUGAGUUAAAGACUCGUGGGCAAUGCCCAAUAAAGUCUGCCAUGGAUUGGUCCUGUACAACAGUUUUUAUAUCAAUUAAAAAGUGCAGGCCUCGUAGGUUGAUCGAUUGCAGUUUGCGGAUUAAACAAUUGGGAUCUAUACUAGUUUCGGCAAAGAUAAUUGACAAGAACGUCCAAAACCGGCUAAGUGAAAGACAACGUCUUGGAGACCAAAAGUAUGAAAGAAGCCUCAUGUAUUGGUUUGCCACACACAAAAAAAAAACUAUUUGUUUUUAGUUUCCAUUUUAUAAAAAAAAACUAGGUAUUUAGCCCUUUUUUGCAUGGGCAGAGAAGUUUAUUAAAUAAUACUAGGAGAGAAUCCGCGCGUAUGCGCAGAUCUUGUUUUAAUUUAUAUUUUGAAUAAUUUGUAUUGAAUUUUAUGUUUACUAUUAUUGUAUUUUUGUUUAGAAUAUUUAUAAUAAAUUAUUUGUAAUCUCUUCUACACCAGUUGUGUCAAAUAGUCUAAUUUUUUCUUCGAUCUUCAUAUUCUUUUUAUUCUUGUAAAUCUUACUAAUAUAAUAUUUGUUAAUUUUCUUAAUUUUCUAUUUGAAUUUUUUUGGUUAUAUAUAUUUUAUUGAUACCAUCUUUUUAUUAUUAAAAAAAUUAUAUAUGACAUUUUUAUGUGGAUACUUUUUUUUACUAUUAUUUUUUUAAUAACUUUUAUCUUUUUAAUAGUUUAUUAAAUAUGCUUUGUGUUUUAUACUUUUAUUAGUUGAAUUUUUAUAUAAGAUUAUUUGAAACUUUUUAAUUUAGUCAGUCUCAUAAUUUUUUUCACUUGCAUUAAAAUUUAAUUAUAUUUUUAGUUUGUAAAUGAAUUUUAAAACAUUUGAAAAAAGAAAAUAGAACUAUGCAAUUAAAAAGUCUUAUAUUAUAUAAUAGUUAUAAGUUUUUAUAUAUUAAAAUUAAAUUUUAAUUUUAUUCUAAUAUAAAUAUAUGUUAAUAUUUAUUUAUGUUUUUAAUGUGUUUGCUUUAAAUAUGAUUAAUUAAUUAUUUUGUUAAUAUUUGAAGAGGAUAGGUGGUGCUCUCUCCAGUGCUGACGUGUCGCUCAACUGGAGAGAGUUGGCCAAAUUUUAUAUAUAUGACUAGGAGAAUACAUGCACGUAAUAUGCGGGUUUUUUCUUUAAUUAUUUCAAAUUGAUAUAUUUUUGUAUUUUUCUUAAAGAAAUAUAGUCAUCAUUUCUUCUAUGUUACUAUAUAAUUAUAAAUCAAUCAAUUUAAAAUUUAAUAUUAUUAAAAAAUCAAGAGUUUAUACAAAAAAGCUAUCAAUGUUUUAGCAUAAAUUCUUGUUUAAUAUUUAUAUAACUGUUAUUUAAGAAUCAGUUAAUAAAAAAAAACUAUUUUCUUUGAAUGGUUGAGAAUUUAAUACUAAAAUUUAUUAAUCAAUUUUUUUUUGAUAAUUGUAACUUUAAAUUAAAAAUUGACAAAUGUCAUCUCUAUAUUAACUCUAAAAUGCUGAUGUGUCACUCAUAUAUAGAGAGUUAGCCAUCUUUUAUAUAUAAGAUUAUAAGUAAACAAUAUAUUUGGUAGUUUAAUCUUCAUCUCUAAAGUAAUCAUUAUUUGCAUAGAUUAGUUUUAUGCAUUAUUUUAUUCAUUCAACUUUUAGCCUCAAAUUUCUCCUUUUUUGGCUAAAUUGACUAUCCUUACUGAUUUUUAUCUUCUCGUAAGCGUAGACGUGAAACCAUUUUAUCCAGUUGUAUGUAACAAAUCAAUCUUUUUUGCUAGCUUUGAUACCAUAUUUAGUUUCAUCUCUGAAAAUUUCAUUAUAUAUACAUUAAGUUUAAAGAUGAUUUUAGUUCUUCAUUCUCUUGAAAUUUCUCCCUGUUUAACGAAAAUUGUCUCUCUUUGGUUGAUACUUAUCUUUUAUGCAAGCGUGGAUACAAAACUUUAAUAUCAUGUUGAUACCAUGUUAAACUUUUUUAAAAUUAUAGUCAUUAUUUAUAGACAUUAAAUAUAUAGAUUAUUGUAACUAGGUGAAUCUCCGCACGUUACGUGCAAGUUUUUUUUUCUUCAACUAUUUCAAAUUUCAAAUUCCUAAGAAAAAUGCAAUCCUACUUUAUUAUGUGUUAGAAUAUUAUUAUAAAUCGAUCAUUUAAAAUAUAAUAUUAUUAAAAAAUUAAGAUUAUACAAAAAAAAAUCCAUCAAUAUUUUUAAUUAAUUAUAACAUAAAUUCUUGUUUAAUAUUUACAGAAAUAUUAUUUAAGAAUCAAUUAAUAAAAAACUUUUCAUUUUCUUUUAGUGUUUUAAAACUUCAUAUAAAAUUUAUUAAUUAAUUUUCCUUAAAAACUUUUGUAACUUUAAAUUAAGAAAUAUGACACAUAUCAUCCCUAUAUUAACUCUCAAAUGCUGAUGUGGCAUUCGUAUGAAGAGAGUUGGCCUUCUUUUAUAUAUAAAAUUUUUCAUUCUCUCUAGUCGGAAAUUUCUUCCUCUUUUGUCGGAAUUGUCUUUUGUUCUUCUAUGUUUUUAUAUUUCAUGCAAGCGUGUACAUAAAAUUAUUAUAUCAGAGCGUAGGUAAACAAUUCUUUUGUUAGCUUUGAUACCGUGUUAAGUUUCAAAUCUGAAUUAGUCAUUCUUUUAUACAUUAUUUUUUAUGGACGAAUUUAUUUUCAUUCUCCGUAGUUCGAUCUCUCUUCCCACGGAAAGACGAUUAAACUAAUAAUAAGAAAACCGCAGACUUUACAUUGAAACGAGCUGCAGAUAAAAUUUAGAAUAAAAUGGACUUUAAUGAUCCAGUUAGUAUGAACUAUGACACAUCACUUUCAAAACACACAUAGUAUAAAUGAACAAUUUAUUAAAAAGCUAGCUUUAAUACCAUGUUAGAAAAUAAACUAAUCCUUUUUGCUAGCUUUGAUACCAUGUUUAGUUUCAUCUCUGAAUUUUUCAUUAUAAAUAUACAUUAAGUUUAAAGAUAAUUUUGGUUCUUCAUUCUCUAGAACUUUUUCUCUGUUUAACGGAAAUUAUCUCUAUUUGUCAGUACUUAUCUUUUAUGCAAGUACAGCCACAAAAUUUUGAUAUCAAAGCGUAGGUAAUUAAACAAUUUUUUUGGUAAUUUUGAUAUCAUGUUAAUCUUUAUCUUCAAAAUAGUCAUUGUUCAUAUACAUUAAUUUUAUAGAUUAUUUUAAUUCUUCAUUCUCUCUAGCUGGAAAUUUCUUUCUAUUUUGUCAAAAUUGUCCUUUAUUUUUUUGGUUUUCAUCUUUCAUGCAAACAUGGACAGAAAACUAUUAUAUCAGAGCGUAGUUAAACAAUUCCUUUGUUAGUUUUGAUACUGUGUUAAGUUUUGAAUCUGAAUUAAUCAUUAUUUUAUACAUUAUUUUUAUGGAUGAAUUUAUUUUUGUUCUCCGUAGUCUAAUCUCUCUUCCCACAGAAGGACGAUUAAACCAAUAAUAAGAAAACCAUAGAUUUUUUAAUUAAAUAAGACCGCAGAUAAAAAUUAGAAUAAAAUUGACUUUAAUGAUCCAGUUAAAAUGAAGUAUGAUACAUCACUUUUAAAAUACAUGUAGGAUAAAUGAAUGACCUAUUAAAAACAUUAAAAAAGUCAAUAAGUUAGAAAAUAAACUAACCACACAUCAGAUUUUUUGCUUCAGAAAUAUAUCGAUUGAAAAACAAUGUUGCACUUGAUGUACAAAUGGCUUUUGAUUGAAUAACUAUUACAUUCAAUUAAAAAAACAAUAACGCCUAGAGAGACUAGAAGUGCCUUUAACCAAAGUAAUUAACUAACCGUCAACACCAUAGAUGGCGCGAUGCUCUUCGACAGAGGAUCAAGACACAAGCUGCUGUUUUUGAGACUUCAAAGAUAUAGAACAACCACCAAACUGAAUAAUAGAAUCUGUAUAAUAACGUCUUGUUGUUGGGCAUCAUGCCCGGCCGGAACUGCCCCAUGCAAUAAGAGACAGAUGAGUCUUAGCUUUUAAAAGAAAACCAUGUCACAGAUUGCCUUUGACCUUGAGUAAACAUAUAAACCUUGUUGUUGCAUCCCAAUGAGUCUGUUUUGGUUCUUGCAUGAACUAAGCAACAAUGUGGACCAGUGUUAAUCUGCAGGUUCAGGAAUUGUACCUCUUUUAACUAAAGCAAGACGUACGAUGGUUCUUCUCCAGAGGCACAGGUCUCCGAAAUGAUAUUAUGAUGGUCACAAAAUGUGAAAGCAGUUUUAAAAAUGUUUCCUACCUAAAAUCCCAAGCGCAAGGCUGAAAUCGAAGUAGUACUAGGUACAAAUUCACAGGGAGGAAGCAGAGUCGACCCUUGGCCAAUCCAAGAAAGCCUAUACUUCCGGCUGAUUCUUUUAUAAAAAAAUAUUUGGUCCUCAAUUAUUCAAAACUUGUCUUAGUCUGGUCAGACUGAUCGUAAAGUCUUAUGUGGCGCUUUUAGUCCCCAUUCCGUGUUCGAAUCUGCAAAUUGCCUUAGUUGUUGGGUCUAUAUGAAAAACGUUGAGAGUCUUUAGAUUUCUGGUAGUCUAUACUCUUAAGGGAAAAAUAAACUUCCUUGGCAGCCUGUUAUAAUCUUAUUUCUUGGACCCAACAGUACGAACAAUGAAAUCGCACUACACAAAACCAAAGAGAAUAUAAUACAGAGACAACAUAAACAACAAACGAUAUUAUUAUGCAAAGAGCAGACAUUACAACUCGAACACUGAGACAUUACAUUAUGAAACUUUAUUCCCAUAGAUUCUUUUUCUUGAGUUACUUCAUUACAAACUCACCAUGGUUCACUUAUAGUCAUACACACGUAUAACUGUAUUAUAUAGAUGUAGCCAUGCAUGGUGGUUAAUAUAAUAUGAAGUUUUUAGUUACCAGGCUGAGUCUCAACUGCUUCUACUCCGUGCCCUCCUCUUCCUCCGUGUCCACCGCGUCCUCCUCUUCCUCCUUUGUAUCCUCCCCCUCCUCCUCCGUAGUGUCCCCCUCCUCCUCCGUAGUGUCCUCCUCCUCCUCCUCCUCCGUAGUGUCCUCCUCCUCCGUAGUGUCCUCCUCUUCCUCCUCCGUAGUGUCCGCCGCGGCCACCACCAUAUCCAUCAGGUUUCACAGUUUCCUCACUCUCUGACUUCACCCCUGUCCAAAAAAAUAUAGAAAAAUCACAUUAUUUCAAAGAUAUUGUUUAGCACGUGCAAAUGUUCUUUCCUCUCCCCGAUUUCAAAAACGAAAUUUCUCUUAUAAACAUUUUAAAAUAUGUAUCGAAUCUCUUGUUUAGAAUAAAGAAUUAUGAGUUUCAAAAUUAAAUAUACGUUCUAUAUAAAAUUUUCACCAAUAUACGUAAGUGUCUUUUAUUACUAGGACAUCAACAUCGUACUUAAGUGUGUUUUUUGACUUAUAAGUCCAUAUAGUUGACCUUCGUUCAAAUCAACCUUCCGGACUUAACACGGACGAAAUAGACAAAUAGAGACAAUAUUAUCAAAUAUGGUACGUUUGUUUGGGUUCGAUUAGCUUCACGAACAUUUAUUUUGUUUCUAUAAAAUAAUUUUAUUUACCCGAUGAUUGCCUUUCUGCGGCAACUUCUGAGACGACGAGAAGUAAUGCAAAGAGACCCAAAAGAAUCAAAGCUUUGGAAGCCAUUUUCUUCUACUGCUUUUAAGUUUAUAACACUCUUUUGUUUUGUUGGAGAAAGAAGUGAUGAAUAAAAUGUUCGCCUGCAUGCUCUCUAUUUAAAGAAAGGGUAACGAAGAGGAGAAAAGUCAAAUAACUAAUCCGUGGACCGUAGUGCAUUAAAAAUAACGAGGAAUUUUAUUUAUUAAAGAGAUAAGUAAGGGUAUUUGCAUUAUUUGCAGAUAAUGACAAAAAGAGCAAUUCAGUAAAAUAGGAUUGAGACUGUGCUUCGCGCGGAUUGUAAUUUAUGUUCAUGUUUUUAUAUAUUUUAUAUAUUAUUUCUUAAGAAAUAAUUUGUUGAUAAUUUUUUCUUAGUUUAAUAGUUUUAUUUUUAAGUUUACAUUGUAUUAACAAUAUCUGUGUUCUGUUAGUUAUUCUUACUGGUAGAUUAAAAACUCUAUAAAUUAAUAAUAUUAGGACUUUGAUAUUUUAUUAAUUUUUAGAGUUAUUAAUUUAGAGGUUUCAAAUAAAAAACUAUUUCUUAUUAAUUUUAAAAUUAAAAAAAAAUCGUUGAAAUUUAUAAUAUUUUUAAAAAAUUAAAAAAAAUAAAAAUGAGUUCCAAGAAGACUUCAAUUUAAAUUAAACAAAAACAUAGUAGAUUAUCUCACUUAUAUGUUUAUAUCAAAUUUUAUUUAUGGUAAUUAUUAAUUUAUGAUAAUAAUGGGACCAUAGAUUUACAUAAGAGUUUUGUUAAGUUUAUUAUCUUAUUAUCUUAUCGAAUUGUGUCAUAAUUUGAACUGGCUCAACGUAACUCAGAACUAUGAAAAAUUAUUAAUUUAUGUAUUUAUUAAUUUAUCGAGUAUUAAUUUAUAGAGUUUUUAUUGUAUGUCUAUAUAAAAAUAGUUUUUUUAAUUAUAUUAUUAACUUCUGUAAUUUUUUAUUUUGUGUGUUUUUAUAUUUUAUCUGUACUAUUGUGUGACUCUAAUUAUAAUUAUUUAAAUUAUUUUUUUAUUUUUCUUAAUUUAUACUCUCUAAAUUAUUAUUUUUUAAUUCAUACUCCGUACAAAUUUUUAUUUUUAGUCAUCUAUUAUUUUGAAUUGUUGAAUAACUAAUUUAUCAUAUUUUUCUUUUUUUGAAAAAAAAAUUUAUACUCCUUUUCCAUCUUCAUAUUUUUAUAAUUUAUUAGUUUUAUCUUUUUUUUUUUUUUUAUCUUUAACGUUUCUGUUUUUGUAUUUUAUAAAAUUCAUCUUCAUUAGUUUCAUGUUCUUCAUUUUUUUAUUUAUUUUUUUCAUUUUCCAAUGGUUUUUGACUUCUACUUUUCUUCCUCCUGUUUUUUUUUAUUCUUUUUUCAUUGUCUUUUUUUUUAAUUAUCAUCAUUUUUCUAAUUUUUUUCAGUUUAUAUAAUAUAUUAUUUUUAAUAAUAUAUAUAUAUUUAAUCCAGUUAGUAUUACAGUUUUCUUUAAAUAUUAAUAUCUAAUUGCCACUUAUCUUUUUAUUAUACUAAUAUUUAUUUUAUUUAAUUUAAUUUGUACUAAAUAUACUAAUAACAAAUAUAAAUAUAUAUAUAUAUAUGUAUUAAAUGUUUAUUUUAAAUAUGCUUUAAUGUUAAAAUUUAUGAGUUUGUUGAUGUGGACACCCUAGAUGGAGAUAAAAUUCUCUUAUUAUAUUACAGAUUAUAAAAUAUUUGUUCUUUCUCAAGGGAACAAAAAUACUUUUUUAUUUUUUUGUUGAAUGUUUCAUUUGAUUGUUAAGGGAAAAAACAGUUUUUUUGUCCCAUAUCGUGUUACAUUUUUAUAUGGACAGGUAAUUUUUUUUUUUUAGGGCUAAACAAAUUUUAUAUAUUAAGAAUAAGGAUUACAAUCUGCAAAUACAGCAUUAGACAACCAUAAAGGUGGAUACAAUUUUGAUGAAUAAAAAACAGCAUUACACAACCAUAAAAGUGGAUACAAUUUUUAUAUGGACAGGUAAUUUAUUGAUUGGAUUUUUUUAUACAGUUUAUUAAAAUAAUUCGAAUGUUUCUCCUCCACGUAUCAUGCUACUUUCUAUUGAAUGAAACCUUUGUCUCAACUUUAAUUUUAUAUUUGAAGUAUAUAAAUAAUUUAGUGCGUUAAAUAUCGGUUUAUUUAUAUAUUUUUUUCUUGAUGGUUUAUUUGUGUUUGAGAAUUUUUUUUUUUUAACAUUUUCUUAGAUUAAUUAAAGAAAUCCAGCCGGUUAAAGCAGUACAGUGAAGCUGUAAAGAGCUCGUUCUGCUAUCUCAUCAGUUAAAAGAUUGUCUGAUUGAGGAAUGUGUUCGAAAAAGAUGCAAUUGAAACAGAGUGACAGAGAGACUAUAUCGAAAGUAAUCCCCGCGAUCUCUUUGAUUUUUGUCCCUCGAUUGAUUGCUCUGAUCAGAUCCGAAGAGUCCGAUUGGACAUGAAGCUUUGUGAUCCCGAGAUUUGUGGCGUGAGUCAUGGCAGAUCUCAGGGCUAGAGCUUCAGCGAUGAUCGGGGAGGUCACAAAUUCUUCGAUAUCCAUACCCUGGUUCCAUGGUGGCGAAUUUCCUCAACGGAAAACCCAACCCAAUCUGCCGAUCUGAUUCUCUUCCUUCCAGGCCACAUCGGUUUGCACAAUGGUAUGGUCUGUUGGGAUUUCCUUCGGAUCUCAUGUUUGAAGAGUUGAAAUCUCCCUUUCCUGUAGGUCAUGUGCCUGAAUCCAAUCUCUUGCAUUGCAGAUGGCUUUGUUCACCGUUUCUAAUGGUGUGAAUGUUCUGUUCUCGAACAGUCGGUGGUUCCUGGAUAACCAGAUGGCCCAGCAGAUCCAGGGGAAGAGUAGUCCGGCUUCUAUUCCUGUUGGAGGUAGAGUGACCCAUCCCUUCGAUGCUUUGAGCCCUGUUGCAAAAUCCGGAAUGAAAAAGGGAUCUAUGGUGUAUUUGAAGGGCGCCAGUGACCAAACCGCCUUGGCGAAGUGACAGUAGAGGAAAAGGUGGUCAGCUGUUUCUCUUUCUCUGCAUAGACUGCAGGAAGCGUUGUUGGAGAGUCCCCCGGUAAGUAGAUUUGCUCCAGUUGGUAGUGCUUUCUUGAGUAUCUUCCAUAGAAAGACCUUUAGUUUUAGGGAAGUUUUCUUAUGCCAGAUAUCUGAGUUCCAGUUAAUUGUGGUUGUCUGUGCAUGAGAGAGUGGUUACUUCAUUCGCUGAUGUGUCGCUGUGUGGUAUCCUGACUUGGUCGAAUAAUUUCCAUCUCUGUUUGGGGUCCAAAUGUAAGAGUCUUCUCCGCCUCUUUUGCUUGGUUUUAUGCUUAAGAUCACAGAUGAGAGGUGUGGGACAAUAACUUCAAUCUUUCUUGUGUCCCAGGUGGUUGAGUUCUCUUUUAUUAGGUCUGAGACCAGCAGAUCUUUAUUGGCGUUGGUGGGAAGGCCAACUACUCCUAGCAGUGAUGUCGUCGAUAGCCAGGGAUCGGACCAUAGGUUGGUUUUUCGUCCAUUUCCAAUUAUUUUGCUUAUAUUUGAUUGCAGGAUAUCUUUGCCAAUCAUGAUUCCCCUCCACCCGUGGGAAGAGGAAGAUGUUGAUUCAGCUCUGAGGAAGGUUGUGGACCGGUGGUAUCUUCUUUUGAGAACUCGGGCCAGUAGACACUAUGGGUUUAUCAAGAUUCUCCAACUCAGUUUGGCCAGUAAGGUGUCGUUGAAGCACUCAAUGUCACAGAAACCAAGACCACCCUCUUUCUUUGUUCUUGUUAGCUUUGACCAUGCUAGCCAACACAUUUUUCUUUUUUCAGGGUUGGCGUCCCACCAAAAGCGAGUAAGAGCGGAUUGGAUGCGUUUGCAGAGACUUGCAGGGAGCUUGAAGCACGACAUCGUGUACGCUGGGAUGGCUGAGAGAACUGUCUUCAGCAUCGUGAUUUUACCCGCCGAUGAUAGAAAUUUUGUUGACCAACUCGUUGACGUAUCCUGUCCACAAUCUGAGUAAAGAGGUCUUUUUUCCUUCUCCCAAAAUGUUCGGGUAAGCCAAGGUACUUCCCUUUACCUCCCUCUUGACUGAUUCCCAGAUCCUGUUUAACUCUUUCUCGUACAUCAUCAGGAGUUUUGCAUGAGAAUGUAAAGGAUGAUUUUUGUAGAUUGAUCUUCUGUCCCGAGGCUUCUUCAUAUUUCCUGAGAAUUGCCAUGAGUUCUGCGCAGGCUUGGGGGGAUGUUUUACAAAAGAACAUUGUGUCAUCCGCAAAUAGUAAAUGGUUUAUUCUUGGGCUUUCUUUUGCAACUCUAAUGCCUGACAAGCGGCCAUUCUGUUGAGCUUUUUUGCAGAGACCAGAGAGCACUUCACCACAUAUGAUAAAUAUAUAGGGUGAUAGUGGAUCACCUUGUCUGAUGCCGCGUUGAGGGAGGAUUGGAACGUACGCUGGGUCAUUCACCAGAUACGAAUAGGAGACUGAGGUGAUGCACAUCAUUAUCCAAGUAAUCCACUUCUCAUUGAACCCAAGCCUUUUCAGCACCGUUUCAAUGAAGCCCCAUUCCAGGCGAUCAUAUGCCUUACUCAUGUCAGUUUCAACUGCCAUGAAGCAGUGUUUUUUCUCUUUAGAUCGUUUGAGGAAAUGUAGAGUCUCAUGUGUUAUCAUGACAUUGUCUGAUAUGACCCUUCCAGGGACAAAAGCUGAUUGGGAUUCUGAAAUGUUUUUUUUCCAGGAUAGGUUGGAGCUGCUUGGUGAGAAUCUUCGAGAAGAUUUUGUAAAAGACACUACAGAGUGCGAUUGGCCGGUAGUCGGAGACUGUACGUGGAGCAUUGUGUUUUGGUAUCAGCCGAACCAAAGUAUGGUUGAUGGAGCUGGGGAAAGAUCCGGAACUAAAGAAACUUUUGAUCUCUGAAGUUAUUGCAGGGCCUACUGUUGUCCAGUUUGAUCUGAAGAAAGAUGCAGAAAAGCCAUCAACUCCUGGAGCUUUAUCCAGAUAGAUGGAGAAGAGAACAUCGUUUGAGAAUAUCAAAUAAAUAUAUUUUAAAAGUUUUUAAAAAAUUAACUGCUACAGUUUCUACUUAUAUUUUUAUUAAUGCAUUUUAAAAACUUAAACCAGUUCAAAAAUUGAAACCAAAUAGUAUUAAAUUUGUAUACUAUAUAAAAAAAAAAAAUACACACUACUACCGAUAAAGUAAGCUACUAGUUAAGCUCAUUGCUUAGUCUUGUUGUACUUCUAGUUUGAUUUACAAUGGAAAUAGAAAAGAUGUUUUACGCCAUAUCAUAUAGUAUUAGCAAAGACUAGUCCCAAGAGAAGAGAAGUUGUAAGAAGGAUUAAGAUCAUGAAAAAAUACACACUCUAUAUUAAUCAUAUAUUUACCAUAAUAUUUUUUCAGUUUUCAUCAAUUCUAACAGUUUAUUUACAAAAACUAUGUAUCCGUGUAAUCUCCUUGGUUUAGUGAUUGACCAUAGAUUUAAUUUGAUUCCAAAACGAUGCUAGUUAAUGGAAUGCAAUUUUAUAGAAGGUUUAGCAUGGUGCAAAUAGAGCUGUUCGUCAUAAUUCAUCAGUCAAAGUAAAACUGCCCAUCACAAACAUGGUACAUGUAGAACCAUUUAUCGUGGAUUCUUGUAAAUAGAUAAAGAAAAUCAUUGUAUAGAAGCAUUUGUAUAAUUGUUUUCAUAAUUUAUAAUCCUUUAUACAGUAUUAAUCAAUUAGGGUUGAUAAAAAACAGUAGUUUCACAUUUAAUUUACAAAUAAGUCAUCUGAUGUGUCAUCGCCAUAAAACUUCUCCAAAAAAAAGUUAACUUACUAGAAUAAUUACAUUCAUGUCAUUUAGAUUACAUUCAUGUCAUUCACAUUUAAUUUACAAAUAAGUCAUCUGAUGUGUCAUCACCAUAAAAGUUCUUCAAAAAAAAGUUAACUUAUUAGAAUAAUUACAUUCAUGUCAUUUAGAUUUAAUACAUGCAUAUAUAUAUAUAUAUAUAUAUUAUAAUGAGAUUUAUGUAGAAUAUUAAAUUAAUAUUAUUUUUAAGUUUAUUCAUUUCUAUAAAAAAAAAUUAAUUUUUAUUUUUUGUCUCCAAAUUAUAUUACUUUGAUUCAAAGGGUUAUGAUUUUAUUUUCAAAAUUUCUUUUUUAUUGUGACAAUACAAGUUCAAUAUUUAUUUGCUCAAUAUAAUUUUUUAUUACAAAAUCUCUUAUUUUUCAUAUUUAAAUUCAAAUUUAUAUAAUGGAAGAUCUAACCUUCAUAUUAUUUUUAUGAUUAUUCAAAUGUAAAGCAUGUAAUAUAAUUCGCACACGUUUACUAAUGAUUAUUGAGAUAUAAAAAUAUAAUAGUGUUUAAUGCUAAAGGUCUCAUCAAACUAUAUUCUGAUUUGAUUAUAUCGUUUGAUGCUAAUAUAGUUUUAUGCUAUUGGUCUUAUCCAGGGGUGGAUUCAGAAAAAAAUUUAGUAGAUAGCAUAAUUUUAUAAAUAGGGAAAAACAAUUUUUUAUAUGAAAACAUAGUAUUAACAUAUAAUUUUAAUGAAAUUAAGUUAACAAUUGGAUUGUUUCAGCUUUUACAACUACUUUUAUAUUCAAAUAAGCUUUAAAGAUUGAAUUUUUUUUUCUUUUACUUUUUUUAUUAACAUGAGCAACAUAAUUUUAAACUAUAGGGAUUUUUUCCUUUUUAUCACUAAAUUAAGAACAUUUAAAUUUAAUUUACCAAAACUAUUUAGGAAAAAUAAAAACGGUAAGGGAAACAUGACCCGAUAUGGUCUUUACUAUGUCCGCCUCUGAUCUUAUCAAUCACACACGUACAAAGAGAUAUUCACGUGACGAGUUGCAUAUUUUAAUUUAAAAUUGAAUAAAUUUUUUUACAGAAUACUAUUUAUUUUACAUAUUCGAAUUCAAAUCAGAAUAUUUUUUAUUCAAAUAUAAUUGUAUUAAAUUUUAUAUUUAAAUUCAAAUCAAAUCAAAUAAAGCUUUUAUUUCUAAUCAUAAGAAAGUGUAUAGUUAAAUCAAAUUUUAAUAAAUUUGCAACUAACAUAUAUCUGCAGGGAUUAUUCAAUUAGAACAAGGUUUAUAUAGAAUAAAUAGAUUUUUCAUGGUAAGAGUAAUUUUCACUAUUGGUACUCCUUAUGGAAAGAUAAAUUGUUGCUAUUAAAUAAUUAGAUAUUAAAUACAAAAUUACGUUUUCUGAUUGAAGAGACAUUUGAUUUCGAAUUCACAUUCAAAUCUUCUUAAUAUGUGGGAAACCCUUGAUUUCCAGCACUAUUUAAUCGAUAUCGAUUAGCACCCUUUCUUAUGAUUAAACAAAUACAUACUAAUAUAAUUUUUAAAUAUUUCAUUUGCAAGACCGAGAUUACUACCUACAAGAUAACUACUUAGGCUAUUAAAAAGCUGACAAAAAGGCUAUUAAUAAAAAUAAAACUAUCAUUCUUAGGGAUUUACCAUAUGCUUCAUACAGUGUUUCCUUAAGAGUUACACUUCUAUUUGUCCAUUUACCGGUGAUAUUUUCCUAUUUUUAUUAACUCUAGCAAUUGUCAAUUACUUAAAAUAGGUUAUUACCAGCGCAGAAUAAAUAUUAAUCAUAAUUUUUUAUUUAAAUAUGUAAAUAUAAUGUAUAUAAGUACAACUAUAAAAAUGUUAGCUGAUAUUUUUAAUUACAACUAUAUAUGCUGAUUAUGCAAUCAUAAAUAAUAAUUAAAAUUACAUUUAUUUUGUAAUACAAAUACAUAAAUGCUAAAUAAUUAUUAGUUUUAUAAUUAAUUUUAAUAAUAUUUUUUAUAUGACUGAACUUACACAUUAAAUAUACUAAAUUAGAUUAAUAUGUUCUAUCUAACAGGUCUAACAUCAAACUAAAAUACUUUGCUUUUGAUAUAAAAAAUUGAAUUAUAAUAUGUAUGAAAAUAUUUAGAUUAUUUUAUUAUUAAAUAGAUAAUGUAAUUAUUGUUUUUUAAAGAAAAGUAAGAUCAAAUAAAAGACAAAAUACAAAAUAUAAUGUUUAGAAACAUAAUUAAUGUUAUGUAUUAAAAUUUUAUAAAUGUGAUAAGAAAUAGAAAUAGAAAGAAUAUCUUUACAAAUUAAAUGUUUGAGUAUUAAAUAUAUAAUUGACAUAAAUUAAUUUCUAACCAAAUUAAUGUUAGUGGCAUAUGAUAUACUUAAUCUAGUAAGUUUCUUUUUUUUUGAACAUUUAUUAAUCUAGUAAGUUGACCAUACUUUUUAAAAAUCUAUAAAAAACUCUCUGAAAUUAACACCUCAAUAUGACACUUAUGUAAAUAAUACAUAAGAUAAAUGUUUUUUUUAAAGCAUUUUUAUCAAUUAAUAAUAUAUAACUUUUCAUUUCAUCCCGUGAUUUACCCAGUCCGUCCUAAAAUUAAAGUGGUAAGAUGAUGAUAAGUAUAUGUCUACGUUGCAUCGGUCCCCUUAUGGUGGGUUGUUGGAUCCAUCAGUGAAUAAUUUGAAAGUCUAUAAAUGGCGAACCCCACCAGUGUUUUAGACUGUUUCUUAUUAAUGUCUUUUUUUUUUUGGCAGUCUUAUUAAUGUCUUAAACACAGCACAAUCACACACGUAUAGAACUAUAGAUAUCUAGAAAUUCCAUUAUUGGAUUAUAAUUGAUUUUAUUAUGACGGAUUCUUUUGGACACAAAAGCUAGCCGACGUCUUCUUUGAAAAUUCUCACAACCGACAGAUUUUAAACAGCCGUAUAGAGACAAAGGCAGUGAGAGUAAAGCAUAGAGUGACAACACGUAGUAACUACAAAGAAUUGACUUUUUAAAGGGUGCAAAAUUUUGCCUGGCUAUAUUUAAUCGUUAUACUUCUUUUUAUGGAUAAUUGCUUGGCUAUAGUUAAUUUAUGCCGACUGCUACCAAAAUAUCGAUCAAAGUCACCUAAGCGUAGAGAAAGCUUGAGAUUUACGUAAUUAUAAUUCAUUUUUUUCAAAUCUAAAUAUUCAAAAAAUUGAUUAUAAUAUGUAUGAAAAUAUUUAGUUUUUUUUCAAAUCUAAAUAUUUAGUUUUUUUUCAAAUCUAAAUAUUAAAUAUACUAAAUUAGAUUAAUACGUUAUAUCUAACUAAUCUAACAUCAGAUAAUUUGUUUUUAAUAUAAAAAAUUUGAAUUAUAAUAUGUAUAAAAAUUGUAGUUUUCAAAUGAGCGUAGAUAUAUAGUUUUCAAAUUAAGCAUGUUUAUUUCAUAUAUCAGAUUGGAUAGUAUUUGAUUGAGAUACAGGUUGUCAUGUAGUUUUCAAAUUAAGUAUGUUCAUUCCAUGUAUUGGAUUGGGUAGUAUCGGAUUGGGAUACGGGUUGUCAAGCCCAGACCCGAACCUCAAAACUUUUGGGUUAAGAACGAGAAUAAAAAUUAUGGGUUAUAAAUUUGGGAUACGGAUUGUCAAGCCCAGAUCCGAACCUCAAAACUUUUGGGUUAGGAACGAAAACAAAAAUUAUGGGUUAUAAAUUAGUUAUUCUAAAAAAGAAAAAAAUGUUAAUAAAAAGGUUAGAAUGAUCGAACUUCUCACCUUGAAUAUGUUAUUUUCAAACAAUAACUAGUUCCACUACUGAAGAUUAUAGUAAAAACCGGUCAGAAAAUACAUACUUUAUAUAUGGUUGGCAACACAUGCUUCCUUACCUUCUAUCCAAAAUCCAAUUUUAUACCAGUAUUUGGGGAAGAUCCAAUUAAGCAUGUUCAUUCCAUGUAUCAGACUGGGUAGUGAGAAGAUCAAGAGAUUGUUGAACAGUUCUUAUGUUGUAUAAUUGUAAAAGAACCGAUUACAAUAUAUAUAUAGAAGCUUUAGCUUAAUCCUCAAGUUAAAGAUAAACACAAAUAAGGAAUAUUUAAGAUUUUCUAAAUAUUUUCUCAUACUCUCCCUCAAGAUGGCGAGUGGAGAUCCCGAACUUCCAUCUUGCCAAAAAUAUAAGAAAAUUGAAUUCGUCCAAGUGCUUUAGUAAACAAGCCUGCAAGCUGUUCAUGUGUGCGAAUAUAAGCCGGUGCGAACUCCUGCUUGGAAGGCAUCACAAAUAGUGUGACAGUUGUUCUCUAUGGAUUCUGCAGAAUGUCUAGUGCUGCCUUGUUAUCACAGUAAAAAGAAACUGGUUCUGGAUGCUUGAUAUCGAACACAGAAAGAAGCUGGAGAAACCAUUGUAUCUCAGAGAAUGUGUAAGACAUUGCGCGAUAUUCCGCUUCUGGAGAAGAACGAGAGACAACUCUGUUUUUUUUUUUUUUUGUCUUCCAAGAGACAAGGGAAUCACCAAAUAAGAUGGCAUAACCAGUGAGGGACUGCCAAGUUAUCAGACAAGAAGACCAGUCCAAAUCACAAUAAGCAAACAUGUGAAGAUCGGGUUUGGAGUUAAGGAAUAUACCUUGCCCAUGCGUACCCUUAAGAUAUCGUACUACUCGAGUCUCUGAAUC
rnacentral:lncRNA from 1 species